AGAAGAAGAAGAAGAAGAUGGAUCCGGCGUUGGGGUGGGCUGCGAGAGACGCUUCCGGUGUUCUCUCUCCCUUUUCUUUUUCAAGAAGGUUCCCUGAUCCUCUCUCUCUCUCUCUCUCUCUCUCUCUCUCUCUCUCGAUCUUGAUCUGUUUUAGAUGGCUUGAGAUGAACAGGUUUCUUCCUGAAAGAAGAGCACCUGAACCCUUUUUCUUUCUCUGCUUUGUCUCGUUUCCUUUUCUUCUUUUUUUUUUUCUGUUUGAUGAUUCUAAGCUGAUCCAGAGGAAAAGAGUGUUGUUGCCAAUUGAGCGCUUGAUUACGUGAAGUGUUUCAUUCUUUUAUCUGUGACACAAACUCAUAAAUCACAUCCAAGGAGUUGCGCUGAUCUUCUGAUUGUUAUGUAGGCCCGGAGGGGAGGAUGAUGUUACUAUAAAGAUACUCUAUUGCGGGAUAUGCCACACCGAUCUUCACAUCAUUAAGAAUGACUGGGGGAAUGCCGCAUACCCUGUCGUCCCUGGGUACGCACGCAAAUGCUUUUAACUCUCUCUAUCUCUGUAUCGUUCGAUCGCUUGGCAUGUAUUCGUGUUGUUAGCCUUUCCCCUUCGUAUUAAUCAUUUUUCAAUCCUUAAAAAUAGUUAGAUCCGGUGAAACGGUCACGGUUAACUUCAUUAAACUAAGCAUUCGGCAUUGUUCGAGCACUUGGAACAUCUCAGGCUCAAAUGAUUGGCCGAUUUGCAAAGUCAAAGCACAAGAAGCUCAAGAUGUGAAAGCCCACAUCCAUAAGAGCGCGGCAAUUCGAGUAGGUGAUAGGAAAAGAGCUAGUCAGUGACCAAAAUUUAAUGAUAAGGAAAGAUCAAAGAACAAUUUUGUUUAGCACUGGACGAGCUUAAAAUAGCUUGCGUGAUGAAAACGGAUUCCUAUGAUGGAUUUGACGCAGUUCCUUUUAGGAUAAUAGAAUCUAGUGUUGAAUAAAGAUUGAGUUCAUGAGUUGAUUGAGUUGUUUCUUAGUCUAAAUUAUACUCAUUUUAGGUUUAAGUAUGAUUAGUAAGUUGUUACAAAUAGCCUUACUAGUUCAAUAAUGUUUACAUGGUUUCGAUGAUACUUCAAGUUCAAGAGACUCUUGUGGAGUGCCUCUGAUUCUUGAAGCUCAUUAUGGGUUUACAAUAUCAAGAGGAAUGUGUUGUUAUAAGGUGCCAUUGAGGAUAAAUGGAUCCAUUAUUAUCCACUAGAGGGGUGAAUGUCUCUGUGAACUAUGCUAGUAAACAGGGACUUUGUCAUAGUGUUUGCUAGUUUGAGUAUUUCUUGCUGUUGAAUUGAACCUUAUACAUGAUAUAUUUGUACAUCUAGAGAGAGUAAUACUUUGUGCACAGCAUUCUACGUGCGCGUGGUCUAUUGCUUUGUGAACUAGAAGACUAUGGGCAGUCGAAAGGGUCGGCGAGCCCACACCCCCAUUUUCACUUAUCAAAGCACCCAAUUUUUCUAUACUAACGUAGAAUAUUGUGGGUAUAGUAUAAUUAGAGAGACUUGGUGAGACGUGAGAGUCAAGUACCCAGAAUAAAGGCCUCUUAAUGCUAGUACAAUUGGUCGGGACAUUCACCCCUCUAGUGGGUAAUCACGAGUUCAUCUUUUAGUUACAUUUUGUGUUUCUUUACAGUACAAAUAUUAGAUGUAAACUGUAUUUCAGAGUGGAUGAGAAACCGAAAACCUCAUGAUAGUAAGAUACUAGAAUGACAUGGCUUAGCGAAAAUCCUGCGAGUUUCUUGUUGCUGCUACUGAAAGAUUAAGUUGCUACCAUUUCCCUGUUUACUUCCUAUUUGAGAUGAAUAGUACCAAAUAUUCAAAUGUGAGUGAAACUGAUGGCAGCAGCAAGAGCUUUGCUAUCCAAAACAAGAAAAUGCUUUCACUUGAAAAAAAAAAAGAAAAAAUCACUUGAUCUUGGUUUCUUCUUUUUCUGAGAUGUGCUUCUUAUUCACCUCGCUUUCUUUGUUGCAGGCACGAGAUAGUGGGGAUCGUGACUGGUGUGGGAUCCAAUGUAGACAAGUUUAAAGUUGGGGAGAAGGUUGGCGUGGGCUACAUGGUCGACUCAUGCCUUUCGUGUGACAGUUGCGAGCAGGAUUACGAAAACUAUUGCGACAAGGUCGUAAACACAUCAAAUGGCAUCUUCAGCGACGGUACAAAAACUUAUGGUGGAUUCUCUGAUGCAAUUGUUGUAAAAGAGCGUUUCGUGGUUCACAUACCAGAGAGCUUGCCUCUGGACAAGACUGCGCCGUUACUCUGUGCCGGGGUCACCGUAUACAGCCCGAUGAAGUAUUUUGGGCUCAACGAGUCAGGUAAGCAUUUAGGGGUGGUCGGUCUCGGCGGGCUUGGGCAUUUGGCUGUAAAGUUUGGCAAGGCCUUCGGGAUGAAAGUUACGGUGAUAAGCGGCUCGCCUAGCAAGGAGAAAGAAGCAAUUGAGCACUUGGGAGCUGAUUCAUUCUUGGUUAGCCGCAACCCUGAGCAAAUGCAGGUAAAGAAAGAAAGAUGAUUGAAUUUUUGUUCUACAUUCCAGUGCGAUUUUUGACAUGCUAAAGACCCUCUUAGGCUGCGAGAAGCACCAUGGAUGGUAUCAUCAAUACCGUCUCUGCCUUCCACCCAAUUUUGCCCUUGAUCUCCCUGCUGAAGGUACACGGAAAGAUGAUAAUGUUGGGUGGUCCAAAUAAGCCAUUGGAACUCUAUUCUUAUUCUCUAAUCCAAGGCAAGUACCAGACUCAUACCCUUUUGGUGUUUAUUUAGGAUCAGAGUUUGCAAAUAGUGAUAGAUAUAAAUCUUUGCUAGGUGGGAAGAUGGUGGCUGGGAGCUGCAUUGGAGGAAUGAAAGAUACUCAAGAAAUGAUUGAGUUUGCUGGGAAGCAUAACAUAACUGCAGAGGCGGAGGUUGUCGGAAUGGAAUACGUGAACACCGCGAUGGACCGACUUGCCGCUGGCGAUGUGAGAUAUCGAUUCGUAAUCGAUGUGGCGAACACUUUGGUUGCAACUUAACCAGUUGGAGUAGAGGAAUUUUAACUGGUAGAUGAGAUUAUGUCACGGACAUUGGACGCCGUUGACCAAUAAUGAUCAGUUGGAACACUGAGGUGCUUGAAUAAAUCAGUUACAGAAAUUUCAACCCUCUUCUUUCCCCUACUUUUUCUUUUAUGAGAGAGAAAACCUCAGCACUAGACUUUCUUCUGCAUAGGCCCAAUUGUCUAAAUUUAGCGAGUCAUAUACCUGAAAGUAGAGAACAAUUCAAUCCUUCAUUUAGAUCAAACCUUUAUAAGCAAUAAAAUGUAUGAAUUUUACAAAAAUAACAAAUGCUGAAAAGAAAAGCCAAGCCAUAUUUGUACAGCACUAACAACAAAAACCAGAACGAAAUAUUCAUCGAUAUCUAGUAACACAAUCGAAUAGGAGAGGAUGCACAUCAGCUCACCAAGCAAAGAGAACGCAGAUUCACAACCUUUCAAGCGACUGAUCCCCGAAUAGCUUCUUGAAGGAGCUGCAACACAUUCGAGGUUCUUUUAUGUUCAUAGCAGAACUGGAACAAUAAUUAUGCAUCAGUUCCCUUGAGGAUAUUAUACUUGCAAAGGGGGCAGAUCGCAUUUAUCCGAAGCCAUUUUACAAUGCAUGUGGAAUGGAAGUGAUGGUUGCAGGGAAAUGCAUGGAUCUCUACUCCAUCUUCAUAUGGCGUAAGACAUAUGCAACAUUCCUGAAAACAGGGAUUUGAAGAAGAGAAGAGCAGUGAGUUAGAGAAAAACCAACAUAAAAGUUCUCAGCUCAUCCUGAAAAGGAACAAGGGCCACCAGGCCGCCACUUUUCAGCGAUGUGGCCACUGUGAUAAGAAUACGGUCAUUGUUGCAAGUUGAACGUCUAAGGCACAAGACACAAUCAACGUGUUGUCGUACUUGCCCAGUAAGAAUUUCCUGUUCCCUCUAGGAAUAAGAAAUAAGUUUUUGUUUCUUUCAGGCAGCAUUACGAUAUAAAUGAUAACAUGCUGAAGCAUGAAUUCAAGAAGGAAAAAAAAAAAAAAAAUUGUGCACUUAUCAAAUAGGAACUUUCACUUGUUUAAGGGAAUACAUGCAGAUAUGAAUUUCGAAGUGUUACGUCAUUAAAAAAGGUAUUAUGAAAGAAACAACCAGAAACAAAGAAAGAAGCUACUCACGGCAUCCUCACGUGGCAGAAUGCGUUGCCUCCUUGAAGUUCCAGUGCUGUCAGGAAUGGGAAUCAUCACUCCUUCAUCACUUGUCUUCUGCCCAUUCUCCGAAGGCUCGGCAUAUCUGUAUCUCGGGAGAAUGCUUAUGUCCGCAUCUGAUGCACCUUCCUAUAUUUCAAUGACAAAUAAAACCAACAAUAAGUGAUAACGACAAAGCUCCUGUAAAGUAUUUUCUCCUGGUUGACCACUGCGACUUCUUGUUCUUACCUGCCCCACCACAGCAUAAAGAAUUGCAAUAAUACAAGGCAAACAGCAGCAAAGAGCGAUUCCAAUCACGCAGGCCAAAGCCACACAAAAGAUGGCAAAGCAUACAUCGAAUGCGAGAAAAACUACAGUCAACCUGCAAAAAGCCACCAUGGAUAACAGAGACUGUUUAUGGGCAUAUCAUAGAUACUAGAUUACACAGGCUAUUAACAUACAAAAAGUUCAGUUUGAUCACAAGGUUAACGAUAAUAUGGAUCAGCAAAAUAAGUUGACAUGAUAAUAAUAUCUGAGAAACAAAUACAAUAUAAGUUACCUUGAAGUAUCUUAGUCACCUAUGGUUCAAGAAUUGAGAAAGAGUAUUAAUAGAAAAAUCAAGAAAGAGUAUUUAGCCAGUUAAGGAGUUGUGACGAUUCUCUGAACUUAGCAUAAGUAUCAAAUGCUGACAAAACAACUGAAGAGAUCUACAUUAUGCAUUGAUGUGACAAUUAGAUCCGUGAACUUGCAUUUGCAUCUAGAAUCCAAGGUCAGUCAGAGGAAAGAAGGGGUACAUCAGUCAAAUGACAAUGUUUCCACUGAAAAACUGGAGAAUAAUUGCUGGAAAAAACUCGAGAGAUUUUAGUUAUUGUAACAAGUUAGCUAACAAUUCAGUAGCUUUAAGACACUCAAACGUGAAUCUAAGAUAACUAAAAUUUAAAACAUGUUUCACAGAGGAUAAAAAAAAGAUUUUACUAAAUGAUUAAAUUAUUGUUGUCAGUCAGCAUGGCAAAAGAAAUUUAUCAUAAAAUAGUGAUGCUAUACCAGUAGAGUCUUGGAGCAUUUUGCACCAGUGCUUCACCACCAGAGACAACCCAAUAAAAACCAAUUAGCCACCACAGAAUGGAUGCCAUGGUAUUAAUAGAUUCACAUCGUUUGGAGAAACUGAACACCAAUAACCAUUAGUUACCAGAGGCAAAGAAGUUUAAAACAAAAGUAAGUUGAACUAUAACGACGUGUUUGGCAUUGUUUUCAGUCUGUCAUUAUUUACUUUGCUUACCACUAAACUUAUUCAAUAUCAAUUGCUGUUUUGACUCUGAAGAGAAAAUGGUCCAGUAUUACCAGUAGAAACUUAUAAAUAGAUUUUUUUUUUAAAAAAAAUAAGGGUGACUUUCCAAAGAAACCAUAAUUAUAAAAAUAACAAAGAGUGAAAGUCAACAUAACUUUAAACUCAAAUUCUUUUUAAAAACAUUAAAAACAGUAAACGAUGCCAAACACAACAAAUACCGCUAAAAACAUGUCAUUUCUGAGCUACCGAAAAUUUAAUGAGAUAACAUCUUUCCGUAUAAAAGAUCGAGACAUUUCAUCUUAACAUCACAAAUUAAUAUAUUUCCUGAGAUGACUCUUUCUGCUGCCGUAAUAAUUGAUAAACCAUAGUUAAGAUGUCUGCUAACAAGAGAUGACUUUCGGAUGAUCAGAUCACAUUCAUGACUAUGGCAUUUUAUAUGGUGUAAAUCUGUACUGGCUGAUUAGCUUGCAGUGUUCCAAUAAUAUGAUGGCUAUCAGCAAGCACAUGCUUGCUCAAACAUAUAAAUUUAUAGGCGCAUACAUGUGGAAUUAUCCCAACAUCUAUUCGGAAUUAUCCCAAUAUUCCUAGCAGGGAAAAAUAUAACACAGAAAUAAUCAUAACAUCAAAUUGGAAAGAACUUUACAUCUAGUUUAAAUGAAUGGAUCCUUUUUAAGCUAAACUAGCAUUUUAAAUUAAAAAAAAGAAAAACAAUCAAGAUAAUGAUGACUCUGUCAAUUCAAAACCAUAACGAAUUACAACUUGCAUACCAUGUAAUACAGCCGACAUUCUAUUCUACAGUCUAGCCAAAGUAUGAACUGCAGGUGAUUUUGUUCUCGAUGCAUGUUUGGUUCACGAAUGGAAUGAAAAUAGAAAAUAAAAUUGGAUUGCAUUGGAACGGAAAAUCGAACAACGAAUAAUCCAAAAAUGUUUGGUUCAUUAUUUGAAUGGAAAUUAGAAUAGACAAUUAGAACAACUAGGAUUUUGAGAGAGAGUUUUGGUUAAAGGAGAGGAGGGUGAUGAAGGGAGAGAUAUAUGUAAGAGAAGGUUUUAAGUGGUUUACUUUAAAAUGGGAAAAUUUAAGAUUCAAAGCCAGAAUGAGCCAUAAAUGGAUUGGACCAUUUCCAUUUCAAAGUGGAAUGAGAAUCAAAAUAUGAUUCCUGUAAAACAAACAACAACUAUAGAAAUCAGGAAAUCUCAUUUCGAUUUUAGAAUCUAAAAUAAGUGAACCAAACAUACCCUAAGUUUCCACUCCAAGAGUUAAUCAGAGUUAGCUUUUGAAAUAAAAAAGGGCUCGUUGUCUACACAAAAGGUAACCCCACACAAAUCAAAAUUCUUCUCGAUAUUAUUCAUCUAUACGUCCUCUCCGCUCUCAUGAUUUAAAUGGUCAAAAAGCACAUCAACUAACAUAGCAUUAACAAGAACAAAAUUUCAAUCCAAAAUCAUGAAGCCAAAUUCAAAAAUUACUCUUGCCCACAUCCGUGAGACCUAAUUGUUUAGCUUCCACAUUAUGCCCGAACUCAGAAAGGGGUUUCACUACUUCAAACUUGAUCUCUUAAUCCUAAUAAACACCCCAAACAAAUGAAUCAAAUAGAGAAUAGAAGUCCAAAUUUGUUACUGAUCAACCAAAACUGCAGCUUGAAAUCUAAAUAGACAAAUCCCAUACCUGCUCCUUCGCGCGCCCGCUGCUCCCGCCUCUUCCUCCUCAUCCUCCCCGCUGUUCUCUCCCUCCGCCGCCCCCGACCCCUCCCCAGCCCUACCGCCGGCGACGCCGCCGCCCUCCUCCAACCUGCGCCGCUCCGUCGCGGUCCUCCUCCGGCGAUACUCGGCCAAGACGAGCGCGACGUGGAUCGCGCACUGGAGCGCGUACCCGGCGAUCCAGAUGCGGAGCGGGGUGGUGGGGCGCUCGCGCACGGUGACGGCGAGCACGGCGGCGGCGGCGACGGCGAAGGCCAUGUUCCAGGCGACGUCGAGCGUGACGACGACGCGGGAGUAGGCCCACUCGGCGCGGCGUUCCUCCAGCUGGAGCGCCGCCGCCUCGCGCACCAGCAUCGAGGGGCCGCGCCGCCCCGCCGCCCCGCCCACGAUCGCCGCCAGCCGGCUCGGCCGCGCCGCCUGCUCCGGCGAGCCUCGGCUCGGCCGCAGCAGCGGCUCCGCCGACGCCGAUGCGGUCGACGCUUCCUCUUCCAUCCCACCUCGGUCUCUCUCUCUCUCUCUAUCUCGUCUCUUCCUCUUAUUUCUCUUUUUUUUUUUCUCUUUUUUUAAAAAACUUUAAUUCUUUUCCUAUUUUUCUUAAAAAGACAAACUAAAAUCCAUUAAAGUAGUGAACAAACUAAUAAUGAAAGGUUUUAUUUCCUUACAUAAAAAAUAAAAAAAAAAAUUAUUCAGCAUAAAAAUACUGUUGGGGGGUUGUUGUGGGGUGAAUGAAACGUAGUUACCUAAACAAAAAAAAUACAACACCACAGUAAUCUUGUAUUAGAUAAUUUACAAGUCAUACAUGCUGUGUUUAAUUAUGCUGAGCUGAAGAUUUUAACCAAAUAGAUACUAAUAAUAAUGAGCUAAGUUAGAUCAAAAAAAGGAAAUUUUUCAAAGUUAUUUAUGUGACCAGCAUAUUAGUACAGUUACUAAGGUGUUACUAGUGUAUUAGUAAUAGACUAAUUAAAUGUUAUACCAAUCGGUACAGAAGAAAUUUGUAUUCCCUCGUGUUUUCUCUAGUACACUCGCUCUGAAUGGUGGCAUGAUGGGAGACAUUCUUGCUGUGUAUUAAUUCUUUUUUUUUUCUUUUUUUCUUUUUUUCUUUCUGAGGAAUUGCCAUAAUUGAUUUUGUAUCAAAGCUGUGUGCGACUUCAGGUCCCUAAGCAUAGGGGUGAGGAGUGUCCAGUGGUCCACACAAGAUGACUCUUUAUUUGCACAGAAUUUUUCAGACUCUGCACAGAAUUUUUCUGCAGUAUGAUAGAAUUUAUGGCUGUCCCCGAGUGGUCCAAACAAGUAGUAGAUGGUGGAAUCCAAAUUUUCCAUUGAUUAUCUCCCCUUGUUGGGUUUUUUACAUAUAUAUAUAUAUAUAUAUAUAUAUAUAUAUAUAUAUAUAUAUAUAUAUAUAUAUAUAUAUAUAUAUAUAUAUAUAUAUAUUUUAAGGUGAGAAAUAGGUUGGACAUCAAACUGAGUUCUUUAUAAUUUUAACUUUAAUUCCAAUUACCAUUACAGUAGGUCGAUAUCUUAACUUAUUUCGUUCCAAAAUAAAUGCCCAGUAUAUCAAACAGAAUGCUGGCCUUUUUUCCUUUUCACUAUUUGGAUUUAGUUUUCCUCGGAGACCAUUUAAAAAGUAAGUCGUUUAAUAGGCUAGACUAGCCACAAACAUACAAGUUUGGUGAAUUCAAUACGAGAAGAUGAUUUUGUAUGGGCCAGUUUAUUGUGUGGGCCAUUCAUCCACAUGUGUUGAUGCUUGUGGGAAUGGAGCAGGCCCAAACAGUCAAAAAGUGCGCCGCCGCAGCUAAGCUCGGCUCACAGCUUCAUUUGGGUUUGCGGUAAGAAAUUAUAAUACAAAAAAAAUAAUCUUUAUCAUAAAUUGCAUUGAUUCGGUUAAUAUAUCAUCAAUAUGCAUGGUUUCAUCAUUUCCGUAUGAACUCAUUUUAGUUCAACAGCGUUAGCCAGCCCUUAAUACGAAAUAGUCUAUCGUAAUUCGAAACUUCGUACCCGAUAUUUCAAAACUGUAACAUACAAAAUAAAAAAAUAAAUUGAGCUAAGAAAGCUCAGUGUGAGGGGUGGGUGAAGUAGGUACAGUGAAGUGAACUGCACGGGCAGUCCCAAAUUAACAGGUCAUUUUAUGAUUAAAAAACAGUUUUUUUUUUUUUUAAAAAAAAAAGUUAUGACGUACUAAAGUGUGAUUAAUAUGAAAAUUGCAAUAGCAUAUGUUGCAUUCAUUAAUAUAAAAUGAAGAAGGCUCUAAUCCAGUAAUAAUACAAGUUGUGUGAUAAUUAAAUUCACAAAAAGGUCCGCCACCUUUUAUGCAAUUGCAAUUGCAACUUGAUCCAGUAAUUUUACUACGUGUAAUAAUCAUCACGGCCAGAGGACAAAUUGACGACGCUCGAUCUGCACCAAAGACGAGCAUACAAAAUAGAUGAUUCUCUUUGGUAUAGAUAUAUUAUAUAUAUAUAUAUCCCAAAGAGAAGAAGACUCGUCACCACUCGUCACCACUCGCCACACAAGAAGAAGAAGAAGCAUCCAAAAUCUGGUUCACAAGUGUACAAACUUUGUCUCUACUCUCUACGCCAAAAAGCUGGGCGUGACACGUCCCUCGUUCUUAAGCAUACAAAAUAUAAAACUCAGAAAAUAUAUAUAUAUAUAUAUAUGUUACAUUAAUAUUCCUUUUUUUUAUAUGUAUGUGAAUAUUUUUGUAUUCAUUCAUGCAUUUUGAUAUUUUGUUCGUCUCGAUCCAUACGUGGGGCCUGGUUAGAUGAUGAUAUACGUACAUUAAAGAUCAGAAGCUCAAAUUAAUUUACUCUACCGGAUUGGAUUGGAUUAGAUAUUUAGAUUAGAGAUUAUUUUACACGAUCUUCGAGCGCCGCCGCUGCCCCACCAACGCCGUCGCCUCCACCGCCUCCGCCAUCGCCCCGCAUAUCGUCGCCGCGUGGCGCCCCAGACACCGCCCUCCUCCGCCGCCGCCGCCGCCGCCGGCUCUCCUCGUCGCCCUCCGGCCGUCCGCCGCCUCCUUCGGCGCCGCCCCUCCGCCGCCGGCGCUCGCCGCGAUGAGGCGCUCGAGCUCCCUGGUGAUGCACUCGAUCUCGUAGAGAUCGAAGAGCGAGAUCGAGCCGCGCGGCGGAGGCGGGGAUUUCUUCCCGCCGGAGGGCGGAGGAGGGCUCGUGGGGGCGCGGCGCGCGCCCGUCGUGGAUGGAGCCCCGCUGGUGCCAGGCCCACGCCGCGGCCUUCGCCAGCGCCAUCUCGUCCCACUCCGCCUCCGACGCCGACGCCGACGCCGACGCCGACGACCUCCCCCUUCGCUUCUUCCGAUCCAUUAGUAGAGAGGGAGAGAGAGGGAGAGAGAUAGCAAUAGAUGAAUAAUCAGUGAGAGAGAAGAAAAGGGUUUUUUUUGUUUAUUUUUGGGGUGGGUUUGAUAGGAUAAAUUGGAGGGGCCGAAACGAAGUCUCCUCGUCUUGAUUGCUCUCAUCAAUAGGGAACAGAAGGUUCGCGCGUGGUGUUUUAUUCAGUACGACCGCCACUUUGGUACGUUACGUGGAAAACGCACAUGGUUCUGGGGUAAAUUCCAUCAUCUUAUAUUUAUUAUUAUUACUUUAAAUUAAGUUGUAAACCCCACGCGGUUCUCACCCAUUAAAAAAAAAAUAAUAAUCUUUUUAUUCUAGGAAGGCAGAGCAAUUUUUCUCUUUCAUUGUUAAUAUUCUAAUUUCUGCACAUAAUAUUUUUAAUUUGUUUCAAUUAAAUUCGCCCUUAGCUUUUUAUCCACAAGAACUUAAUUUAGCCGGAAUAAAUAUUACAAAUCUAAAUUACGCAUUAAUUGAUAUCCAACUAAUUUUGUACAUCAAUAAUUUCGCAAUCAUAUUAAUUAAUGAUAGCUGCCCCAUGGAUUCAGUAACGAAUCGCACCAAAACCCAAGCUAGGUUAUGUUUUAAUGCUGUGGAAAAAGAAAGGCCCAUGCCAUAUCCGUUUUCAUAGGAAUUAAUAAUAAUUAAGUGGGCCACCAUGAGCUUCGUGGCUUGUCCUCCAACGCAACUUCGCAUGGUGCCUGAAUCAACACUUCACGCAAUGUGGCGCUUGAUCGGAUUAGCGUGAGGCAAAUUGAUAUGCAUCUGAUAAACAGGACGACAAUUAGACCAAACAAAUCUAUUAACUAUUAGAAAGUUUUUUAAGAAAUUAUUAAAUAUUUAAUAUUAAAAACAAAAGUUGACAGCUCCAGAAAUUUACCCAGAAAUGCUCAAACGUCAGAUUAAAUGUUAAAAACUUGGCGAAACAAUCUUUCAUUUCUGGAAUUAAGUUUAGUUAAAAAGAAAAUAACAUCCUGUUAAAUAUAAAAAUAUUUAAACACAAUUCUCCAUAAACUUAGCUUGUAGAGUACAACACCUGUUUCAUAUCAUUUCAUACAUCCUUCUUCGCAAUUCUGCUAAGUUUAGUAUACACCAGUUAAUAAGAAAAAAAUUUAGUUUGUUGCAGCUUAGUUCACAAAAUUCAGAUUCCAUUGCAGUACCGUCAUUUCAUAAUGUCAAUUCUUGAUCAAUGCAACAAUACAUACGACCAGAAAAUGCAGCAAUCAUGGAAGCUGUAACGGCCAUGCUAAAACCAUGUUACAAGAAAGUCGUACAAGCAAGGGCGAAAUAAUAUGCUUGCACGAGGAAGCCGGAGUGUUUUCAGCAAAUGCUGAAGGCUUGUUUUACAAUGUAGCAUGAUUGCAUAGACAUUAAAACAUACAUUAAAAAAUUACUGAUAAUUCUAGUCAACUCGAAAAGGAUAAUAUUCUCUUUCGUAUGCUUCAACGAAGGCCCCUGGAGUAAGAGACAACCACAGGAAUAGCUGCAAUAAAAUGGAUUACAUGACAAUGUUAGAAUGUGGAGGAAUAUUAAAGAUCAAAUUUCAGCUCAUAACAACCAAUACAACCAAGAAACCUGUGUACCCUCCAACUCAUUAACAGAUGGAGGGUAUAUUAGUGUACUUUGCUGAGGGUGCAGGUGGAAUAUCCUCGUAUAUAAAAUAUUGUCCGGCUUCUAAUAUUCUAUUGUUCCUAUGUUUCAACCAUAAAAAGCACCAUGUAGGAAAAUUAAUAAAAAUAUAUAAUUUGGAAACUACUUUUUGCAGUUAGCAAUAAAAGUAGAUCGGAUUUUAGUCAAUCUAGCCUGAAAGAAUUUAUUUACACAAUAUGUGUAGUUGGGUUAAGAAACAAACUAAUGCUAUGAUCUUCAAAUAAACCCGAGAUAACUAAAGCCUGUUCAACAUUUAUUGAUCCACCAUAGAACAAGUCCGGCUUUAGUAACCGAAGAUCUGUUAAUGUAUCUGUAAAUUGGUACUAACUAUUUUAGUGCAUAUUUCAUGGCUUUUUGAAACCAAAAUUAAAUAUUACCUCUGCAUGUGCAAUCCUUGCAUGCCCUGAGGAGUAGAUCAACUAGUUUUGAACAUGGCACACACCAAAUCUUCGAACAAGUGUAUUCUUAACCUUGCACAUAGUUGGAUAAGCCCAUUCCAAGAAUAAAUAACACAUCAUGACACUUCAGCACUGAACAAACAUCAAAGUUUUCCUCCUCUAUCUCAAAGUAAACGAGCUGCAACCGAGCAAAGUUACCAUCACAUUUAUAUCCCCCAAUAAAUUGAUACACACUGUAACUUAUCUUUGACCAAGUUAUUAGCAGUGCAAACUGGGAACCAUACCUCCAUGUCCUUCCCCAACAAAUAGUAGGUAAUAUUUUCAAACAAUGAUAUUUUUUGCUACAAACAACUAUUGCAGAUGCUCAUUAGGUGCCUCCUCCUGUGCCAAAUUUGAAUCUUGGAUUGUUGAAUCUAAAUUAUUUACUAUCUCUAGACACUUGCUGGCCAGAUUUUCAUCAUGCAUUGACCAACUACAGCAGAAAUAAAUUACCGACGAACUGCAAUACUUAUUUUGGUUUGUCCGAAAUGGGCAAUCUUCAUUUGAACAAAUACGGAUUCGAAGAGAAUCUAACUGGAGAUGAUCAGAAAAAGAUUCAAUAUACUUGCAUUUGACAUGACUACUCAAUUUCUUACACAACAAUUGAAGCGUAGUAUGGUUAGCAGCGUGAGGCAGAAACUGUUCCCGGUUACUCAGCCGUACAGGAAAGCAGCGCGCAAAUUGAACCACAUGCUUUUCUGCACCCAGCAUCUGCAAGAGCUCAUCCUUGCUGACAACCUUUGCAGUCUUACUUUUUUCCAUCACUAAAAUGCCUUCGGUAAGAUUUUCAUCUCCUGCCAAUUCUGAGACUUCACAGUUACUGAUACUAGCAUUGGAUAUGCAAUGCUUGUCUUGGGUACUAUGUAAGUUGGCAUUACAGCAACUUGUGAUGACCAUCUUACUGGCAUCUAUUUUCGUUCCUGAGACUUCACAAUUAUUCGUACUAAAAUUCGAUAUGCAAGGUUUGUCCUGGAUGCUAUUCAAGUUGACAUUGUGGCAACUCCUCAUGAACUGCCCAGUGGCAUCAACUUUCACAUUUUGACUAGUAGGAAUAAGCACGGUCUCAUUGUUUGCUGGAUAAUAGCAGGGAAUUCCCAGCUCAGAUUGAAUUCUUUCUGUUAAAGAGGCCAUUUUAGGCUUCUCUCCGUGCACGAGGAUAACAUGUUGAGGGAAAAGAAAGUCGAUUAGAUCCAUUAUCCCUUUGGCAUCUGUGUGAGGACUGAAAGAUAGCUGAUGAAUCUGGUGCUAGCAGAAAGUUCAAAUGAGAACAUGAAAGAUAUGUAUUCUUGCAUCAGAGGUUCAAACAAAAAUAAGAAUACUAACAAUAGAUGGCCCAUCUCUAAGAAAUAGCUAAAAACAUGCAAAAAACGGCUCAAAACUAAUUCUACUUUCUUUCCAAAAGGCAAUGAACAAAUAAGAUAGUUCUUCCACAACGCUCAAUAGAGUACCUUGCUCGUCAUAUGCAAACUGUGCAAAAAAUAAAAUAAAUAAAUUUAAAUAAAAUAAUAUUAAAAAAAUUCUAGGAAGGAUAAAUGCCAGAAAAGAAUGUAAUAUGAUGUGCAUUGUAAGUUUAAAUGUUAAAUUUUGCUAGAAUGUUGUUCGUGCAGCUAUAAGAUCGGAUAAUUUAUAUUAUUUAGAGGAAACUUUAGGGAAUCUUUUGACAUUGGGUGCAUGCCAUUGUGUAUUAUGGCCUUAGUUAGAAUAGGCUGCAUAUAUAAUAAUUAGCAUUAUAAGUUCAAGCAAGUCAGAAGAAGCAACUUAUUUUAUGUAAUAAUUCUAUUUUCCCUUUUUAUUAUUACUUCUAAACCAAAUCAACUUUCAUCACAUUAGAGUAUGAGGUUGGGGAAAGACCUGACAUCUAACAUCAAUAUGGGUGUCCGCAUCCAAAUCAAUUCUGGUAGGUUUACCUGACAUCAAUUUAUGCCCUAUGGUUCCAGCAACGCAGUAUCUGCAUAGAGACGAGAGAGAAAUAAACUAUAAACAAUUAUAGCCAUAUGACAAUCCUUUCCAGCAAAAGAAAAGAAAAAUGUUAUAUGACAAAAAUCUGAAACAUAAUUUGAGAAGGUUACCCAGGAAGUGUAAUUAGGUUCUUUUCAGAUGGAGCCCAGUGUUUGAAGACUUCAAGAGAAAAUCCGCCACUGAUCAUACCAGGAGUAGCGAAAAGAACACAUGGUCCAGGUGCAUUUAUAAGUGAGCGCUCAAAAGAGCACACUGUAAUGUCAAAAAAAUUAAGGUGAUGUUAAGUUUGAGAAAAGUAGCAUAGUUCCACAACAAGCAAUGUUCAUUACAAAGUAAUUCAGUUAUCAACAAAGUACCAUGCUUGAAAUCAAAUGGGUUGUGUUUUGUGUAAUUGUCUUUGAUCUUUUGACUGGUCCAUCCAAUAAGCAUCUUGUAGUACAUAUUAGCUUGAAUGGUCAAUCCUGAAAAAUGGCACACGUAAUUAGUAUCACAAAUAUGGAGGAUGUAACUAAAUGGUACAAAUUGCUAACAAGACAUAUAUUAAACAUACAGUAUCAUAUCACUUUUGAGUUACUAAAAAUUUGUAUAAUAUGAAUGGCCUACAAACUUCAAGAAUCUGACAAUGUUCCCUUCAACUACUUUGUGUUAAAUACAAUUUAUCUCUGGAAGAAACCAGCUUCUUCUGAAACUUAUAACAUAUAAUCUGGUGUGUAGCAGCAAAACAACACAUACAACCCUAUUGCACCAGCAAUGGAUUAAUGGCGCUUGGCUCUGGUGCUUUUUCCGUUGUGUAAAAGUUAGCAGAUUUUAAACUUUAAAAAUUUCCUUGGGAUGAAUCCUAAAGGGACACAAUGAAUUUCCAUCAAAAUAAGCUUAAGAAACAAUAAUGGAGAGCAUCUGUACCACAAUGCCAUCCACAUGAAUCACCUGUUUCACUAGCAAGCAAGUUUGUUCCAACAUAACAUAUUUUCGCUAUUCUCACCAUCUUGCAAAUUCCCAGUAUAGAGUUUGCAUAAAGCCAAAAGGUGUAUGUAAUCGACAUCAAUUCUAGCUCCUCGCUUUAGUAUAAGUUAAUUUAUUUUGCAGGUAAGUCCUCCAACUUACACCAACAACAGAGACUGAUGAACCAGUUAACUUAAGCAAACCAAAGGAUCUCCAUCCAAUCCAAAUAGGCAAUGUUUCCACAUGACCCAAAGGGACUCUCAUUCUUGGACUUCAGAUUUCUUCUCUUCAAGUUCAAUCAGCUUGAAUUUAUUAAUUCCCUUGUGAACUACUUACUACUAUACAUUCACCAUGUACAAGGAUCUUAGUUCAUACAAAGAUUUCCCCUAAAUGAUAUGAACUGCUAUUACUUCUGACAUGUCAAAAGAAUAACAAAUAAGCCUAAAAGUAGCUCAGAGAAGUCAUAACAUGAGGCACAAUAGAAGAAAAUAGCAUUUCUUCAUCAAUCUACACGGUAAUUUCUGAGCCAAGGCUGUGGCAUGCACCACAUAUAGUCCAGCAUCCCAUAGGAAGCUGCAGGCAAGUAUUCAGCAGCUUGCUUAUCUCUUGGCUAACAUGAUUAUCACAUGCUAAUAGAAUGACUUGUCUAAAUGCGAUUGCUUUAGGCUCCAAAAGCUUAUAGUUUAGGGUGGGAAAAGGCCCAAAAAUUAUUCUGUCUAGAAAGAUUUAUUGCAUAAAAUCAGACCUGCUUAAAAGAUUUAUCCUGGAUAGAAGUCAUAUUCCCAUGCUUAUUUCCUCCAAACGACCUUUUUAAUGGUAGGGAAAAGAAUGACCAACAAACAACAAAUCAGCUUUAAAUGCAGGAAGCAUGCAAAAACAAGCGGGCCUGGAAAAUUAUGUAUUUCUUUCAAGGGAUGACCUGGCACAUCUUCACGUUAAGUUGAUUAAAUGAUUGUAACAAAUUCAGAUGUUAGUUUAAGCGUUUAUAAUGUGGUCACAUGUUAGCUGAAGUAUAUAUCACGUGGUCACAAUGUUUGAAAGAAAACAUAAAAGUUUCCUAACAUAUCCAGCUUUAGGAGAUCAGAAACAUGAUUGUCAUUCACCAAGAAACAAGUCAAAAAGGUAGCGUGAAAAAUCAUACCGGCAGAAAAGUAGAUAGGAACAUUCAAGUUCAUUCUUUCCCAAUAGUCAUCCAACAAUAUGCAAAGCUCCUAAUGCACAUGCAAAAAAAUUAUUAUAGAAAUCUAAAAAAAAUCUUAAGAAAACAAUGAAAAGACAUAGUGAAAAUUACCUGGGCUCUCCCCAAGGCAAAUGUUGGGAUAAGAACUUUACCUCCUCCGGCAACACACUUAUGAACCUAAAAACAGGCUUCCAAUUUCAAAUCAGCAAAACAAAAGUGAAACUGCAUAACUAGAAUUCCAAGAACAGUGUUAUAUGAAUAUUAGCACAAUUGAUGCACAUCCUACUGAACUAUAUGCACAAUGGUUCGCUCAAAGAUUUUACAGAAACACAGGCCAUAUUAAUUUAUGUAAGAUUCUGCUUAGGUCGACUGAUGUAUCAUCUUUCACAAUUGCUGAAUUAUGAGCCAUUCUUUUUGGGCCUUUAGAUUUCUGUGAUAUCUGUAUUGCUAAUAAUAUAUAUAAGAAAAAUUGAUAAUAAAGAACAGCUACAGGAAAAUGAAGAAUUAUGGCUCAUACAAGAGAUCAAACCAACUAGGCAGCUAUUUCAGCAACAACUGAUUAGUCAGGAUCUCUGUGACUGCUUAGAGCGGAAUGCUCCUCUGUAAAUGGGACAAAUUGAAGCUGACUAAUGGUAGCACUUCUAUCAAAUAACAAAUUUGCAUGCCCACACAAUAUUGUUAUAGCAAGGACGAGAAAAAGAAUAAUCAGAUAAAGAGCAAAAAUGUGUAUGAUGAAAAGGUCAGCAUACAGCUUUCAGGAACUCCCUCUCUCUAGCAUAUUUUGAAUCCCUAAUAGUUGUCGCAUAUGUAGACCUAGAAGAAAGAAAAAAAUAAAGAAAAUUAACCUUAGCAAGUCAUGCAGAAGGAGAAAAGCUGUGAGAAUACAUAGGCGAGAAUAGUAUAAUCAAGAAGGCAUUAUCAUAAUUAAGUGUGCAAAAAAUAAAUCAAAGGUAUAGCAAAAUCAAGAUCAUCGAAUUAUGGGAAGGAUUAGUGCAAGCCUCAAUUACUAUAAUCAAUAAGUCUAAGACUCUUACAAUCUUAGUUAAUCAUGUCUCAUAAUGCAGUGUAAGAGCAAAUCAGUCUUAUCAGGCAAAUGAGUAAGAGCAGCAGAGAAAUGAUGACAAAACAUUUAAGUAAUAGUAUAUGUAUCUGACAUCAUUAGUAAGACCGGUUAAUUUGAACUCCUAAAUUGACUAUUAAGCUGAAAUAUCAGCAUAUUCACAACACUAGUUUAACAAAUUCAACAGAUAUAAAACAUUUAGGAUUCAGCAUACUCUGUUAUCAAAAGAUCCAACCGCAGUCGAUCAAUUUGAGCUGCUCCAAGAUGCCUAUCCGGUGUCAUAUUAUAAUCACCAGUGUAGACCAUGGUGCUACCUCCGACUUUUGCAUAAAUCAUUGCAGCUCCUAAAACCUUGAAUUAAAAAUAAUCAGUAAAAAACUAAAAAUUGGAGAAAGAAACAGAAAAGAAAAUUAAUUCAAGCAAAAAAUACGUGAAUGCUUGAGAAUGAUAGCAAUAGCAGAGUAACUAAAAGACAACCAACUUAUCAAGGUUGUACGAUUAAAUAUAUACAGAAAAACAAAAUUGACCUACAAUAUAUAACAUAAAAAAUUAGAUUCGACCAUACAUGAAAUUACAUGGCAAUGGCAUUCUCCACCGAGGCCUAGUUUGGAAUGCUUACCCCAUGGCAGCUGCUUUGAUACUUGCAAGCUACACAAAAAUCUAAGCUUAAGAGCCCUAAAGCACUAAAAGCGGCUGUUGUAGGUUAAAGCAUUCCAAAGUUUCAUUCACCGCAACAAAUAACAAAUGAAGAAGCAGUCAAGUAGAUAAAUCAUUGGCAAAGUUUGACAUAAAGCAAAAGAAAAGUUGACAUACAUGCCCAGCAUAGUAGGCACGAAUCUGAAGAUCUUUGUCGACCUGAACUGUCUGCUUCAAAUCCAGUGGAAUAACUACAAGGGAAGAUGAUACAAAAUAUCUUAGCUUUGACAUACAAAAGAGUACAUAACUAAGAUAAAGAUUUCAGAAGAAUCAAAGUAACAUAUCUGAAUCGUACUGCCAAUCCUUUGCAAAGAUACAUAUAAUGGAGACUAUAAACAUAUAACAGAAUAACCUGUCAUUUACAUAUAUACCUAAUCUUGAACAUUAAUGUGUACAACAAAUAGUGAAAAUUCACUUUAUACUAUAUAGAUGCCAUGGGACAAGUUAUGUACAAUGAUCUAUGUUGUAGAACAAAAGAAUGUGUUUAUUUUAUGUUCUAUAUGUUUGUCCCAGAAUCGCAUUUGAACGUUAGAGAAAAAUAUGGGCAUGUCUGCGUGGAACCUUGCUCCCCUAGUUUCAUAAAUAGAAGAUUCUAAAACUAUUUAACCCUCAUUUCAUGAACACUUGUGAUACCGGAAAAGACCUAAAACUACAAUUAUAGCCCCGCAUUCAAGGGAAAAAAUGAGUAGAAAUAGUAGAAGAUCACAUAGAAAUCAAAUAUGUGAAACUAAGACAUUUUUUGCACAAUUAGUAGAACACAGACAUUGGUAGCAUAGGACACUUUUCGAAGGAAGGGAAAAAAUUAUCUCUAGGCAAACAAAGUAAUAUCUCAUUUUUAGCUCAAGCAGAGGUUAUACAUAAUAUAAUAAAAGCUCUCUGCAAUACAGGGAAUGAAUUAAACCGAAAAAAAAAAGGGUUUAUGCACAAUAGGAAAGCACCAAUAAAGACUGAAUUAAAAAAAGGAAAGGAAUACUAAUAGAUACCUUUCCUCAUACAUUCCAUAAUGUGAUCAUAACUAAAUUGCUCUUCCUCUCCCCUUCGUUCAACCAUUACUUUUCGAUAAUCUUCCAACAUUAUUGGGGCCAAAGCCUUAGUUGGAUACUAUUUGAAACACCAAAAAAAAGAGCAUAGAUAAGUUAAGACGUAAAUUUUGCAAGCCAAAACAAACAAAACUAUACAGCUAUAUUUCUUCUUGAUGUGCAUUGUGCAAAAGAUUGUAAUCGAGAUGAUAAAGAAGAUGACAACUAUAACAAGUUAACAAUGCUCUGAAAAUUUUUUUAAAAAAAUUGCAGAAUAAAAAACUGAUAAAAUCAACCAAAAACGAAAUCCAAAAGAAGGCUUAAAAACUAGGCAAUACACACGAUACUAUUAGAUUAGAUAGUCGAGUGUUUAAUUGUUGUCAUCCCCAAAAGGCAAACCUGUUAAUGUUCCCUUGAGUUAUGAAUGUUUGAUCAAUCAGAAAAAAUUGGAUCCCAAAUAGCAUACAUAGAACUGAUUACAGUCAAUUCAUAAUUGCAAAGCAUUAAGGUAGAAAAAGCUUAGCAAACUAAAAAAAAGAGACAGAAUAUCAAUGAUCUCACCGUCAUGUAAAUGGGUCCGUGAUACCCACAAACCUCCGUAAAGUAAGGAAGGGCCCCAACAUGAUCCAGAUGGCUGAUAAAUGUUAAAUUGAAUGAAUUUAUAUUAAAAUAGGAAUCAAAUUAAAAUCGGGCUAAAGAAUAAGAACUACGAUGAAACUUAAGUAUUCUGGAAAAUAACUAGGAGAUUGCAAUCUCCGAGCCACCUAGAUUAGGUAGGUCUCUAGGGCAUAAAUAUUACCCGAUGAUCUGUUUACCGAAAAAUUCAGAGUAGGGCUAGAAAAGUUACAGAACAGCUUAAAGAACCAAUAUAAAGAUUUCGCUCCUGCCUUUAACAGGUAGUAUAGGCAUAAUUGAUACAAUACCUCAAAGCAAUAUUGAGAAUAAUAAACCAUGACAGGGUGAAUAGAAAGAUUACAAGUGUGUUAUGACGACGCAUGUGAGGGAGGAGUCGAAGUCCCCUGUCUCCGAUAUGAGGGAGAAAUCGGGGUAUCUGCGGCUGUCGAGGUAGCCCAUGUGCAUCCCGCAAUCGAACAUGAUCUUCUUGCCCCCGAUCGAGACCACGACGCAACUCUUCCCCACCUCUUGCCCCGCUCCUGAGGGUUGCGCGAAUAUUAAGGUUUGGGAGAGAAGAAAUAAGCAAGAAGAUGAAAGAGAAAGGAAUCGACGCGCCAUUGAGAGAGGAACUAAGAAGAAGAGAGAGGGAGGGAAGAAGAUGAUGGAGAUGGUACCUAGCACGAGGCAUUCGAUCGCCAUGAGAGGAGGGACUGAUUUCUUGUAAACCCUAGACAAGGGUUUUUGGCGACGGAGCUACGAACGGUGAGACGCGAGAGAGAGAAAAGAGAGCAGGGGAGGAGGGAGAACACGACGAUGCACGGUUUAAAUUGAGAACGUUCGGGGGUGAAGGGUUUAAACCGACAAGUCGUACAAAAUAGCAGAAUUAUUUUCUUCAUAUAAUUAUUUUAAUUUACGCGAUUUAUUUUUCCCGAAUAAGUGAGUUUCACAGUAGCGUCUCCAAGUCGAAAAUUACAGUUACACCGUAUACGGUCGGGUCCUCAAAUCCCAGCCGUUGGUCCGUGUCGAUAUUGACCGUUAUUUAGUCAUUUUGAUGAAACAACAUAUAUAGAUAAAAUAUAUUUUUUUAGAGAAACAUAUGAGAUAAAAAUAGAACUAUUUACCUAUCUAGCUUCUUUACAAAAAAAUAUUCCCUAUCUAGCCUCCUUUUGAAAAAUAUUCCCCAUCUAGCCUCAUCUUCAAAGAUUAGAGAAAAAAAGAGAAAUUAAUUCCUUUAAUAUAUAUUAAAGGGUUAAGUGGGGGAGAUUAUCUUUUUCUCUCUCCUCUUCCAUUAAUUUUUAUAUCAAAAUAAUCUUGAUCUCAUUCGGCCUAUAAAUUUUAUGUUUUAAUGUAUUAAAACCUAAAGUACGAGAAAUUCAAAUAGUUUUGGAUUAGGACCAUUAUAAUCAACUCCUUCCGAACCAUGCAUAAUAUUUCCAUCAAAAUAUAAAAAGAUUGGAAUUGGUUGAUGCGCUAUAUAAAAAUUUUCUAUUUUAAAAUAAAUCGAUAUGAAAUAAAUUAUACGCAAAAAUUAGAGAGUGAGAAAGGAUCUCGGGAAAUAGGAGAGGAGAGAGAAAAAGAUAAUCUCCCCCACUUAACCCCUUAAUAUAUAUUAAAGGUAUUAAUUUCUCUUUUUUUCUCUAAUCUUUGAAAAUGAGGCUAGAUGGAGAAUAUUUUUCAAAAGAAGGCUAGAUAGGGAAUAUUUUUUUGUAAAGAGGCUAGAUAGGUAAAUAGUUCAUAAAAAUACUGUUCGUGUUGGAGAGGUGCAAUCUAAAAAUAUGUUCACCGGAGAGAAAAUGCAGUGGCUUUGAUGAUGAUGGCAAUAGUUUUGAAUGAUUGGCACCAAAUUAAAUAGCUUAGUGAAUAAAGAAACACUUUGGGGUCGUUUGGUUGGAUGUAGUUGCAGAAACAGUGUAGUUGGAAAUACUUGCAGUUGCAAAUGCUGCAGUUAUAACUACACCUAGUCUGUUUAGUUUUACGCAGUUGCAACUGCUGCAGUUACAUUUCUUCUGUUUGGUAAUAUGAAGCUGAUAGUUGUAUUUAUGAAUUUUGUCACCUCUUCAGAUAGAGUGGUGAGGUUACCUUCACUAAACAUAAAAUAAUUGUAUAAAUUUAUUAAUUAUUUAAAUUUACUAUUUAUAAAUAAAUAAGUAGAUAUAUAUAAUAUUUUUAUAUUUUUCAAUAAUUCUUCAACUUAUUAAUCGACACAUUUAAAAUUUUUAAUUUAUUUAAUUUUAAUAUGUAAAUCAAACUUUAAAAAUUUAAACGAUUCUCUCAUUUUUUUUUUAUCAAAUUUAAUAAUUAUAAUUAAUUAAAACUUAUUAAAUUAACAUACACGAUCACAUUCUAUAAAAAUUUAGAAAAAAAAAACUAUAUUUAUAUUUUAAAUAAAAUAAAUUUUAAAAAAUUAAUUUUUUGCACAAAGCUUGUAUUGUCUAAAAAAUUUUAUUAGUAUGAGUUUAUUUAUAAGUAUUUUUAUUUAUCUAUACACAUAUAUUAUUUAUUUAUUUAGCUAUUUAUUUAUUUAUUUAUUAUUAAUAAUUUGUAGGUGAUCUUAUCCCUCACCAACUGCUGCAGUUGGAACUACGACCAAUUUGAAUGUAGUUCCAACUGCAGCAUUUGGGCCUUCUUGUGCAGUUGGAACUGCAGCAGUUGAACUCAACUAUAUUAAACCAAACAAAGAAAUUGUGGCUGCACGCAUUUGCAACUGCACUGCAGUCAGUUGCAAAUGCAUACAACCAAACAGCCCCUUUAUGUUACUGCAGCUUCGAAGAUUAUACCUCUCUAUGGGACCGUUUGGUUGGAUAUAGUUACAGAAAUAAUAUAAUUGAAAGUAUAUGCAGUUACAAAUAUUACAGUCAUAUUUAUACCUAGUUCAUUUGGUUUUAUACAGUAAGAACUGCUGCAAUUAUAUUUCUUCUGUUUGGUAGGCUGCAGUUAAGAUAUAUAUUUGUAAAUUUUGUCAAUUUUUAGAUAGAAAUGUGAGAUUACCUCUUCUGAACAUAACAUGAUCAUGACAUAUUAAAAUUAUUAAUUAAAACUUUUAUAUCUAUAUAUAAUUUAUAUAUUAUAAAAUUAAUUAUGAAUUUAAUGAAUUUUAAAUGUAAAUAUAUUAUAGAUUUUGUCAAAAUAAAAUUUAAGAUUUUAUUGAACCAGCAGAUUGGGAAAACAAAAAGAAGUAUAUGAAAAAAAAUUAUUGAAUCCUAACAUACGUUGUUAAACCCUAAAAUAUAUUUCAUGAAUAGAUAUUAUUAGAAAAAAAAAGUUUUAAAAAAACGUACGAAAAAAAAUCACACUUUAUUUAUUUUUUUAAUUGAUGAGCCGACUUUGGCCCAAUUGCUGCAAUUUGUACUGCAGCUAAUUUGACUGCAUUAUAGUACCUUUUUUUUUUUAGAGAGAUAGGUAGUACGCUACCCGCUUCGUUUAUUUUAUUUAGAAAUAAACUUAACUGGAAAUGUGAAUCAACUAGGAUUCGAACUUGGAUCUCGGGUACUAACCACAAAGUACUUUGCCACUUGCUCUAGGGACGGUCGGUGACUGCAUUAUAGUACCAACAGCAGCAGUUGGGCCUUCUCGUACAAAUACAACUGCAGAGUUGGACCUAACUAUACUAAAUCAAAUAAAAAAUUAAUAGAUGCAUACAUUUUCAACUGCACUGCAGUUGAAAAUGCAUGCAACUAGACAGCUUAAUGUGUUGCUGUUUUUUGUUAUACUCUUCGGCUGCGUUUGGUUCGGGUAUAAAUAAGAACUGCUAGUUCCAGGGAUAGGUACAAGUUCAGGUAUAAGCAGGAACUAGACCAAUUUUGCGUUUGGAUGAAAAUUGAGUUGUUCCUAGGAAUAAGGUAAAUAGUGUUUGGAUGGUUAGAUUGGAACAAGAGGAAUAAGAGUUAUAAUUUGAAAUUAAAAUUAUAUUAUGUAAUUAGUUAACAUCAAAAUAUUACUUAAAAAUAAAUAAGAAAUUAAUUAUUAAUAAUUAAUUAUAAAUAAUAAUAAUAAUAAUUUAAUAAUUAAUUAUAAAUAAUAAAUUAAUAAUAUUAAUUAUCUAAUUAAUAAUAAUAAUAAUUAAUAAUAAUAAUUAUUAAAUAAUAGCAAUUAUUAAUUAUUCUUAUUAAUUAAUUAUAAAUAAUAAAUUAAUAAUAAUAUUGAUUAUCUAAUUAUUAAUAAUAAUUAAUAUUAAUAUUUAUUAAUAAAUAAUAAUAAUUAUUAUUAUUUAAUUAUAAAUAAUAAAUUAAUAAUAAUAUCCAUUAUCUAAUUAUUAAGAAUAAGAAUUAUUAAUUAAUUAUUAAUAAAUAAUAAUUAUUAUUAAUUAUUAAUUAUUAAUUAUAAAUAAUAAAUUAAUAAUAAUAUCGAUUAUCUAAUUAUUAAGAAUAAAAAUUAUUAAUAAUUAUUAAUAAAUAAUAAUUAUUAUUAAUUAUAAAUAAUUAAUUAUAAAUAAUAAAUUAAUAAUAAUAUCGAUUAUCUAAUUAUUAAGAAUAAAAAUUAUUAAUAAUUAAUAAUAAAUAAUAAUAAUUAUUAAUUAUUAAUAAUUAAUUAUAAAUAAUAAAUUAAUAAUAAUAUUGAUUAUCUAAUUAUUAAGAAUAAUAAUUAUUAAUUAAUAAUGAUUAAUAAAUAAUAAUAAUAAUAAUAAUUAUAAAUAAUAAAUUAAUAAUAAUAUCGAUUAUCAUUAAGAAUAAUAAUUAUUUAUAAUUAUUAAUAAAUAAUCAUGAAUAUUAUUAAUUAUUAAUAAUUAAUUAUAAAUAAUAAAUUAAUAAUAAUAAUUAUCUAUUUAUUAAUAAUUAAUUAUAAAUAAUAAAUUAAUUAGUUAUUUAAUUAUUAAAAAAUUAAAUAAUAAUUUAAAUAUAUUAAUUAGAUUAAUUAAUAAUUUACUGUCAUUAAAAUUAAAUUUAGAUUUUAAUUAACCUUGUUCUCAUCAAGGAAUAAGCUUGUUCCACGAAACAGGUGGAAUAGCAGUUCCAGACUUAUACCAGCUUGUUUCAGAUUUUCAGGAACUACGAUUCCCGAGAACCAAACACACCGUUUGGGAACAAAGGGGGGAACAAGAGCUUAUUCCCCCCCUUGUUCCCGAACCAAACGCUACCUUCAAAUCUUUGAUAUGGUAUAAAUGUAAUUAGAACAAUUGUUAUUGUUUUAAAAAGUCAUUUUUAGAGUGAUCCAUAGUUGAGAGGAUUCCACACCUUUUAUUUAUCCUUAAAAUUUGAGCACUGCUAUUUAUACUACAUACACCUCCUCAUCCAACGGACAAGGAUUAAUCUUUGUUUUGUUAAUUAUUUUUUAAUUGUAAAAAAUUUAAUUUUUUUUAAAAAAUUUGAGGAUAAAUGGUUUAAGAUGUAUGCGUAAUUCUGGAGUGAAAGACUAUUAUAAUUGAGAGCUUGCAAUUAUUGUGUGCACCCGGUGGAUUAUCUGGCUCAAACAAAAUAAGCGUAUUUUUCAAAACUUAAAACGCUCACAACAGCAAAUGUUGCAAGCCGUCUGGAACGCUCGACAUCUAACAAAUUAGGUGUAGUAUAGUACCUAUCCCUAAGAGCCUCCAACGGGAUGUCUUUUCUUGUCGCCUUUUUUGCUCUUCUCCAAAAAAUUUUAUAUUCCUCCCGCUUUGUCCCUUUCUCUACUCCUUUUUUUUUUCCAUUUUUCGAGAUCUGAUUCUCCUAUUUAUAACUAAGUUUACUAUCUAAAUAAAUGAAGCGGGAAACAUAUUUCUUAAAAAUAUAAAUAUAUAUAAGUGAGGGCCUCUCAUUGUACUUUCAUCUUCAUCAAGUAGGGUUCUGGAAGCUCUCAAGUCCUGAAGGGAGGAAGAAGGUUCGCCCCUUGAAUUCUCGUGAAUAUGCUGCAGCCCUACUUUGGUGAUCUUUAAAGGGGCCUCUACACCCACCUUCUUCUUCUCCCCCUUCCUCUUACUCAUCUACCUGCUGGUAUCUUAGAUCUAGUUCUCAGCUCUAAAUUGUUAUAUAGUGUUUGUAACAAAAUAAACUUAAUUUGCAAUAAAUGCUCCGAUUGAGUAUGUGCUGUUAUUAAUCUUGUUCGUAGAACAAACACUUCCACUUUGAUGGGUUCUAUUUAUUGCUCUGCAUGGGUUGAAUCAAAACUUUGAUGGGUUCGAUUUAUUAAAAUGAAAGAAAAGGAGGGAGAAACUUAGAAAAACUCCAACAAAAGGGGAAGAUAGGAUCAAAACUUCAAUCUUGAUGAAUUUCCCAUUAUUAAACAUGACCCUAACCCAUCAGAUCAUAUCAUCUUUUUCUUUCAUGUUAAUAAGUUGCUUUGCUGGUAGAAUCGUGCCCGAAACAUGAUGCGUGUUGUAUUUGAAAAGGACCAUUUGUUGUUAGCUAGCUUGGAUUCACAGUUAGGUAUGGAAUUGCAAUAAAUCCGGAAGUUCAAGGAUUUACAUAAAUUAAUUGAGAAGUUCAAGACUGAGAGACGAGAGAGAACUAUCUAUCAUUUUACCAUCAAUUUAUUUGUUUCCAAAAGAUAGUAGCAAUCAUCAGAAUCAUGAUAGACAAACUCAUGUUGCUGCAGGACACAAAUAUUGUGAGUUUAUAUAUGUUUAAGCCUGAUCGCUUUUUUGGUUCACAUUCUUGUUUUAGUUCAGACAAUGUAGACUCGAAAAACAUAAAUAAUUUAGUUUAGCUGUUCGGACAAUCUGUAAGAUAUCUGUUGCACCAGUCACCAGGAAGAAGCUCAUAACUCGAAUAGCAAUGAGUGCUGAGAUUGCUCACUGCGGCGGAUGCCACUGCAGAAGUGUGAGGUGGCAAGUCGAGGCACCGUCAAGUGUCGUCGCGUGGAGCUGCAACUGCUCGGACUGUGCGAUGCGGGCCAAUAUACACUUCAUCGUGCCUUUUUCUAAAUUCAAGCUCUUAGGGGAUUCUGAGCAGUCCCUCACCACCUAUACCUUUGGUACGCACACGGCCAAGCAUAAAUUUUGCAAGAUAUGCGGCAUAACUUCUUUCUACAUUCCGAGAUCAAACCCGGAUGGCAUUGCGGUGACAGUUAAUUGUGUGGAUUCUGGGACGCUCAAACAUGUUGAGAUUAGGCGCUUCGAUGGAAGAAACUGGGAGAGUUCAUAUGGAAAAGCUUCAAUUUCCUCGUUUUCGAAAUCACCUGAGAAAUAACUGCUGCUUAUUCACUUUAGUUUCAGACAUUAUUUGCACCCAAUUCUCUCGCAGUUUCAGACAUUAUUUACAUCUCUAAUGCUCGCUGAAAAUUGUAUUCAAUUGGUCGGCACGUCUACAUGUAUCAGCAAUAGAUAAAUCUGCAGUUUGUUAUCUUUGAACUGUUCGAAUGAUAUACGUGAAACGCGCUUAAAUGUGGAGUUUUCCGCGCAUCGGAAUUGCGGAGAAUUUGUGUUCAUGAGCAGUGGGCUUUGUUCUAUCUAUUGGUGAAUCGAAUCAAAUUUAUGCCAUUUGGGGUUCGCAUCAAUUCAAUUUGUCCUUCUACAUGUGUCAGCAGUGAUUUAGCACAUUGUGUAUGGUUCUUUACCCACCUCGCAUAUGUUCAUGUCACUGUUUUGUUAUCCGGGAAAAGGAAAAAGAUGAAAAAAGACAAGCAGUUCCCCUUUGCCUUUGUCUGCAGAAUAUGUCUCCUUUGUUGACAAUAGUGUUACAAAAGUUGAUUAUGAAAACUGCAUCUAGCUUUGAUUUUGAAAAUUGUUCAAACUAAAUUAAAAUUCUUUGUUUGAAGACUUUUAGAACUGACGAAACAAACUACUGCAGGAGCCAAAUCAAACCGCUUGAAAUUUAAUUCUGCCCAUUCAAUUUUAAGUCUCCUAUAAGUUAAAUCUGUAGUAGAUUAAUCAUAAAAGAAAAUUCUAUAUACAAAUAAUCUACCAUAUAAAAACGUAUUACAUACGAAACUACAUGUGCACGAAAUGUCUUUAUCAUUUAUAUGAACAUAUGCUGCUGAUAUUUGGAAAUUUAUCAAUCAAACCGAGACCAAAAACUAAAAUUAUUUAUAGGCUUGGGAAACAGAAUCAAACCAAAACCAAAUAAAAACUAAACCAUUUUUUUUUCUUCCAUUUUUGUAGCUAAAUGGUGCGCACCCCCUAGAUUAAGCAGUGGUUAGGACGCGUCUUGUUUAACCAUCUCCAUCUCCUUGUUGCUGUUAUUGAUAGUGAAAUGCCAAUAAUUAAGACAUGACAACUACAAGAGCUAAAUUGGUUUAGGCAUUUUAAGCCUCUAAGUACGACAUCGCAGUCGCUUAUUCAUAGUAAGUGCCUGAUUCCUUGUCUAAAUUCUUCACUAAAAAUAUCUUGAUUAUCUGUAGCCAUUUGCAUUAGUUCCAGCCUCAAUUAACUUGCACCUGCAAUUCCUGGUUUUAGAGAGAGAUAGAGAGAGAGAGAGAGAGAGAGAGAUCAUGAAUAUAUAAUAGUCCCAUAUUAAUAAAAAGGAAUCCUAGCAUGUAUAUAAAGUACGAGGGUAUCACUUGGUUUAAACUUUUGUAUUAAGUCCUCUAAUAUGUCAAUAGAGGUUAGUUUACACCUUUCAAAUUGAACAUAAAAAGAGAAUUUUGCUCGGUUCAUAAAAUCCAUAAAUGUGGCAUGAACAUUAGUCAAUUUAAAAAAUAUCACUAUAAACUCAUAAUACCCCGUACUGUAUCCUGAAAGCCGUAUUUGGAUAGAUUUGUAGUGAUAUAUUUUGGAUACAUGUAUAUACAGUUGGUUUUACGUAUAUAUUUGUGGUUUGGCGGCUCUGUUACUCCCUUAUAGUUGUAUUUAUAUUUUUUGCAGAUUCAACUGUCGCUUCGUAUACACGAAAAAUUUUUGUAUAUACAACGGAUCUGUUGGCGAGCCCGAAAAACUGAAAUUCGGAAAGUGACGGAUUAAGUUGUUAUCAGAGAAUACUUCGGUGCUUCCAGGUCGUUUUCGAUGUUGCGACUAUUGAAUCGUCGAUCGGCUCAAUUAAACUUGAUCUAGAAUAUUCGAAGUACCUAGAAAAUAAAUUUUGCAAUUUUUCGAUAUCAUUUGCCUAGUGAACUAAGGGGCUCAAAAUCAACGGCUAAAAAUAAAAAUUUUACAAAACGUGAUAAUAUGAAAUUAAAAUUUUAGAUCAAAGAUAUUGAUCUUGUUUUAUAUACUAUAAAGAAUUUUCUAUCAAAAUUUUACGUGAUUUGAAUAUUUCUACACCGUUAAACUUGCAAACAGCUCACUACGGCCUUUAAAAUUAUUAAUUUUGAGCCCCUUCGAUCUCUAGGCAAAUGAUAUCGAAAAAUCAUAAAAUUUAUUUUCUAAGUACUUCGAAUACUCUAGAUCAAGUUUAAUGGAGCCGAUUGACGAUUUGAAAGUCGCAACAUCGAAAACGACCUGGAAGCACGGAAGGCUCCGUGCUUCCAGAAGCAUAGUAGCCUCUCUCUCUCUCUCUCCUCUCUCUCUAUAUAUAAUAUAUAUAGAAUUAGACUGGAAUACUAUUAAUAGUAAAACGCUCUUUUUGCUAUCAAGUUUUUAACUCUUGGAAGAAAAAUUGUAAGGCCAGAAUGAUAUUAGUCGGUUAGCGUUGAGGUCACCCUAGGGUUGAGUGGUCCCCACUAAUAGUAUUUAAUCCAAUGGUUAAAAAUAAUGAAAAAGUUGAUCCAAAGGCUAAAAAAUUGUAGGCAACAUGAGAUUUUGCUACUAAUAGUAGCCAGUCCAAUAUAUAAUAUAUAUAUAUAUAUAUAUAUAUAUAUAUAUAUAUAUAUAAAUAUAUCAUUGCCUCUGGUAUGCUUCUGGAAGUACGGAGUGCUCCGUGCUUCCAGGUCGUUUUCGAUGUUCGGACUUUCGAAUCGACGAUCGGCUCUGUUAGAGUUGAUUUAGAGUAUUUGAAGUAUCUAGAAAAUAAAUUUUGUGAUUUUUCGAUAUCAUUUGCCUAGUGAUCGAAGGGGCUCAAAAUCAACGGCUGAAAAUAAAAAUGUUACAAAAUAUGAUAAUAUGACAUUAAAAUUUUAGAUCAAAGUUAUUGAUCUUGUUUUAUAUGGUAUAAAGAAUUUUCUAUCAAAAUUUCAUGUGAUUUGGAUAUUUCUACACCGUUAAACUUGCAAACGGCUCACCACGGCCAUUAAACUUAUUGAUUUUGAGCUCCUCCGAUCACUAGGCAAAUGAUAUUGAAAAAUCACAAAAUUUAUUUUCUAGGUACUUCAAAUACUCUAGAUCAACUCUAAUGGAGCCGAUCGUCGAUUCGAAAGUCCGAAUUUCGAAAACAACUUGGAAGCACGGAGGGCUCCGUACUUCCAAAAGCAUACCAGCCCACUCUCUCUCUCUCUCUCUCUCUCUCUCUCUCUCUCUCUCUAUAUAUAUAUAUAUAUAUAUGAGAGAAAAAGAUAGCAUAUUAUCCGCUACGUUUUAUAUAUUUUUUCUAAAAAUAAACUUAACUGAAAAUAAAAAUUAGAUUUUCGAACUUUGGUUCUCGACACCGACCAUCAAAUUUUUUGUCGCGUGAGUUAAGGACAGUCAAUAGUAAUUAAAAAUAAUAUUCUCUUAUUCGUUUGAGUUUCUAAAUUGAACAGUUAUUUCACAUAAUAUCAGAACAGUUUCACUUGUUAUUAAGCCAAUUAAAAAGUCUAGGAUCUCGUAUACCAUUUUCCUUUACUAGUUCCAUAAGUUUUAUUUAAUAAGAUAUUUUAGAGGUUGGAGUCCUUCAACCAGAGGGAGAGAGGGUUCUUGCAAUUAAGCCUUCUUUUUUGGUCAUAUAGCUAGGUGGGGAGUCACCAAACAAUAACAUUGGAUUCUUGAGCAAGUGAUAGCCCUAGUGGGAUGCUUGCUCACACAGGCAGGAACAGCUAAAUAUGGAUAGAUAGGAACUUGAACACAAAAGGGGAAAUAAAGGGGCACUAGCAAAGUAAAGUUGGUGAAAUGGGGCUUUUCAUCAUUGUGAUGUGCAGUUGUUGCAGUGAUGCCCUGCACUCUCUGGGUGAACUGGGUUAUUCCUUCAUCCGACUUUACCAUUCUGCAUCUUUUUCCUGGCUUCAGACAGAAGUCUAGUCCAAAGCUUUCCCACACAUCUCUCUCUCUCUCUCUCUCUCUCUCUUAUUAAGUGUUUCUUAGUUUGUGUUGAAAACCAUGUAGAUUACCUACUGUCCCUAUCUGUUAAAUUAUAUAAAACAAACAGCUGUAUUGGGGUCGAAACUUUUCGCUAGAUCAUAACGUUUGAAUUAAAUGAGAGAAGAUUAAUAAUGUCAAGUACCUAGUAUAAUUCGAACUCAGAACCUUCUGUUUUAAUACUAUGUUAAAUUACAUAAAAUAAUCGUUGUACUCAGCUUCAGUUGGUAGGGAAUGGUGUUUAACUGUUAUUAUAUUUAACACUAUCGUGAGCGGUAAAGAACUUAAUAGUUAGUUUUUCAAGUUUCAGAUUUGGAGCUUAGUUACUUCGCAUUUACAAUUAUAUUUAUUUAAAAAAAAUUAAAUGAAGCAGGUAAAAUAUUUAAAAGAUCGCAAUGCUCGACCAAAUAUAGUGAUGCCUUGGUUCAUUCCUUCUAAACUUGCUAACAGUGUCUUUAAGACAUGCAUCUGAACCAAUCGGCUCACAUCGUCUAAAAUUAUCGGCGCAUUAAUAAUCUUUAGACAAAAAUUUAACGCUAAUCAUAGCAACAUGGAUGAAAGAAUAUGUGAGAUAUCUCUAACUGAGAUGCAUUUCUUUGUCGAUCAUCGUCGUUGAAUAUCGCUUGGUUUGAAUUUAAAAAUAGAGUUAGUAACAUUAUCGAAGAGUCUGAGUAAAGCUCAUCAUGUCCUAGAUUUUCUUCUGUUAGACAAGGAUGUGCACCGCACGCAACAGGAAGUAGUACAUUUUUGGAUGGGAGUGGGGACUUCAUUUGUUUUUUACUUGCUUUGGCACUUACCAGAUGGGACUAUCUCAAAAUAUAUUUACUUGGGUACGAUCCAAAUCGUAAGGCCUCAACCUAUGAAGGGAAAUAAAUAUAUAGCUUUCACAUGUUGAAUGUUUCGCAUGUUCCAGCUUCACGUGACCAUACAUUUUUGGUGGUUCCAGUGGAAAAUUUUGUAAUCCACAUACAGUUUCUUCUCUUUUCUUUUCUCUUUUUUCUUUUCUCUUUUUAUGUGUCGCAGUAUUGCAAUUUGCGGAACAUACUUCUACACCCCAUAAGAGAUUUUUUUUUUUUCUCAAAACCAACACACGCAAAUUGCACGAUCACUUGGAACUUCUCGGUGCAUUAAACUGCACCCCUCCUCUAUUUCUUUCUUUCUCUUUUUUCCUUUCUUUUGAGAAGCGAAAAAAAAGAAAAAAAAAUCUUGUGAAACGAUCAAUAUAGAACAUUUUUGUUGAAGAUAUUUGGAGUCCCCGCAACUAAGUGUUUAUUAAUUACUCGACGCUAUAGGAUAAAUCCACCGAUCAUUAUCUAAUACGACUUGGCAAAUUACUAUCAUUUGUACUAUAUAAUAUAGACUACAAAAAUAAAAGUAUACUAAUUAAAAAGUAAGAGAGAUCUAACUUACUUCUUACUCCUUACUUUUAAUAGUUACACACUACGAUAAAACUGCUCGAAAAGUGCUUCACUGAAUAGCAUCUGGUUAAUGUUACUGCAACAUUGUAAGCUUAAUCAUCCUCAUCAGAUAACUAAGCAUCCCUUACAUUUUGUGUCAGUAGUGCAUGAAUCCCUCUCUUAUCCAUGUGUGGACCAUGAAUACCGUUAGCCACGUGAGUGUCAGUAUGCGUGGGACUCGAGAUCCACUGUAGCUCCCACACGUAUAAGAUGGGGCCUCAGUGUUCCAAUGGGUCAAGGGCACGUUCAAAGUUGUGUUUCAGAGACCCGAACUGGUAGUUAUUGUGCUCAGUGGUGUACAUGAAAUGUAUCAUUCAGAUUGAUCUGAUCUGUUUCCCUGAGACUUUUUAGUGCAAUCGCUUGUGGGGGGUGGAGUCCCAGAGUGCUCAGAUGCUCACAUUUUCACUGCCACACCACGUGAUCUCCACGCCGGGUUAGAGUGGCGAUUCCGAAACUAGCUUAAGCUGAGCUCGAACUGAAACUUGCGAUCUAAUUAAAGUCGGUGGGAAUGGUCAGAGUAUUCUAUCAACUCAUCCAAAAUUACGUGGUUUCGUCAACAUGAAUCUCAAAACAGCGUGAAUGCAAUCUGCGUUGCCCGUUAGAUUCUUUGUGUACAUACUUUUUAUGGCCAACAAUCCUGAUUCCACCGACCGUACCUAGAGCAAGUGGCAAAGGGUUUGGUGAUUGGUAUUCGAGACCCAAGUUCGAAUCAUAGUUGAUUUACAUUUCCAGCUAAAUUUAUUUCUAAAUGAAAUAAACAAAGCGGAUAGAUGAUACCUAUCUCUAAAAAAAAAAAAAAAAAAAAAAAAAACAAUGCUGGUUCCUAAUCCUUUUUGAAUUGGAUUAUUCAAGCUUUGCGUUUAUGCACGUAAGCUAUGGUUCAACAUAAAAUCGUGAAAAAUAGUUUUUCAUAGAAAAAAAUUUUCGUGGAAAAAUAUUUUUUACAUUUUUUAGUAGUUGGUUUGUAGGAAAAAAUAGUUUUUCAUCAAAAUAUAUUUGGUUGAAGGAAAAAAAAAAACACUUGUUUUGUUUGGUGAAAAAAAAUGAAUGAAAAUAAUUUUACGUAGCUGAGUUUUCAUUUUUCGCUGAAAAAUAGCAGAAAAUAAAAAGUUUAUUUUUUUCUCGAAUCCGUAAAAUACUUUUGCAAAAAAAAUAUUUUUACGUCGAGGCAAAUAAGCGAAAAAAUAAUUUUUUAUACCGAAAAUUAUUUUUCGGUUCAUUUUAUGCGGAACCAAACACCACCUGCGUGAAAUAGGUUCCAUUUUCAAAAUUCCAACCACUAAAUAUUUGAUUAAAUAUAUUAAAAUAUAUUUCAGCUUCACAUACCUAAUAAUAUUAGACAAGCGUUUCAAACAGCACUAACAAAGAUGAUGGAUUUACCACGCAACAACUAAAAAUUCAAUCCUAAAUCUCUCCAAUUCUUCUAAGCGUGCAUGACGGAAAAGAGAACGGAAAAGAAUUCUAGAGUCGAAUCGACGGUACUGAUUUAGGAACAAAAAGUUGAUCGGAGUAGACCGUGUUAUUAACCGUUCAUCACGUGUACAAUACGAAUUUAUAAUCACAAAAACUAUAAAUAUUAAUAUUAUUAUUAUUAUUUUUAUUUGCAGUGGGGGCGGGGUUGAUAUGGACGGUGGAUCGCACACCUAUCACCCUCCGAACAGUUCACAGUUACACAUGCGCACCCGUCCUAUUUAUCGGGCUCUGUUGGUCCCCAGUUUGGCUCGUCGACCCAAAAGAACGCGACUGCGUUCUCUCGGGUGCGGUCCCAACACCGAGCUCGACGCUGAUGGGAUUCAGAGGAACCUAGUCAACACUGCUAGUCCUCUUCACUAUUUUUCUUUUUUUUAUUUUCUUUUUUUUUAUUUUUUAUUUUGGGCUUGUACUAUUUAUUGGGCUCCCCCCUUUUCACACUCUCUCUCCCUGUUGAAACCAGACCUUUCUCUCUCUCUCUCUCUCUCUCUCUCUCUCUUUCCGGGAUUCAAAUUGCUCUGAAGAAGAAGAAGAAGACGACGGCAAGGAACGCGAGGAAGCGAGGAGCUAGGGUUUCAAAUCGCGCUUCUCCUGCGCUCCAUCGACGGAUCGAAGCAACUAGAGGAACCUAGAGGGUUCGGGAUUUGGAUGGUGGGUGCGAGAGAGGAUUAGGGCGGCGGAGAUGGCUGAUCUGAGCGGCGGCGGCGGAGGAGAGGGUUUUGCGGCGGAGGCUGGGGGCAAUGCGGCGGCGCUCAAGGGGGCGCCGCGGCGGAGGGGGUCGAUUCGGCGGAGCUUGGAUGCGGACGAGUUCAUCAACAUGCUCCACGGGUCCGAUCCGGUGAAGGUCGAGCUCAAUAGGCUCGAGAACGAAGUCAGAGGUGGGAAUGUGGUUCGAUCUGUAGUUUUUUUUUUUUUUUUUUUUUUGUCCUUGUGUUCUAGUUUUCUUUUCUUUUUUUUUCUAAAAAAAAUUGUUAUUAUUAUUGUUAUUUUUGUCCAGAUAAGGAGCGUGAAUUAGGAGAGGCUCAGGCGGAGAUCAAGGCUCUGAGGUUAUCGGAGCGUGCAAGAGAGAAGGCUGUCGAAGAGGUCUUACUCUUUUNGGAGGGGGUCGAUUCGGCGGAGCUUGGAUGCGGACGAGUUCAUCAACAUGCUCCACGGGUCCGAUCCGGUGAAGGUCGAGCUCAAUAGGCUCGAGAACUAAUUUAGAGGUUUUUCUGUUAUUGAUUUUUUAGAUUUUUUAUGUUUUUUUUUUUUAUUUUAUGAACUUAUUUUCUCGUUUUCUUAAUCUUUUGACUGAGUAACUCCGACUUGUAAAAACGUGGGGCAAAAAAAAAGUGUUUUUUCUUAAUAUUUUUGUCGUGAUUGUCGAAAAUGUCUUCUAAAAACAGUGCUCGUCAAAUGAAUUUAUGGACUUGAAUAGUAUUUGAGAUGUAUAAUCUAGUCCUAUGUAGUAAUCGUUCCUCCUGCUAUAUACUAUAUCAUGAUUGAAAAUCCUUGUGAUAUUGUUGGGUUCUACUUUAGGUGAAUCAAGGCCUGCAAAUUUAGUUUUUUCACAAUGCUUAUAUUGCUAUUUUUAUAGGGUUUGACUCGAUCGCAUAAUCUAGUAUUAAUUCAGCUGUUUUAUCUGCCAUCUAGAAAUUCACCUACUGUUAUACUUCUGUCCGGUUCUAAAAUUUUUAUUGGUUGACGAAAACUUGGCAAAUUGGCAUCUUCUAUCUUGUUAGCAAUGUAGCAGUUUCGCUUUGUGUUAAAACCUGAUUUAUGGUUCUUUUUAGCUCGACAUCCACUGAUUUCACUCUUGCAAUGUCAGCUUUCAGAGGAGUUGGCAAAGUUGGACGAGAAACUCAAGCUAACGGAAUCCCUUCUUGAAAGCAAAGUAUGUAUACGCAGUACCUUACCUUGUGCGACCUCUUAUUUUAGUUUUCAUUCAGAACUGAAUCUGGUGAGAAAUGCAACUUACAGAAUCUUGAAAUCAAGAAGAUUAAUGAUGAGAAAAAAGCCUCCAUGGCUGCCCAGUACGCAGCAGAAGCUACACUUAGGCGAGUUCAUGCAGCUCAAAAGGAUGAUGACAUGCCCCCAAUUGAAGCCAUUCUGGCACCGCUUGAGGCAGAGCUGAAGCUUGCCCGUCAGGAGGUAACAUUCAACCCCGUAUCUGCCUAUCUUUUUACUCUUCCUGUUUAGAAGCUUUUACUUCUAGUUCACUAUAGAAUGUAAUGAUGUUUUCGUAUUUCAAAGCUUAUUCUCAGUUAUCUAUGCAGAGGUUCUAUUAGGUCAUUUUCUAUAUUAUGCUCCUAAUCUCUCGGGGGAAUUUUCAAAGACAAUUUAUACAAUACUUCUGAAUGAGAUUGAAAGCUGGUCAUCGUCAUAGUGUUUCGUUUAUUUGAUUCCUUUUAAUCCUCCAAAGCUCCCUGCAUAAUUUUGCUAAUGAUAAUUCACCUACUUAGUACAAUAGAUUGCAAAAAUGGGGCUGUUGACAUAUCAUCUCUCAUGGUUACUUAAGAAAGAUUUAGACAAUUAGUUUCUCAUUUACUAUUCUUAAGUUUUCACAAACUGAGCUUAUCCCAGGAAUUAAUAAAUUCGAAAUAACAUCAGCAUUUCCUACAUAGACAUGAUACGUGUUAAUUUGAAAGCAUUCUAUCGGUCAUAACUCAUAAGCUACUCUUAUGGAGUGGAAGUAACCCCUUUUGCUGCAGUGUAACCAGUGUUGGAUCCCAUUAAACCAAUCUGUUGAUUUACUUCAUUUGCAUAUUUAAUGCAAAUAAAAUAAAAUGGCAACAAGAUAUUGUUACAGAUCUAGUAUAUUUGCAGAUUGCAAAGCUGCAAGAUGACAAUAGGGCAUUGGAUCGUCUGACCAAAUCCAAAGAGGCAGCAUUAGUGGAAGCAGAAAGGACCGUACAGAUUGCUUUAGCAAAGGCUUCUAUGGUGGAUGAUCUACUAAACAAAAAUCAGGAGCUGAUGAAGCAGAUUGAGAUCUGCCAGGUGUCUAUGAUGUGCAAUAUCUUAACUUGAAUAUGAUAAAAGAAAGAGCUCGGUCUUGUAGAAAGGUGCCAAUCUCAGAAUUAAAAAUUCUCUUAUAUUUUUUGCAUUUUAGGAAGAAAACAAGAUCUUGGACAAAUUGCACCGCCAAAAAGUCGCAGAGGUUGAAAAGCUUAGCCAGACUGUGAGGGAGCUAGAAGAGGCUGUUCUUGCUGGUGGCGCAGCUGCUAAUGCUGUUAGAGACUACCAGCGUAAAGUUCAGGAAAUGAAUGUAACAUAUCUUUGAGUUUUAUCUUGUUGUUUAAAUGUCUUCAGAAAGUUAGAAAUCCUCAUUGUAUUCCUUCUCAUUCCAUACAAACUGUUUUCUUCUUAAUAUCUGUACUAAUUUAGGAAGAGAGGAAAACGCUUGACCGAGAGCUUGCCCGUGCAAAAGUUACAGCAAAUAGGGUUGCUGUUGUAGUUGCAAACGAAUGGAAAGAUGCUAAUGACAAAGUAAUGCCUGUUAGACAGUGGCUGGAGGAGCGAAGGUUCAUGCAAGUACGUAGACAUGCCAACAUAUCUUUACUUUGUUGACAUAAUUACAUUUUGUUACUCAUCCUUUUUUUUACAGUAGCUUUAUCAUCACCAAAAUUUUAUGCAACAGGGGGAAAUGCUGCAGCUGCGCGAUAAGCUUGCCAUAGUGGAACGCGCUGCUAGAUCCGAAGCUCAAUUAAAGGUAAGACUUCACUAACAGAUCACCUGAGGCUUAAGCCUGCUCAUAUAUAUUUUUGUCUAACGCCUAGAUGCUUGCAAUGCGUGAUCCUUUUCUGUUUUUAGGAGAAGUACCAGUUGCGACUGAAAGUAUUGGAAGAAGGAUUGAGAAUGCCCUCAAGCAGUUCCACUCGUCCCGGUGCAGAAGGCAAGUCUUUAAGCAAUGGCCCUUCCCGUCGCCAAUCACUGGGUGGAGCUGAUAACAUUUCUAAGUUGUCUCCAAGCGGCUUGUUACUUAAGAAAUCUCCAUCAUUUCAAAUAAGAUCUUCUCUCUCCACAGGCAGCAGUAUAGUACUGAAGCACGCAAAAGGUGCUUCGAAGUCAUUUGAUGGUGGUAGUAGGUCACUAGAACGUGCAAAAGUCCUUACAAAUGGAGCAGGUCAUUUAAUGAACAGAUCGUCAGAUAGUAUUAGAGACAGUGAGAUGAAUGACUAUUCUAAAGAAAGCACAGAUGAAAAAUCAAUAGUUGAUUCUGCUAACAAUGAUUUGAAUGAUUCUGUCUCUGGAUUGUUGUAUGAUUUACUGCAGAAGGAGGUAGUCAUGUUAAGAAAAGCAUGCCAUGAGAAAGAUCAAAGCCUGAAGGACAAGGAUGACGCGAUUGAGGUAUAUGACUAGCCUUUUGUUGCCACAUCCUUCUCCAUUUUUGAAAGCCCUUUAACUCUUUUUUUUUUUUCUAUUUUUUAAUGCAGAUGCUAGCAAGGAAGGUGGAUACAUUAAAUAAAGCAAUGGAAGUGGAGGCCAAAAAAAUGAGAAGGGAGGUGGCCGCCAUGGAGAAAGAGGUUGCCGCCAUGCGUGUGGAGAAGGAGCAAGACAAUAGGGCUAAGCGGCUUAGUAGUUCCAAGGCUCCUGUAAAUACUUCCCAGCUGCUAUCUGGGAGGUAAGAUCGAUUUCCUGACUAUCAGAACAGCUUUUAUUUUAUUUCAAGUUCAAGGUUUUGGGAACCCAAGUUUGUUGUCCUCUUCUUUUUUUUUUUUUUUAAUUUUGUGGUGCAAAUGUAUAGACAUUACCUGAAAAACAGUGCAUUUUGAACUGGAUACCUGAAGUUCAAAGUUUUAAUUGUACUACCUAAUCUUACUUUCUUUUUGAUAUCUGAAAGACUGGAACUGUUAUAAUACAAUCUCUAACAGUUCAUGGCGUCAUUUUGUCUGCAGAAAUGUCCCACGAAGUGGGUUGACGCGCAAUGUUCAAUGACAAAGCAACUCGAAGUAGAGCUCUCAUGCUCCUUUUGCUCUUCCAACCUACUUUGUUAUCCCCAAGCUUCCAUGACUUGUGGAUUAAAAUCGGCACGGACGACCCUUAUACUAUCAAGAAAGAGGGGAAAAAAGAAGAAGAAAGAGGACACAAAGAGGGCCGAUGUGCAUCUGACACGACUUUUCGCCGUAAUGCUGUAGUUGGGGUGAUGCUUUAAGUCAAGCUAACCUUCUUUGUUUUGUUUCUUAUUUUGUUUUUUCAAGUCAAGGCUCGUUAUCCGUUUUGUAAGACGAACCUUUUGUAUUGUUUGUAUAGGUUGGAGUAUUCUAUUUCUUCCUACUUGCUCUCUUUUAACAGAGUGUGGUGGAUUCCUUUUCUCUACCCAGGUGGUGAAUAUAUUCUUAUACCAUGUGGUUGGUUUGGUAUUGAUUUUAUCGUCACAAUGUUUGUGAGAAAAUUUCUUAUCCCAACUGUGGUUGUAUGCGUGUAACUUAGCAAACGAAUAUGAAACUUUCCGUUUAGAUUUGAGUUUGAUUUUACCGAUAAACAAUUUAUAUUUUGGCAUCUGUAUAGAAUAUAGGGCUCGUUUGUUGAUGUAACUAUCAAUUUACUCCGUUCCCUUUGAUUCUGUUUAAGUACAUGUAUCUCUUCCAAGAUUUCCGAUGCCACUUAAAAACUAACAUUCUUUCUUAUAUUUAUCCUCUUUUUAUUACUAAAUCUCUUUAUUUUUAUUUUCUUUCGAUUUUUGUUUUUCUUAACGCAACAAGAUUCAAAGAUAUUUGACCAGGUUCGAAGGAAUCGUGACCAUUUUGGACGUAUUUGGUCAACAACUGUUGCUUCACGCACACUUGAAUGCACAAUUAAAAAAAUACCUUCUCCUCGCGGAUUUUUGUCUCGCUAAUUAGAUUCGGUUCGACAUGCUUUCAAUGACUCGCACCUAAAAUACCGUGAAUCAGGUACAGAGGAAGCGAACACCGUACAAAGCCCUCACCCCUAUCAUGACCCCACACGUGUACAUUUCCGAGUGGGCCCCACGGUACGUACGGUCGCAAGCCCCACGCCUACGCCUAAGCCCACCUGUAUACACGGGAUUUCGUAUACGUGAUACGUCGUCACAGCUCUCUCUACUUGGGGCGUCAAAAUUCACUUCCGACGAACGUCCGCAUAGAGAGAUCCUAUGCGGGAAUAUUUGAAAGGUGAUGCUAAUACGACCUUUCUCUCUCUCUACGGUCUCGCUUUCCUAUUUAUCGUCGAAUUAAAAAAGGAAAAAAAUGAAAAUAAUCCCACACCGCUACUCCCUCCGCACUUCCUCCGACGCGCUCGCCGUGCGAUUCCCCUCCUCCUCCUCCGCCUCCGGCGGCGGCGGCCUCCCGGCGGGGCCCGGCCGGUGAGUCGAUCGAUCCGCUUUGGUUCCUUUCGGGGUUCUGGUUUCGAUCUCAAUCAACUACUUUUUUAGAAUUUCUCGUGAUCUGAUGAGUUGGAUUGGUUUCGUGAUCGAAACUUGUGAUCGGUUUUGUAGGAUCUGCACGUUUCUUUUUUGUGUUGUACUUCGAGUUGGAUUAGUUUUGGUGCAGGGUAGAUGUAAAGCUCAGCUGAAGGAGAAUUCUGAUUAUGGUUAUGGUUGUUAGGGUUAUCUACUUUUAUUUUUUGUGGCGAUUUUAAGCUGUUUUUGUUGAUGGGAACAAGCUCUUUGUUUGUCUUAGGAUCAAAUAAUUUUUUCCGAGGGAAAUUUUGCAAUCGUAUCGUGAGAGAGAUUACAUCAGAUUUUUUUUUUUUUUUUUUUUUUUUUUUUGAUGCGUAAUGUUAGAUCGGUUUGGACAAUCAUUCUUGCAGUAUACCUUUUUUUUUUUAGGCAACACACUAGUUUUAUUUAUAAAUUAGUUACUUUUUGGUAUCCUUCUAUAUACACUCUUCUUAACAUUUUAGUUUGUCAUAUAUCAAUUCUUUUUCACUCGAGAAUUUUGUAUUCUCACACCAAUUACUCUUAGCACCGCCUCUCCUAAGUUGAAUCAUGAUCAAUUAUUCCCCCAAUUCUCUUAAUUUUUUCCUUUUUUUCCUUAACCUAUUUGGUUGAAUGUUAUGUAUUGAUUACAUCUAUGCAUCACUAUCAUUAUAUUAUAUGAAAAGGAUGUUGUUUUGUAAGACGGUCUCGUUGCUAGGGGGUUUAGGAUGGCAAGUGGAAUGUACCAGAUUCGGCGGGUGUAGCCUUGAUCAUCAAUCCAAAUGCCGCCACUUCGUGGUUCUUUUAUUAUGUAAUACUUAUUACCUAUACGUGAAUUAUCUCAUUUGUGUAUAUUUUAUGCAGAGGAGGAUUGGAUUGCUAGAGCAUCACACAUCGAGUUGAUUGAAAGCUUGUAUGCGGAGCAAGGUUGAGUUCUAGGCUAUCUUUAACGAGAUGAAAGGCGGAGGUCUGCUGAAACUAACAAGGACGAAUCUAUUUUUCAUGUUUAUCAUCCUUAUCUUUACAACGCUUAUUAUCUGGGCACGUGAGAGAACCCCGCUCGUCACACCUUUCCAACCAUCUCUGGAGCACUUUGAUGUUCUUUCUCCAGGUAUCUCUCUUUUUGAGCCCAUUGCUUUUCUUCUUUUGGACAUUUUUCAGUUUUAGGUGGUCCUUCAUUGCCCUUUUUCAUUGGCUGUUUUGGUUUCUCUUUCUACAGUUCUAUUGAUUCCUUCUUUAACUUCUCUCCUGAUUCUCUCAGAGUAUGCACGACCGCAGCUGUCUGUGGAAGACGAUUCAUCCGUUCUAGGUAAACUUCGAAACUCAUUAUCCGAAGAUGCAGAGGCAACGAUUGGCACUCCAUCAGUGGAGAUCUCAACACCUAGUUCAACUGAAAGAGAAAAAGUGAACGAGGAUUUAAAAGAGGAUCUUACAGCGAGUGAAAGUGAAAAGGAGCACGAAGAUUUGAAAAAGGAUCUUAGAGCAACUGAUAGUGAAAAAGAGCACGAAAAUUUAGAAAAGGAUCUUCCUUUGAAGAAAGGUAAUUUAUAAUUCUUUUAUUUUGUGAUUUCUUGUGAUAAUGAAUCUUUCUAUAGUUUCUUUUUGUACUAUUCAUGAUCCACGGUAUCAUGGCGAUGUGUUAUCACUCAUCACUAAUGUAGCUAGAUCUUUUCUUCUUCUUGAAGCCUUUUUUUUAUUUUAUUUUUGAGUAGUACUUAACUCUGUUGCUUAUACUUCUUAUACUGUUUUAUUUUCCUUUGAACAUCUUUGACGACAGUGUGCAUGUCUUGAUGCAUCUGUCUGUGUUGUUGAUGUUAUCUUGCAGGAAAUAAUGUGUCUGUUGUUGAGGUGUCUUGGUAGGAAGUACUUAGGCAAAUCCCUUUAAAUCCUUGCUUCUUAAGAUCAUUUAAAUGUGUCUAAUAUACUUAUUAUUCUUCUCAGAUUGUAAUUUUGCAAAAGGAAAAUGGAUCAAGGAUAAAAAGCGGCCACUAUAUUCUGGUUUUGGAUGCCAGCGAUGGCUCUCAGAAAUGUGGGCUUGUAGAGUGAUGAAGCGUCCAGAUUUCUCCUAUGAGAAUUUCCGAUGGAAACCAGAAAACUGCGAGAUGCCUGAGUUCACAGGGCACGAGUUCUUGAAGAGGUACAUGUUCCUUUUCCAAUAUUUUAAUUCUUACAUCUUUGUGGUUAAUUUAUAUGGUUGUGUUUGGUUCCCAGGAUGAGGCACAAGACAAUAGCUUUUGUAGGUGAUUCCUUGGGGAGGCAGCAAUUUCAGUCCCUAAUGUGUAUGGUCACUGGUGGUAAAACUAGCUUACCUGUUGAAGAUAGCGGUAGAGAAUUCGGUCUAGUUAAAGCUCGUGGUGCUAUACGGCCCAACGGUUGGGCCUAUCGCUUUCCAAGUAGCAAUACCACCAUUCUUUUCUACUGGUCUGCAAGUUUAUGCGAACUGCAGCCUCUGAACAAAUCAAAUCCAGCUACAUAUUAUGCUAUGCAUCUAGAUCGUCCUGUAACGUUCUUGAAGCAGUUUCUCGAUAGGUUUGAUGUUCUCAUCCUCAACACCGGCCAUCACUGGAAUAGAGGGAAAUUCAAAACUAAUAGGUGGGAAAUGUAUGUCAAUGGGACACCCAACACAAAUAAACGGCUUGCCGCGAUAGGAAAUGCCAAAAACCUUACUAUAUACAGCAUUGCCAAAUGGCUCGAUUCAGAACUUCUGCGACGCCCAAAAUUGAAAGCUUUUUUCCGGACAUUAUCGCCCAGGCAUUUUGUUAAUGGAGAUUGGAAUACUGGGGGAAGCUGCGAUAACACAGUUCCCUUGGCUGGGGGCAGUGAGGUAGUGCAGGAUGGUUCAAGCGAUAUAGUUACUGCAGGUGCCGUAAAUGGAACUAGGGUUAAGAUUUUGGAUAUUACUGCUUUGUCGCAGUUGAGAGAUGAGGCACAUAUAUCAAAAUACAGUGCAAAAUCGUUGAAGGGUGUGCAUGAUUGCUUGCACUGGUGCCUUCCUGGUGUUCCUGAUGCAUGGAAUGAAAUCCUGUUCGCACAGCUUUAGACUAGUUUCGGGACAAAUGAAAUGAAUGGAACAGCGAUCUAUUGGAGAAUGUAGAAGGAACACAUGAAGGAGGUCCUGCAAAGCAGUUGAUCUUUCUUUUGGAAGAUCUUUCAUCUAGCCUUAAGAGGCUUAGUUGUAUUGAGCCUCUUAUCUUUUCUCAGUUUUCUUUGAUUCUUUGGACUAGCCUUUCAGAGGUAAUUACAUUAGGUAAAACAGUGGCAAUACCUUCUUUAUGUCAGUUUUAUGUUAUUUAUCUUGUUUCUAAGUUGAGGUCUAUGAACUGAAGGUGCAUUUGCUACUGGAGAUGGGAACAUGAUUGGGAUGGCCCCUUGACGUUGUUUUGCUGACAGAACAGUGACGACCUGUAAAUCUACUAUAUUAUGAUAAAAUGUAUUGAACUUUUCACAAUACAUAAGAAACUGAUCUAAGUAUAUAGACCUUCUGAAGUUUCGUAUUAUUUCUUUCUUCCGUUUUAUUUUGGGAUGAAGUCAUAUGGAGUGAAGAUGAGUUUGCUCCUACAUUGGCUUAGAAAACUGUAUCUGUCUUUCUAAUGUAUUGUAAGGUUAGUUUAUACUUUCUCUGGAAUUUUGUUGAUGUUUCCAGCAAGGUUUUAAGUGCCCGUCGGUACGGGGCGUAUCCGCCGUGCCGUACCGUGCCAACAAGAUACCUACACGAUACAGACCCUGUGCCGAUGGCAUAGGUUAAAACCCUUUAUUCUUUAAAUUAGUAAGUAAUUUCCUCAAUAAAGUUCAAAAGAUGUGAUAAAAAGAUAUAAUAAAUAGUUAGAAUAUUUUGUUGCUAAAGAAAAUAAAUAUUUCAUGCUAUUAUGUGUCGACACACAAGAAUUUUUUUGACCGGCACGCAUCGGCACAGCUCGGCACGCACCGUGCCGUACCGUGCCGGCAAGUUUCCGGCACGAUCCCGUGCCACGGCACUUAAAUCCUUGGUUUCCAGUAUUUCUUUUCUGGACUACUAUGUUGCUUGUUGUGUUCAUUAUUUUGUAGAUUGCGAAGUACAUGAUUUUGGAUAGCAAAUUCAGCAGAACCAAAUUGUUGAGACACUUUCAGGAGGCUGAGCCGCCUCCAGGUUGCCAAAAACUAUGCCGAGUUUAUCUGAAACACUUGAAAGAAUUGGUGGUGAGUUUGAAAUAUGAUUCAUAAUGGUAGGUUUUGAAGAUAUCAAAUUCUUUCUAUUCCUUCCCUGAAAUUCUACGGAUUUUUACGCUUUUCUUACAGUAUUAUAUUCUUGACUUGAUUGUAAAUUUGACUAUACCAAAACUAACACUCAGAUCUUAGCAUGGUGGAUCAUGCUAAAAUAUUUCUUGCAGUAGAUGCCAUUGCGUUCAACUGUAAGUAUCCUAACAGCUUAUGCUACUCUUUAGGCAUCUACUUACCAAUUUAGAAUGUUUUGAGUGUGAUAAAUCAAAGUAGAAAACUUAGAAAAGCUAAUCACUGUAACAAUAUUCGUCUAGCACUGGGAAGUAUGGUAGUGUUGACAUAUAUUAUCAUUUUUUUUAAAUUCUUUGGUUCUAAUUAUAAUAGUUGCUAUUUUAUUUUUUUUUCUCCUUGAUGUUUCUAGUAAUUGUCAAUGUUCUUUUGAGUAGGAGAGUGAUAUAGCAGAGUAGGUCCACCCUCUUAAAUUAGUCAAAGAUUGAGGCAGCUAUUUCUGACCAACAACAAUGGUUGCAAUUUUUCUUUGGUAAUAAGUGAUCGUAUAUCCACUUACUCUUUUACAAAAUUUUAGGACUAGUGUUUGAUGUGUGUGAUUCGAAUUGGGUGAUUACAGAUAAGUGUAAAAGAGUAGAAUCAACAUUCCUUCGACAAAAAGAUGAAGAUACCUUUAUACGGCCUAAAAAAUUUCAAUAGUUUUUGGUGCCUUUUCAUUCUCUAUCUCAAUUUUGGAUCUUUUACCCAGCUUUGUUUUUACGCGAGGAAAGUAUGUUCUUUUCUGAUUGAUAGCAACAAGAGGUGAACUGAUUCUUAAAUAGCCAAGUUAGUAUGACAUUAUGGCAAACAACUCAUAGCAUAAACCUGGUGUUCAAAUAGUGGAAGCCAAAAUUCUUUUCUUUUCCUUUUUUUUUUUGAACAAAUUGGUGACCACCCUGCUGAAGAAUCUGUGCUAAGAUAAAGAUGCAAACACAGUAAUCUACUGCAAGAUGAAGAAGAUCAAAUACACCAUCAACAAGUCGCAAAAGUUAAACAUGGUUGGGUGAAGAACAUAUAAAUAAGAAAGGCCAAUCAGAAAACUUCUUACUCUGAACAAUAGUAUAAUCAAGAUUAUCAUUGAUAAAUACCAACCAAUCUUAUUAUCUCAUCAAUCUCGCGAUUAGCUACUUAGUCAAAAUCACUCUCCAGCAUCUUCAGCAUUAAACAACAGAAGAGAGGAUGACAGAGAACCUCAUUUAAAAAAUAAUCUCAUUUUAAUAAAUAAUCUGCAGGUCAACCAACAUACUACAACUUGAUGAUAAGAAGAUCGAUGCAGACACAAGAGCCAGUUAAGAUAAACCUAAAAGCUAACUAUCUCACAAACACAACUAAACCCUUCUAAACACCACAAAGAUCCCAAAGUCACUCCUGGGAAGAUGCUCAAACACUACUACUAUUUUUCGCACGAAAUUGCACUACCAAAAGCUUAUAUACAUGCUAAUCAGUGGAAACAAAUGAGGUGGUACCUCCAAAGAAGUAAAAGGGAACUUUGUUUUUUUUUUUUUUUUUACACCUAAUAACACAAUAAGAGAAGAGAGGAUGAUCGGUUUACACUCUCCCUACAAGGUUACGUAGAUAGGCAAAAGAAUUCACCUUCUUGCUGCUUUUUCAGAAAGGUGAAAAACGUAGUUUUAGGCAGGAUUUGAACUAAUAGGGGGGGCUUGAUCUGAAACAUUAGCUAGUCCUUGCAUCAACCUAACAAUUUCUGUAGUAUCAUCCAGAUAAUAUUUCGCUUUACUGGGCUUUCGACAGACGGUGCAAGCAAACACUUCAGCAUCUGGUGCUAAAGAAGGGCCGGAUGUUGCCGUGGUGAUCACCUCAAACAUGUCUUCAUCAGAACGGUCGUCACCGAUGCAAAGAACAAAGUCCGGCAACAACUCUCGCUCCUUCAUAGUAGAGAGCAGCCGUCGAGCUACAAGACCCUUGCUAACCCCCUGCACACAUUCAAUGGUUAAGAUAUUAUCGUCUCUGGAGCAUGCGUUUUGGAAUAACUUAUCUAUCCCAGAAGCCAGAAGCUUCUGAAAACAAAACAUACAUUCGGCUAGCGUAUUGCUUGGAACGUCGGCAUUUACCUGCGGCUUGACCUCCACACAAUUAGACCCGCUUUUCACUGAAACGGGCUCAUUGGCGAGGACGCUCUCUAGAUGGUCGAGAAGCUCUUUUGCUUGACAAGAGCCAAAAUCAGGAUCGGCGUCCUCGUAACACCAGACAACCGCUGUCUCCUUGUCCUCGAUGGUCGACCCAUCAGUUGUUUCAGUAUAUAGCUUCAUAACAGGCUCUGCAAUUUGCUUCCAGCUGCAGUCUGCUGCCGGCACGCACGUUUCCCACUCUGCAUCUUUCCUGAGCCUAGAAGCAGACACCGGUAAAUAUUAUCGAGUCGGCACUUUUAAAACAUGAAUGAAUUUGUGCAGGUAAGCUAGUGAGUAAAAGUCACCUGAAGAAGUAGCCAUGCUCUGCCGCUAUUCCAAUAUUCUCGCACUGCGAGAACCACUCGCUUAAGGUUUUUCGACUUCUCGCGCUUACGAGAAACACCAUAUUGUUCUUAUCUCGGGACAAACUGUUCAAGAUCUCGAUAGACUUUGCGCUAGGGCUUUUAUCAAUAGAUGCCUGCGGAAUCAGGGUCCCGUCAUAAUCCAAAAGAAUGGCUCGGGUCGUGCUCCUCCGAUAAGCCGAAACAAUGUGCUCGUAAGCGAGCUUCCUGAAGUUGGGAUCAAGGGCUACAACCCUAAAACCGAGCCCAAAACCUAUCCCCCAACACCUCCUCCUGUUGUGAUCCUUGCAGGUCCUUUGCAGAUCCUGCAAAAAGCUGUUUGCCCAGUACCCGACGUCGUGCGUGCUGACGUACCUAUAGUGCUUCUCGUGCCGAAGCUGCUUCUCGGGCUCGGCCAUUUCCAAGGCGGAGUCCAUGGCAUCGGCCACCGCGUCAAUAUUCCACGGGUUAACCCUGAUAGCCCCGCUCAGGGAAGGGGAGCAGCCGAUGAACUCCGAGACCACCAACAUGCUCUUCUUCUGAGCCGACGGGCUCAACCCCAACACCUUAUCGAGCUCGCGGUUCCCCUCUCGGGCGAUAAUGUAUUCGUACGGGAUAAGAUUCAUGCCGUCCCUGACGGCGGUCACCAGACAACACUCGGCGACCACAUAGUAAGCCAUUCUUUCGUAGAAGUGCAGCGGCCUAUCGAUGAGGAUGACGGGCUCGUACCCGGGGCGGCCGAAAGCUUCGUUGAUCCGCUUCACCAUGGCGUAACUCUCGGCCUGGACCUCUUUGACAUCCUUCCCCCGGCCCCGAGCAGGGUUGGCGAUCUGAACCAGGACGACUUUUCCGCGCCACUCCGGGUGCUGCGCCAGCAGCUGCUCGAACGCCAGCAGCUUCAAGCUGAUGCCUUUGAAAAUGUCCAUGUCGUCGACGCCGAGCAGCAGCGUCCGGCCCUUGUCGCAGAACUGCCCGAUGAGCUCGGCGACCUUGAGCUCGGUGGCGCGGAGGGCGAGCACGGACCUGAGCUGGCCCAUGUGGAUCCCGACGGGGAGUAUCUUGAUGCUGACGGUGCGGCCGUAGUACUCGAGGCCGAUGUAGCCCCGCUUGGACUCGUAGGUGAGGCCGAGCAUGCGGCUGCAGCAGGAGAGGAAAUGGCGGGCGUAGUCGAAGGUGUGGAAGCCGAUGAGGUCGGAGUUGAGGAGCGAGCGGAGGAGCUCGAGGCGCACGGGGAGGGUGCGGUAGAUCUCGGAGGAGGGGAAGGGGCUGUGGAGGAAGAAGCCGAGCUUGACGCGGUUGAAGCGCUUGCGCAGGAAGGUUGGGAGGACCAUCAGGUGGUAGUCGUGGACCCACACCAGGUCGUCGUCCGGGUUGAUCACCUCCAGGAUCUUGUCGGCGAAGAUCUUGUUCACGGACACGUACGCCUGCCAGAGGGUGCGGUCGAAGCGCCCGCCGAGGUCGGGGGAGAGCGGCAGCAUGUAGUGGAACAGCGGCCACAGCUGCUGCUUGCAGAACCCCAGGUAGAACCGGGACCGGAGCUCGCCCGGGAGGAACGCCGGCACGCAUCGGAACGUCUCCAGGAGCGUAUGCGCCACCUCCUCCUGCUCCGCCGCCGGGAUCUCCUCGCGGAGGCACCCCACGUACACGAACUCCGCGUCCGACGAGUGCUCGCUGAUCCGGUCCUUCAGCUGCAGGAGCAGCGAAUCCUCGUCCCACGAGAAGGCCCAUCCCCCGCCGCCCUCGGAUGCGGGGCGCCGCGCCGCCCGGAUCGGGAGCUGGUUGGCGACGAUGAUGGUGCGCUCGCGCGCCGAGUGGGAGGAGUUGUCCGACUGCGACGACGACACCGAUGCGGCGUCGGCGUCGGCGUCGGCGUCGGAGUCGGAGUCGCCGAGGCCGGGGACGAUGCCGGGGGCCGUCAGCACCCGCGGGAUGCGGCGGGCGAUGCGGCCGACAGCCGCAGAGGAGGAGGACGAGGAGGAUUCGCCGGAGGCCAAUUCCAGAAGAUUCGAGUAGGAGCUUGAUACCAUUUCUGUGUCGACAACAAGAGGAUUAAAUGAGGGCUUUAAAAAAAAAAAAAAAAACCCCACCUUGGCCGGCCCCGGCCGGUAUAGAGAUUAGAGAGCUACUGGAAAAGGCACAGAGAUGAAAAAUGAUAUGAAAAAUUGGAGAAAAAACACACGGGAUUAUUAUUAUUAUUAUUAUUGAAUCAGGAAGAUGAGGAAAGAAAAAAAAAAAAAAAUUCCAACUUUUUUUCUUUUUGGUUUGAAAAUUAUAGAGGCAAAAUGCGAGGGAAGUGGAGGAGAGUUUAAGCAAGCACCUUGAUCCAAACUUGGCCAAAUAUUUAACAGAAAACAGCAAGUGGACAAAAAAAUUAAAAGAAAAAAAAAAUCCAAAAACUGAAUCGCCGUGGGGGAAUUUUUGAACUCACCAGAGCGUAAUAAUUGUAACCAAAACAGGACUAAAAUUUAAGAGAAUGAUCGGAUAAUUACCCACAUCCACACGAAGCUUUAUUUAAAAUUUUUAAGGGAGAUAGAGAGAGAGAGAUACAGAGAGAAAUAGAGAAGGAGAGAGAUAGAGAGAGAAGAGAUUGUAGGUUGCAGCGAACCACUGCGAUUUUAUUUAAAAGGAUUUAGGAGGAGGAAGAGGAAACUGUCGAGUUGGUACUCGAAUUAAAUAUAUAUUAUUUAUUUAUAAUUUAAUUAAAGAUUAAUAAACGCUCGGGGAGUGAGGGACGAAAUGACUAUUUUGCCCCUUUGCAGCUCUCGGAGUUUGGGAAGCGGUUCCUACGACCAGUUCGUAUGGGCGUUUUCUAGGUAAAGCCCGAUCGACCGUUUAAAGGGCCUAAGCGGAUCAGCCCGAGAGCGAUCCGACGGCGUAACGUCCAUCCCGCAUAGCAAAUUUCUAUGAGGACGUUGUCGGGGGGAGGGGGGGGCCGCAAGAAUCGUCUCCUUGAAAUUUCCGCACUCCGCAGGAUGGAUGAGACUCUGCUGCGGGUCCCACCGCCCGCCCUACGCUACACGCGCCCCGUUCGCACUGUGUCCCGUCGACACGUGUCGCUCCACCAGCGCGCGACACGUACAGCUGUUCGCCCUCGAGCGCCAACUUGGCAUGAACGGAUGAGCCCCACCGCGGGGCCCGCCACCUCAGUGGGACGGGCCAAGCAACGUACCGCAUGGAGCCACGUGCACUUGUUCGCCUCUCCCCCGCACCAAACACGCACAACACCAAACCACCGAAAAGCGAGCCCACAUCUCCCACGUGUCGCUCUUCCAUUGGGCGUCCCCGCUGUUCCGUGUUCUGCGCGGCACAGCGGAUGUACAUAAAUCAGUGGGGUUUCUCGGUGAGAGCGAAAGCAGGGGGGGAAAGUGGUCAACUGGAUAAGGAUUAGGAGAUUAAUACGAAUAUUUAAAUCGCAACAAGUGCUAAUUUAAGCUAAUAGUAUUUAAUUAAUCAAAUUAAUUAUUUUUGGGCUCUAUUUGUCCCGUAGUGCUUUUCCCCUUUGUUAUUUUAUUUGCCCCCCUGCAACGGAUAAGGUCGUCCAAUUUAUCUAUUUAUUUCUUUUUUUUCACAAUUUAUUUUAUUUAUUAUUUAUUAUUUAUUAUUAAUGUCAAUGAUUGCUUAUUUAUGGCACUUGUUAGAUAAGUCACCUGGGAUUAAAGACACACAAGGAAAGCCCAACGUAGUUUCGUCGAAUAGUUCGGAACAGUUUAUUUUUAAAAAAAACUAAAAUGGGAAGGUUGUCCAUAAGUGCUAAAAAUCCCUUAUUAGCUGUCACAUGCAUUUGAAGGAGAUCUUAAAGAUGGAUCUAACAUCUCAAACUGUACUAAAAAUAGAAACCCUAUCCUUAGGGAGUUUUAUAUGUUAAGAAACUUUUUGAUUGGCUCCAGCACAUGAUGUAAAAAGCUAACCAAAAAAUUGCAAAUAAUUAAUUAGUGCUUGCAUUGUCUCUUUUGUACUUCUAUUUUUCAACUGUAGUUAUCUUCAACUGAGCAUCUUAUCAAUAAAUUACAAUAACAAAAAAAAAAGAAAAAGAAAAAGAAAACUCAACUGAGGUUUUAACCUUACAAGUUACAAAUAGUUUAGUGCCUGCAUUAAUUUUUUUGAGGAAAUAGUGCCUGCAUUAAUUAAUGGUCUCAUUUGCACUUCCCCCUUUUUAUUUACAAAGAAAUUUUUGUAGUAGAAAAGUUGAAUUAAGUUAUUCCACAUACUUCAUCCACUAACAUUUUGCUCACAAAACGGACCGUAUCUAGAGCAAGUGGCAAAGAACUUGAUGGUUGGUAUCCAAGGUCUCAAGUUCGAAUUCUAGUCGAUUCACAUUUUCAGCUAAGUUUAUUUCUAAAUGAAAUAAACAAAGCGGGUAGCGUGCUAUCUAUCUCUCUUAAAAAAAAAAAAUUUAUUUUGCUCACAAAUGUGCCCUUAGAUUAUGUAAACCUCAACCUUGUAAAGCUUAUCCUCUCGUAAUAUGAUCGUAAAUUGCAAUUUCCUUUGUCUCUUCUCAUUAAUUAAUUCUUGUCAUUAGGAAUCAUUGUUCGGAUUGCUGUAGUUAAGUCAAAUAAUACAUCGCUACAACAAGAACGACACCAACGACGACAACAACAACAAUGACGAAAAAAACUCCUCCGUUGUUGUCUUCUUCUCUACCGGUAGCUCUUCCACCGUGCUCAUCUUAAACUUUAGCUUUGUCACGCCCCUCGAAAAUUUUAGUUCUGAGCUCACCCUAACUGGUAACUGCACUGUUGGCCAUGCAAACACAAACUAGUACAUAUGUCCUUAGUUAUGUUAAAAAGUUAUAGUUUAUCUUUUUAACAUAAAGGUUAUUAGAAUAACUGGUCAUGAGUUCGAAUUCUUCGAAACUUUUAGUCUCGUUUAAUUUAAGUUCACGUAUUGGAUACCUUAAGCUAUUAAAGAUAAACACGUGUCUCUGCUAAACAUAACUAUAUUAUCGAGCUUUUUUCUAUCAGAUAGUUUUGCCAUAAUUUUCUUAUAAACUGUCUUAUUAGAAUCUUUCAGAAUCACAGUAUUCAUAGAGAGUUAUAUAAUACUUGAGUAUUGCAUAAUUAGCAUAUAUGGUAAUUGUAGAAUUAACUUUUAUUGGUGUUUAAUUUCUCGGUACCGGAUUUUUUUCUCAAGCGCAAACAGUAUAAAAACAUCAUACACAAAGGAAUGGAGAACGGAGAACAUAAUUAUAUGAGUAAGUACUGUGCUUCCAAACAAGUCCUAAAUCACGCCACGACUCUUCGGAGACGUUAUAGCAUAGUCCAUCUAGAUAUAAAUAUCCAUCACCAUCAAGAAGCGGAGCCAUAUAUAUAGUAAAACAUGCGCAAUUAGAUCGAGAUGACGAUGGAAUCGACUGCGAGAAGAAUCACAAGCCAAAAGCUUUUUGCCGAUCAUGACAUUAAUUUGUAGCGUUGUAAUUCAUGGCUUGGGGACCCAUCUAUGCUUCGAUUCAAUCAUGUAGCUACGUCGCCCAAAGAACUACAUACAAAUAUAUUUAUACUAAUUGAAUGUUUCAUUGCAUAUGUAUGCUUAGUUAUUGUACCUAAUCCACCUUAACGACGGGACUUUUGUAAAAUUUUUCUUGUGAUGGAGAGAUAAAAUUAGUUCUUAUAUUUAAAAAAAGUUUAGACUCAGGAUUAUAAGCUUUACUUUUAAAACCUUAUUAAUGGGAUAUUCUUUUUUUUUUUUUUAACAGAGACAGAGCAAAUUAAGUCAAAUAAUAUUGACAUCACUUAUUAUCAUUUAAGAGGCAAAAUUGAAUAUUAAGUCCGAAGGUGAAGGCGUGGAAUUGAGUACCAGUAGAGGAUACGAUUGGGGCGUCAAGAGCCGCAAACUAAGUUCCCUCAAAUUUUUAAAAAAUAGCAAAAAAGAACAAAAAAAAACAAGGAAAAAAGUGCUUGUAGGGUAAAAAGUCAAUCAUUACUUAAGCUGAUAAAACAAGUAAUUAGAUUCUCUGGCAAAAGUUAGUUUCUCUGAUUGAAAAUAGCAAGGAAAUAUACUCAGAAGCAAGAUUUGUUGCCACAAUACCGAACCAUUUGACUUUUGUGAGUUGCAAUGCUUUGAUUGUCGACCAUUAGUCAAUUCAAGAAUCCCAUCCUCAGCUCCCUCUUUGACUUUGUUGAUCAUGCUUCUUGAUGGUUGACCACAUGAGAUGCGAAGUAGUUUAAGUAAUUGGAUUUUGGUAAAGUUCCCAUUUGGCCUUAAGGGCUUGUUUGAUUUGGGUUAUCCUACCAGAAUUACAAGUAAUUCUGUCAAGGUUACUGGGUUUGAUUCAUCCAAUCCAUAAUCUGGUCGGUAAUAUAGCAUUGCAAAUGGUGCAAGAUAACACAAAAAAUAUUAGCAAGUAGGGGGUGAGUAUCUUGUAUUACUAAUGGCGAAUAAUUCUGCAUGUUAUGUAAAAUUACAAAUUUAUCUCUCCAACCACUCACCCAAACUCUUUGCAUAUAUCAUUUUUUAAAUUUUAUUUAAAAGUUUGAAUUGCCAAAUUGUAAAUUUAAAUUUUAAAUUUUAAAAUUAAAAUUUUAAUCAAAUUUCAAAAUUUUAAAUUUUAAAUUUUUAAAUUUCACAUUUAUAUUUUAUAUUUUAUAUUUUGCUAAGUAUAAUAUAAGGAUAAUUGUGAAAUAGGCUAUACUUUAUUUUCAAAAUUACUGAAUUUUAUAAAAUGAACUAAACAUAAUAAUUUCAUAUAUAUUGUAAUUUACCAUUAUAUUACUGUGUUAAACCAAACGUGAUAAUAAAAAAUUAGUAGUAAUCUGAUUCAGAAAUUUUAGAUAUCUAGUUAUGUUGAAAUAUUUUGUAAUAUUACGUUACGCAAACCAAACGCAACCUAAGCUAUACAUGCUUUGUUGGUGCAUGUUCAAUGUUUCUACUGUUUGUAUAUGUCAACACCGUCUACCUACCAAAAGAUGCUAUUGGUUUGGAGAGAUGUACAUGUUUUUCAAAUUAAUUAGUUAUUAUUCUCGUGAUAAUAGGGCUAAUGCUACUAUCCUAUUAAUAGGAUAGGAGCACUUGUCCUAUCAAGUUGUUCUUGAUGAUCGAGAUUCCGAAUCGAUGAUCGGAGCCGUUGAAGUUGAUCUAGAGUAUUUGAAAUAUCUAGAAACUAAAUUUCAUAAAUUUUGAUAAUGGUUUACAUGGUGAUCAAAGUGUCGUAAAAUCGACAAUUUUUGACGGCCUAUAUGAGCCGUUUGCUUGUUUAACGGUGUAGAGCAAUCCAAAUUGCUUGAAUUUUUGAUAGAAAAUUCUUUAUACUAUUUAGAUAAUGUUUGAUAACUCUGAUUACGAACUGAGAAAGUCUAACAUCUAUUUUAAGAAGGUUAUUCAUUUAUGACCGUUCAUUUUUCAACUCUUAAGAUGAACUUGAUAAUAAUUUUUAAAUAUUACAAAAUUUGGUUUCUAAACAUUUCUAAUUGUGUAGAUCAACUUCAACGGUGCCGAUUAUCAAUUUGAAGUUUCGAUCAUUCAAAUCGACUUGAUAGGACAAGGGUCCCAAUCCUAUUAAUAGGAUAGUAGCCGGACCCUGAUAAUAGUGUGAGAAAGUGCAUUGGCCAGUUCAAAUUUGUUUCUUAUGCAUGGUAUCAAAGUACAUAUUCCUUGCACACAUAUGUUCAAUUUUUUGAAGGGUUGUAGCUUUGAACCUUCAAAACUACGUAAGCAUACUCAAUUUGGAUGUGACAAAUUUAAAAAGAAAUAAUCAUAAGAUAUAUUAAACAUUAUAAAGCUGUGUUAAUUAAGCAAAUGGGCAGGGACACAUCUGUUUAAGAGCGCGUUUUUAUAAUUGGAGGAGGUGGCAAAUUUAUGGAGAAAACAAAGAGAUAAAUUGAUAGAAAAAGACAUCCACAACUUCUUAUCUUAUCCACUAAAGUACAUAAAUAUAGAUAAAAAUAGUUGACCCUGCACCAAACCAACCUAUCUUACAGGUUGGAUUUGGAGAAGUAAACAAAGAAGUAACUGCUGAUAAGAAGAGAACAACAGGUCAUGAAACAAACGAGCGAGAAUAUACGAACGUUGUAAAGAGAGCUUCCCCCUCAUGAUUCAUUUUCAAUCCACCAUGCAUGAACUCCUUUUAAUCAAGGAUAAACAAGAGUGUCGCAUUUGUCCUUGGUAAGUAUCACAGUGACGAGAUGCCGCGCACCAGUAGAAGGAUUUUAGUGAAUCUCAUGAAUGAAAGGGAUUUCCGAGAUAUAGACAUGCUCUAGGUACUCCUUAUGCACCCGUAAAGUGUCACUAGUUAAUAUGGAGGUAUCUUAAGUGGCCAGAUGCAUGCAUUGGGUUGUCGUCUUUGUGACUGCUGCCACAUCAACGAUAUUGGAGAGUACUUAUAGUAUCUCUAGUUGCUACAAAUAGUUAUGAGUAUCAAUCAUAGCAUCAAUUUGCUUCAGAUCGAUUUUCUAAAAAGUGUUGUUUGAAAAAAAAAACUGUCGAAAGAACGAAAGUACUAUCUACUUCUAUUUACUUGCGUGUAAACAAUAUUGGGCAGCGAGUGGGUUGAUUCGGAGAGUGUACGGCAGGCAAUGGGGGAAUCGCGUUAAUCGGCUCCUUCCAUCUUGUUUAUUUGCAUCUAAAUAGAAGUGAACAUAGAAAUUACUCGAUAAGAAAAUCGCUAAAAACCUCUUCUUAUAUUAAGAUCCUUCAAACAGCUUUCCGCUAGCCAAAGCUUCAAGCUAGGACUCAUUUUAGGGUUCACAAAUUAGUUUCGGUUUCUAAUUCAUAAUAUUGAGAAGUUAUUAUAAAAGUUAGGUCAAACAGAUGCACAAAAUGUUGUGAAGCAAACACAAUAUAUAUGUAUGAUAUAAUUUUCUUUGGAAGCUUAUACUUUUGAUUGAUGCUCUACUAAGCGUCUUUCCCUAGUGGGGUGAUUCAUCAUCCAUAAAGAACCUUUCACGACAAAGAAACAAUGUUGUACAGCCCAUUGGAAUAUUAUUAGGAUACACAAUUACCCUACCAAAGAAUCCCAGGGUUCAAGAUUUUUUUUUUUUAAAAAAAAAAAAAAACAUAGCCAAUCAUCAACUAAUAAAAUGAUUACCACAAUUUCCCAAAAACAGGGUCCAGCAAUUUGCGUUUCAUAUCAGAGAAUUGAGAAGCCCAAAAUGGAUACAUCUUAGUAACUACAGAUAAAUAAAAAAAAGUUUUUUAAGGGACCUAAAGGAUAUUCAUUCGCAUGUACCGGGCCAAUAAUAGGCCCAUUAUACGGCCUAACCCAAUAGGAACGGUUCGGCCCAUUAGAUCCAUGAACCGUGGACUGGACCGGAUUGUUCCCGGAGCAAAGCCGGUUCAAAAGCGCGGAACUUAUCUUAUACCCCUGUUGUACCCUUCUCCUCGUCGCCUCUUCCCCGACUCCAUACGAGGGCUCCUCCCGUUGAAUACCUAGCGUGAAACCCUCGUCUUCUCCGCCUAAAAACCCUAAUCCGUGGAGAAGCUGCGAACAUCCUCCACUCCUCUCGCUAGGUAAGCGAUUUCUUCGCCGUUGACUUUGUAAUCCGCCUGUCGGAAUGCGAUGAUCUAAUACGAGGCCUCCGGAGACCCGAAUUUUAGGGUUUCUUAUUUGUUUCCGCAUAGAGCGGUUCUGAUUUUGGCUAGUUAAUCUCUUGAAGUAGUAGGAUUUUGAGCUUUUAUAGCGUUGUGUUUGAAUGGUUUGUGGCGAUUAACGAAGGUGGAUGGCGACUCAAGCGGUUCGUGAGUGGCUCGGGAUUCAGCAGUUCCCAGUUGCGACGCAGAACAAAUUGCAUGAAUACCUCGGGAAAUUGAAACAGGAGGUUUGUAUCUUUCCAUACAAAUUGUGGUUUAUUGCGAAAUUUGAUCUUUCGUUCUGAUAGUUAAGGUUUAAUAUUUUUGGUGCGGUAGAAUGUUAAUACCUUGACGAUUCUCGUGAUGGGAAAAGGCGGCGUGGGGAAGUCGUCGACGGUGAACUCCAUCAUAGGCGAGCGCGUCGCCGCAGUUAGUGCCUUCCAGGUUUGUUUAGUAAAUACUUAUAGCAGAAAAUUGGUGAUUGUUUUCCCUACUGCAAUAAAGUUAUGAUUAUAAAUUCUCGUUUUUGCAUUGUAGUCGGAAGUAUUGAGACCCGUGAUAUGCUCCCGUUCGCGAGCGGAAUUCACUUUGAACAUUAUUGAUACCCCUGGGAUUGUUGAAGGUGGAUAUGUCAAUGAACAAGCACUUGAAGUCAUAAAGAGGUUAGAGAUAGAUUGGAACUACUAUUGGGAGAACUUUUAUUAUGAUUUUGCUUUUUUGCUUUGAACUAAUACUAGAAUUAUUUGAUUAAUGUUCUUAGUUGUGGAUUUAUGAGUCAAUAGGUUCGUUAUGUGCAAUUUAAUCAUGUAUAUACAUGAAGAUUCAUUGCUUAUAUUAUGGUGAUUCUUUGCAUCUAUUUCAUGCUUUUCCUAUCUUGGAACUAGCUUCUUUUUUCUUUUUUCUUUUUCCUUUUUUUUUUUUCUUUUUUGUUUCUUAGCAUAAGUGUUGCUUUUAUUUUGGCUGAUUGUAAUUUGGGUGUCGACUGGUGUCGCAGGUCUCUGUUGGACAAGACUAUUGAUAUUCUUCUAUAUGUGGACCGUUUAGAUGCAUAUAGGGUGGAUACGUUGGAUAGACAAGUCAUAAAAGCGAUCACUGACACAUUUGGUAAAGGAAUAUGGCAGAGAGGCUUAAUCGUCUUAACUCAUGCUCAACUGUCGCCACCAGAUGGAUUAAGUUAUGAGGACUUCUUUGCCAAACGAUCAGAAGCACUUCUAAAGUAUAUCCGUUUGGGUGCUCGGAUUAAGAAACAAGAAUUCCAGGUACAUAUAUAUUGGAAACUACAAGAAUUCCAGUUCAAAAGUGAUUGCAUGUUAUGCUCACUGGCUGUGGUAAUUGCAGCUAUAUUCCCUUUUCCUUUCUCAAUUUGUAGUAGAUAGAUGAAACUUGUUGACAUGAUAUAUACAAGCGGCGCAAUCUAUUGCUAAAGAAGCUUUGCAGAGAUGUAUAAGCGGAAAAAACACUAUCUUUCACACCACUUGGAUUCCCUCAAAUUUGCAAAAUGAUAAAUUCAAUUGAACCUUAGGGCAUAUCUAAUUUUGUGUGUACGGUAUGGUAUGUAGAUGUUUUUUUUUUGUGUGUGUUAAAAGGGUAUGUGAUGCAUACUGGUCCCCUCACACGACACUAUCAAGUUCAUGAGUAAUUUCUCAGUCCCAUAUCAUGAAGAAUUUGCAGACUGUGUAUUAAUCCAUGUUGCCAAAGUUAGUUACUUUUGCUCACUGUAACUUCUAAUAUGCUAUGUAAAUGCUGAUUGGCAACUGCUACUUUAUCUUUCAUAUAGGAGAAUUCUAUUCCUGUGGUACUAGUUGAGAACAGCGGUCGAUGCAAGACAGAUGACAACGGGGAAAAGGUUUUUCCUUGCUCUCUUUCUCUUUUUCUUCCCAUCUAAAUUUAUGCCAAUGGUUUCUUUAAUGGGCAUGGUUUCCAGGUUCUUCCCAACGGUAUUGCAUGGCUUCCGAAUUUGGUCAAAACAAUUACAGAUGUUAUCAUGAAUGGUGGCAAGUCUAUACUAGUUGACCAGAAAUUGAUUGAUGGUCCCAAUCCGAAUGAUAGGGGAAAGUUCUUCAUACCUCUUAUCCUGGCUUUUCAGGUGAGCUUCUGUUCCCACCGUGAGGAAUAUCUUCUUAGUGGUAUUAUCUUAAACUAAUCCCUGGUAUUGCUUCUUCUUUCAGUAUUUCUUCGUUGUGAAGAGGAUACAGGGUGCUAUAAAGCGGGAUAUCGCGAAAGAGAGCAAGCCACUCUGGGAGCUUCGUGAUAUGGGAUUGGCAAACCGGCAGUUCUAAUUGUUCAAUUUUGUUUGCUUAGGCCUCUCAAUUUUCAUUUCAGUUUGAUUUGUUUACUCCUUUUACCCACUUUUUGUGAUAUCUCAUGUUCUCUUGCUCUUUUUUCGUAAUAAGUUAGCCUAUAUCAGUUAAAGAUUGACUAUGUAGCUAAUGAACUUCUGAGAAUCUACCGGAAAUUGUUUUUCAUUUAGGAAUCUGCUUAUAGAAGUGAUGCUAAACAUGGUAUUUAUGUACUAACGCAACAUGCGAGGGAAGGUCAUUUUCCUUUUUUCUGAAAUCAUGUUCUAUGAAGAAUUGUACGAUAUAUUUAUGCGAUAACGCAACAUGGAAUUGUACUAUAUAUCUCCAAAGAGCUGUCGGAUUUUCUUUGUAAUCAUAGGAUUUCGCAUUUUAUUUAGAUUAGAGUUAAGCCCAAGUAGAUUUUAGCUAAACAAAAGAAAAUGUGGAUAAGACUAUAAGGAGAAGAUAGGCUUUUUGAUCGUUGGAAUCUAUGAUAUACACCUAUUCUAGAUGUACAGCCAAACAUUGCUCUGCUCAAGUACACAGGACAGGAUCGCCUGGUGGUGAGAGGCUUAUGUGGUCCAUCAUUGUAGGCAAACAAUUUACCAUUGAAUUAUACAGUCAUAGCAAUUCUGCUUUCAUCAUACAUACUAUGAUUUGCACCAUGAUGAAAGUAUGCUCAUAUCUCUAGUCGCUAAGUUACAUAAAAAAAUUAAGCACAUAAUAAGUUACAAAAAUGUUUUAUGUUCGCACCGACCUUCGACAAUAUAAAUACAGAAAGAAAUAAUUACGAGAAUGGCUACUGAGGCUUAUCCAUUAAAUAACAACUGGUAGUAUCAUAAGUUAUCAUUACAAAUUUAGUUAUCCAACAAAGUGAAAAUCUCUAACCAUGUUGUAUUCAACUCCAAAUCCUUUUAGUUAUUUGAACCAAAGUAUGGUGCUUCAAAAACUAUUUCUAUUAGAUCAUCUGAGCCAACAAACCACCCCAGGAUGAAAAACAGAAAAGAUUUUCUGAACCCUUAAUGCGGCAAGACAGAUUGAGCAAAUGCGAGUAUACUAGUCUAGGGAAAACGCUCCAUCGCAGUACCUGCACCAGUUGCAAGAAUGAUUAAAGUUGGAUAAAAUAUCCGAUUCGCACAGUUUCUGCUAAGUGGUCAAGUUUCUACAUGCUUCAACGUUGACAAGGCAAUUUGAGUUACACUGAUAUGAGUGGCGUUUUAUGACAAGCAAUCUAGCAUUUGUGUGAACACUACUUUGUUCAGGUAGUGAUUAGAGACUGAUAGUAAGAAUAUGCAUCAUGCAACAUGAAUACACUCUUGUAUAAACAGUACAUAGUCGAACUUUGCAGGGUUUGAAGGUCAGGGUCGACAGCUUGUUGGAACUUCCUUGUGUCUAGUGAAGCAGAAUUAGAUAAAACACUCCGUACAAGUUCAUACUCCAUCAUGUUGGAUGCAUAAGGUUAACCACUCAUGAAUAAAUGAUCAUGUUUGUUCUAUUAGACAACCAAUUUCUAGUGAACUCAUAUUAAUCGGUAGGAACUGCACCAAUCUUUUCCAUUUGAAUCUUUUUUAAUUCAUUAGAUAUGCAAAUCAUAUAUCCAUAAGAUGCCUAAAGUUCAUAUUUUUCAUUUUCAAUUUUCAGAAUCUAACGAGCACCAUACUCAGUGUAAAACUACUAACUUCGUCAAAAGUGGCUACUUUAACAACUAUUUAGUUUUUUAGAAGAAAAAAAAGAAAAGAAGGUCGAGGCACUAUGGAAAUUUACCUGUUACUGAACUUCUCAAGUGCAUCAGAUGCAUAAAGAAGUGUCUCACUGGCCUUCUCUAAGACCAUAUAAAGUUCCCUUCCUCCUGUAAUCUUAGCAAUUACCCACGCAUUAUUUUUGGCUCUGAUGCAUACUUCAGAGUCCUUUUCAUGAUCAGGGUCAUCCCUCUUUGCUCUAGACUUCUCCAAAUCCACCUCUUCUCUCAGCCUAUUAAGCGCAAGAAGAGAGUCCUGUGGAGCACAAUUAGAAACACGAGAAGGAAGCCCAUCAGAGUUCAUAAAUAGAUCAAAAGAAUCUCCAUAACAUAGAAUGAGAGAACAUAGAAUGAGAGAUGUAUUGCCAUUUGGAAUUUCCAGAAAAGAUCAGAUUAACCUAAAGAACAAGGUAAGUUUAGCUAUGCCAACAAAAAAAAUCCUUCAAUAAUAGCAUCAUAACUGCGUCAGAUGUCCUCUGAUUAUGCUUCUCACCAGAUGUCCUUUUUUGGUGAGACCAUAAUAGACAGAAAUUUAAGGGCCGUGUAAAGGAAACAGCUUCCCGAUUUAAGCAACUACAAGUCUACAACAUAUGACCGACUGGAGCGACAUAUAUAGUGAAAUACACCAAACUCAGCAUUUUAAUGAUAGGGCGAAAACAUAUAUAUGCAGCUGAGCUAUUUUUCAUGCCAAAAUGUCAUCGCCAAAGACAAAUAUUCAACAAGAAGGAAACUGGAUGCGACAAAGAAAAAGAAGAGCAGAUCCAUGAAAUGUUUAUUAAAAGAGACCAAAAAAAAAAAAAGAACAAUUAUACAGCAAACAGCAAUUGGUGAAGUACAAACCUUAGUCAGAGUUGUAACUUUUCCAGGCGGGGAAGCCCUUGAGACAUUUCUAUCCCUGUCGACGAAUAAGUAGCGAUACCCACUAACAUGGUAAGCAUUUUCACCACCCCAGCUUCUGGAGAGUUUCUGCUCAACAGUAACAAUUUUCUCUGAUGCCUGAAAGAGUGACAAAGAAACACCUAUUAUGUCUCAUAAAACACAAGAAACACAUGGACAAACAAAAGAUGAUGAAUAAAAGUGUAUAGAGAAGAUAUACGUAGGAAACAAUUCCUAAAUCAAAAAAGGAAUCCUGGUGGAAAGGCAACGGUAUUUAGAGUCAGGAUACAGUUGACUGAGGCAAAAUUACUGAGGGUGUAAAAGCUGAUGCACAAGAAACACAACAAAAUUCCUUAUUCAAAGACAAUAAAAGUAAUAAUGGAGAUAAGAACCAUCAAAAAAGGCUAAGGAUGACAGAAAAAGAGAAGCAACUUGUGCAGAAAAUAGACUGACAUUUUCAAGAAGCUGCUUCUUCAAAAGGGCCACACCCUGUUCUCCAUUUAUUAAAGAAGACACAGGAAUGAGGAGUACAAUUGUCAGAUUCUUGUGCUGGUAAACGCAAAGAUACAUGCGCUCCUCUGUCUGCUGAAGCCAUACUAUCGGCGCCAAAGGAAUAAAACCACCAACUUCUGCGCAUGGAACAUCGGUGACAACAAAACCAUCCUUUCCUUUACACCAUUUAUCACGUUGCAAAGGCCUUUGUAUAUGGUAUCUCUGGCUUUGUCCCCCAGGAGAAGUAUCACGAGACCUGUUCUGAUUUUCUUCUGCUGCUCCAGCGUUUGUUACAGUGGAAGCAGCAGCAAUAUUAGGUGAAGAAGUCCCUCUGCGUAAAUAAGACCAAGAAUUCGUAUUGGACGAUAGAGCAUGUGGAGUCAACCUCAGAACAGCAUAAGUGAACAGAUUUGCUGUGUCAUCCUACAACACAGAUCAAGUGGGUAAAUUUUUACUGCUUACAUACACAGCAAGUAGCAAUCUUAAGUAGGAAUAGCGGUAGGAAAGACAACCGUACAGGUCAACAUAAAAAGUGAUAUAAAAGACAACCAUACAGGAGAAAGUGUUGUCGAGACCAACAGAUCUUGGAAUAAUACUAGUGAAUUGCAGGCUGUAUUCCCAACACAGGAAGAUCCAAUAACUGUGAUGAGCGACUGGCAAAAUACACAUGUUAUGUCAGUGGUGAUAUAUUCAUCACGUAAAAAAACAUAUCUAACCAUAAUUUGCAUGAUCUUAAGAGAGCAAAUAUCUAUGAGCUGCUACUACAAUAAUGCACCUGAACUUCAAGUGCUACUUCUCGUGAGAUUGUCAGCAUUUGAACACUUCCUCGCUCCCUCAAGCAAUCACGGAAGGAUGGCAUUUGAAUCUUUUUCCCAACAUGAAAAUCUGCUCAAGUCAAAAAUAAAUAUAAGGAUUAAAAAUCAUAAAAUAGACAGUUCAGCAAGUUUUGGAAAAGCCACUGACGAUUCAUAAUGAAACAGAAACUAAAGUCAUACUGUUAAUGAUCACAUAAAUAUGCAGCAAAGCAUGCCUCAUGGGGUCUGUUCAAGUUAUCCUGUGAUAACUUGUAGAUACAGGAUUUUUAUUUCUGUGAUUACAUUCGUAUGUUUUGCUAUUAUGAAAAUAAUAACAUUUAGCUAUGAUGAAAUUUUUAAUAAUUUCAACUAUUGAGGAAAUUAUGUUCACCGCUGAGAUUAUUUAUCAUAUUAUAAGUAAAAGCUGUAUAUAUUGGGGCACUUGUGAACAUAUUUUCAUAUUCACCGUCAACCAAUUAUCAAGUGCCCUAUGACUAUGAGUAAGCAAAAUAGAUGCUGAAAAAUAUAAUUAUGCAUUCAAACAGGCACUUUAAAGUAGUCAGAGACUCCUCUCACCAGUUAAAUAGUCUGUGAUAAAGGAGUAGAGAUGGCUACGAGUAAGUUCACCGCUAGGUUGUUUGUCAAGUAAAGCUCGCAGAGGUCCAUGAAACAUUUUGAAUAGAGAAUGCACUUCCUUAAGUAUACUCUGUAAGGAAUCGCAUCUCCAAAUAGAUUCAUUAUCUUUAUUUUUCUCCACUACCUGCAGUAGCAGUCAAAAAACUGGAUUAUCAAUAGCUUAAUCACUGCGUCUGUCAAAGACCAUCGGAACCAGAACCAAAUCUCUUAAACCAGUAAACAUUGAUUAGAAUGUUCCUCAGGUGGGCAGCCAAGGUAAGCUCCUGCUUAGCGCAUUGACUAAUCCGGAUUAUACUCUUAAAUUGUUUUGUCAACUUGUAAAAUCAGACACCGUCACUUUACACAAAUGAGAUCAUCAACCAACAACCUUUUAAGAGAAAUAAAAUCAUACCAAAACCAUCCAUAUGUCCGGUUCAGCCUGGUAAAAUACAUGAGAGUGUUUCUCCGCUUCUAUGACCUCACAAGCUGUCUCUGGAGAAAAGAUUCUGCAACAAAUAUAACAUUAGUAAAUCCAAAGAAUGGAAAAUAUCAACAAUGUUGAUAUACUUAUAAUAGGAUGAAUGGAGUUUCUUGAUAAAAUCAGCACUUUUCAGUACAGAGCAUGCCCACAAGGAGAUAAAAAUAGGACACGGUGGAUGAUAAAUAACAGGGGAACAAAAGAACAAUGGAAAGCCUAGCUCCAAAUCAACUAUUCUAUCACAGUAAACAUAUUUUUCAGUGACAGAAGGUGUUGGUUGCAGAAAUUAAAAAACAACGCAUUACAACAUACAAGUUUUUUUUUUUUUUUUUUUUUUCACGAGUAGCAAAUGAAGGUAUCUAAAACAACGAGAAAGCUGCACAAACCGAGUAAAAGUAAUGAUUCCUUCACAUAGUCCUAUUACAGAGAGCUGAACUGAGAAGGGGCAUUCAGCAGGGAAAAAGAAUAAUAUCUUGUCAAGUUCUUGGCCUUCUUGUUGUCCCCUUCUUAAGUCAAAGAUACAUAAUUGGAUGCCAUCAUUGACGGUGGUCGUUGAUGACAAUCCCAUUUGGUCGUUGAUUUCUACUAUCUGCAUUGUCAAAGUAAACACGGUCAUAAAAUUAAGCUAGGUGAGAAUAAAUGACACCAGGUGCAGAUAUGAAUUUGCUGGAUGAGCCUUACAUUUACAAACGAGAAGUCUCCCACUCUCUGUAACAAAACUAAAUUGGGCACUUUAACAAUUUGAAAGCAAGUAAACGGACAAACGACCCAUCUAAAUGCAAAAUAAAGCUAAUAACAGAAAAUGUAUUAGAAAUCACAAUGCACGCAACCUUGUAUUGCCAACCUUCACAACAGAUACUUCUGAAAAGGCGGUGACAAACUGAUAAUACUAGUUAAGGAAAUCCCCAAAAGCAUCUUACAUUUGUGACGGCCUGGUCGUGCAAGAAGAGAGUAUCAAAAGCUGAAGCCGCAUAACUAUUACCAAAAAAACUACCUUCCAGUUUGGCCUACGAAAACAAAUCACUAAUAGUAGUACAGGGUCUUGGUACAUACCCUACAACGUAGAGUGAAAAGAUAAAAUAUUUGAAUGUGUUCUAGCAUCAGGUGCACUACAACCUUACUAGAAGUUGGAAUUGAGCUCUCCAGUAAUUAAAAAACAUGGACGACUCUCACCGAUCGACCUCGUAAACUAGGAUGUGGUAAUAUUGAGAUUAAAAGAUGGCAUUCUCAGCCAAUACCCAAUCUGAGGCAUCCUGUUUUUAAAUCUCAAUAAUUUACAGCUAGUGAUUAAAAGAAAAGGAAACUAGCGUGGCAAAUCGAACCACCACUGAACAAAAAGUAAAAUUAAAAAAUAGAUAAUUCGAAUGUAGUGAUGUGUUUUCUAAACCUUCAGAUUAUUGAGCUUACGAAUUUCUUAUAACAGCUGAUCCCCAACGCUUCUAAAACUUCAAAUAUAUUGCAGUAAUACCUUUUUUUAGGUGGAAAUCUCGCAUUAAGGCAUAAAAUUUACUCUUGGUCUGGUUCCAAUCCCUAAAUCUUGAAUCUCAGGGAAAAGGAAAGUACAGAAUACACAAGAAAACCAGAAAAGAUUAUUCAUUUCUGCAAUGAUUAUCAGCAAAAUUUUCUGCAACACUGUUUCAAAAAAGCUGGCCCAAAUACAUUCUCAACAACCAUCAAUACUCUAACUCUUAAUCUUAAUCACAUAAAAGAUAUACCUAGAUUGGACUGAUCCAUAAGGUCCUCCCAAAAAACACUAAAAAAAAAAAAAAUCAUAAGAUCGCACCCAAUUCUUGCUUUGUUCAUCCCAAAUUCCCAAUCGGGCCCCAGAAGUACACAUCAGAAGAAGAGGUUAAAGCAAACCUAAACAAAAAGAAGAUAGAGAGAGAGAGAAGUGAGAGCUUACCGAGAGGCUUCGAUGGAAACACACUCUCUCUUGAUUCUUGUUGUUCGGAAAAGAAGAGAGAAAGAAGAAGAAAAAGAACGAACCGGAAAUUGGGUAGGCCAGAAACGGGCCGGGUUCGGGUCAAGCGAGACGUGCUCGAAUUGACCAAAAUCCGACAUUGAGGACGAAGAAGAAAUGGGGAAAUUNAACCUAAACAAAAAGAAGAUAGAGAGAGAGAGAAGUGAGAGCUUACCGAGAGGCUUCGAUGGAAACACACUCUCUCUUGAUUCUUGUUGUUCGGAAAAAAAGGGGGAAAAGAGAAACUGGAGAGGUAGCUGGGUACUGGGUAGGCCAGAAACGGGCCGGGUUCGGGUCAAGCGAGACGUGCUCGAAUUGACCAAAAUCCGACAUUGAGGACGAAGAAGAAAUGGGGAAAUUGUCUAAUGCGUAAUUAAUGAUAGACAGACGUUUACAAUGGGAAAAACAUGGGCCGGACCUGUUCUGUAACGGGCCCGAAUAUUUUGGGCCAUGCUCGUCCAACCCAGUCCUUAAUUAUACCUAUAUUGAGAUUGAUCAGACCGGAUCGGAUUGGGCCGGAUCCACUAACAAAAAAUUUCUGAAUCUGGCCCGUGUCGACCAAAGAAAAAAAUAAUAAUAAACGAAAAGCAUUUAUUUUUUUAAGAUCGUGCUUUUAAGUUCUGGGCAUACCCUGAGUCAAUCAAAUAAAAAAAAAAAAAAAAAAAAAAAAAAAAAAAAAAGUUGACGAAACUUUAACUCAAUCACUAUUUCAAAAGAUGCGUUCGUAAUUAAGCAUGUACGCACUGAGAAGUCUCAUCGUCGGUGUGACUUGGGUUCGUCCAACUUAGCCCAAACUCACGGCUAGAUUCAACGUUCAUCUCCUACGACUACGUUUGAGUCCAAAAUUUGACUCUUCUCCUCAGUAUGAGAAAAUUAUACUUGCAAUUCCUACCAAUUGUCUCGUUCUACACGGUAAUAAAAUACGUGUUCCAAACAAUUUCCCUUCGGAAUUGGCUAUAAAUAUCUCAUCUCCUCCAUAAUCUUCUUUAUUCAUCAAAACGUAACUUCGUAGUACUACUUAUUAACAUCUAGUAAACUUAAGUAGCUAAAAAGGAGAGAUGGCAAUCGAAAAUAGGGUGAAGGUGAUGCUCAUUCUGGUCUUAUUGACGUGUAACUCGCAUUUUCUGUCGACGGCGAGGCCCUUGGUAGAGUUGCGAGAAGAGUCCGGCAUCGGAGGUCUUGCUUUGUUCGAGUCUCUUCCGCGAGAAAGUGUACCGCCACAAGGUCCCUCUGGAUGCACGAAUGUUGGCAGCAAUAAAGGUGGAAAUUGCCCGAACCCUCCAAACCGUUAAACGGCAUGUCAAGUAGCUUCUAUCACAGUGGUAUAUGCGUGCGUCAAUUCAAAUGAAUAAUUUGCAGUAGCUUGUGUUGAAAUAAAAAUAUGUGAAUUUGCACAUUUGAGGAUACUGAUGCUAUUUUCGGUUUAUUUGUUUAUUUAUAAAGAUGUGCUUGUAAGCUAUUUGAGUCUCUCAAUCAAUUAUUUAUCUCUUGGGCUAUUGAAACUAUUUAAAAAUACACUAUUGAAGCUAUUCUUGCAUUUUCCUUGUAUAUUUAAAAAGUUGUGUAUGAUGAAGAUUGUGACUGUUUCUAUACUUUAAUGAAUUGAAAAAAUAUUAUUUUGUCGUUUUCUUUUUUGAAAAAACUAGUCUAACAUAAGUACAUCGAUGUUUAUUCAUCUACUUUGAUAUUCCUAGAUACCCCUAUGCGGGGGCUUUCCCUCCAGGGAAGGGAAAAAAAAGAGAAAAUCCUAGACUUAAUUACCUUUCAAUGUGAGCAAUGGGCAUUUGUAAUGUUUUUUCCUUGAAAAAUAUUAGAAGAUAUUAAAUACUUCAACAGAGAUAUAUUCCUUCAUAAAAAUGUGUGUAUAUAUAUAGUUGUAAUAUAAUGCCACAAAAACCAAAAACGUGUACUAGCACAGCACAAAAUUGAAAUUGAAAAACUGAAUAAUCAAAUAAAUCUAUCGGUUUCAUAAUGAACGCAAAAAUUUUACUAUACCAAUUCAAAUUGGUACAUAAUAGAAAUUCAUAAACUGACGCCUCCUAAUUCACCAUAUUUAGCUGCAAUUGCAUAGGCAUUUCAAGUUUGACAUAUAGCUAUUAUUAACGACCAUCUCUAGAGCAAGUGGCAAAGGGUUUGGUGGUUGGUACCCAAGACCCAAGUUCGAAUCCUAGUUGAUUCACAUUUUCAGCUAAGUUUAUUUUUAAAUAAAAUAAACGAAACGGGUAGCGUGUUAUUUAUCUCUCUCAAAAAAAAGACAUAUAGCUGUUAUUUAAAAAAAAAAAAAGAGGUUCUAUUGACUAUUCAAAUUCUUCAAUUUUGUUUGAAUUGGACCUAAAUUUAGAAUAAAGUUAAAAUUUUGAAUUUUGUUUUUUGAGAGAUAGGUAGCACGCUACCCGCUUCGUUUAUUUCAUUUAGAAAUAAACUUAGCUGAAAAUGUGAAUUAACUAGGGUUCGAAUUUGGACUCGGAUACUAACCAUCAAGUCCUUUACCAUUUGCUCUAAAGACGGUCGGUGAAAUUUUGAAUUAGAUAGUAAAGUCUCAAGGUGACUUGGACCCAUCAAACGUAGCCUAAUCUCUCGACUAGAUUCAAUAUACAUAUAUUAUGUUACACCCCAAAAUUUAGACACUUCCCUGGACUAUGCGAGAAACUGUACGAGAUUUUCCCAUGCAUCCAUUUUACUAAGAAGGUACAUCCACAUUUCUAAAGUAGGUACAUUAUAAAUACCCACCUCUUUGAUAACAUUUUCCAUGUAUCAAAACCUAAGUACUAUAAUAUUCGCAUAUUAAGUUCUUUAUCGAUCGAUCAAACCUUACGAGAGAGGAAGAGACGGCGAAAGGGCAUGUGAUGGAGGCGCUGGGGACUCUCGCCCUAUUUGUUUGUAGCCAGUAUUCUAUUUUAACUCAUGCGAGACCCUUGGAUGAGCUAGCAAGUUGGUCGUCGGAGGUCUGGAUCUGCUCGAGUCAAUUCCGCAAGGAAAAUCGCCGCCACCGAGCCCUUCUGGGUGCACGUAUGGCUCUGCCAGGGGAGGGAACUGCCCGAGCCCGCCGCACGCAUAAAUGUCAUGCAGUUAAACUGUAUUUGCAGUCGUACGUACUUUUGUCAAAAUGAAUAAACUCAAAGGAUUGAAAUAAAAGUAUGUAAUAAACUCGGAGGAUUGAAAUAAAAGUAUGUACAAGUACGCAUCUUCGAAUACUAAUGCUACAGGAGUUUAUUCUUUUUCUCUGUGCUUAUAUCUAGUAUAUAUGAGUCGCACUACUUGAUUAAUAACAUUUAAUUAUUGCAGUCACUCGAUCUUAAGAGGGUGGUGAUUACUGUGACUAUGGUUGUUUCUUUUUUGCAAAAAAGUUCUGUUUUCUCAGAACAGCCGAUUUAGCUUUCUUGGAGAAUUCCACAAUAUAAAUGUAGAUUAAUUAUUCAAAUUUAUAUAGAAAAAUCCUUGUUCGCUUAAAGGGCUAGUAUCUUGCCAUGUAGUGGGAGGCUAGGUUGGGAUAAGCGCUGUAUCUAUACGCUUUAAGUAAAUUUGUUGUAUAUUUUUAAUAGUUCAAACAUUUGAAAUUAAUGAUCAGCGCCUACGAUCCAACAAAUCUCACUAAAAUCUUUAUGGGUACGUACGUACGUAGUUAAGAGUGCAGCGCCAGAAUUUUUUUUUUUUUUUUUCUUUUGAGGAAAAGAUAGCACACUAUAAACUAAGCUAUAAGGGUGAGGCAACACAGGAGUGCCGGAGCUUUUUUGGAAUUACGUAUCUCAUAAGAGCUUUUCUACAAACAAGAAGUUCUAAUAUAACUAAAGCUCACGAGCCACAACAUGUGACUCUUGCAAGCAAGGAUGCAAAAAGACCGGGUCAGAAUCAAGUCAAGUUUAGUCCGGACCCAACUCCGACAAAUUUAUCGGCAGCUGUGAGUCUCAAUUGGCACUGGGGACUACUUAAUGUGACAGGAUUAAAUUCUAUAUAAAUCAUUUUUAAAUCUCACAGAUAAAAUUACAUAAAUUAACUACCACAUGUGUCAUUUUUGUAUGGAGAUAGACUUCUAUACAAUUUAUAGUACCGAAGCUUCGAUAUUAUAAUCUCGUUUUCAAUCUUAAAAUAUUCAAAUAAACUAUCUAUAUCAUUAAAACUAAUUUAAGGCAUUUAAAAUUUUUAGAAAUAAAAUUUUAUAUUUUUUUCACAUAGUUUACUUUAUAAUCAAAUCAUUUCAAAUUAUCAAUUUUCAAUGACUAUUAUGGCGAAUUUAUAAUUUAAUGGUGUACUAGAAUAUAAAUUUAUUUAAAUUUUGAUAUAAAAUACUUUAAACUAUCUAAAUCAAAAUCAAUAUCCUUGAUCUUAAAUUUUAAAGUUUUAUUCUUAAAUUUUAAAGAUUGUUUAAAGUAUUUUAUAUCAAAAUUUAAAUAAAUUUAUAUUCUAGUACACCAUUAAAUUAUAAAUUCGCCAUAAUAGUCAUUGAAAAUUGAUAAUNAAAUUUUAAAGAUUGUUUAAUUUCAAUCGUUCAUUUUGAUAUAAUUUACUUACUAAAUAAACGAUGUCGAAAAAAAUUAAAAUUAUAUCUCUAAAAACUUCACAUAUCCUAUAUUAUAUGUAACUGUGUGAAUCGUUGAUUUGAACAUCCUAAAAUCGAAAAUGAAACUAUAAUACCGGAGCUCCGAUACUACAGAUAGUAUAGUAGCUUAAUUCCGGUUAAUACAUAUAUAUGUAUACUAAGAAAAAAGAAAAAAGUAAUUAGAUGAGCGUAAAAAAAAAAAAAAGAGUUGGUACUUUGAUGAUAAAAACAUAAAAUUUAAACUCAUUUUGACUAUACUCAACUAAAAAUAUUGAGUAACAAUUGAACACAACUAUCGACCGUCCCUAGAGUAAGUGGCAAAGAACUUGAUAGUUGGUACUUGAGACCCAAGUUCGAAUUCUAGUUUAUUCAUAUUUUUAGCUAAGUUUAUUUCUAAAUGAAAUAAACGAAACGAGCAGGUGCUUCCUAAUCUCUCUCAAAAAAAAAAAAAAAAACACAACCACUUUUGCGUACGGACGUGUACUGCCGUAGAGAAAUGCACCGGUCAAUUCCAUUGGCCUUCAAAAGUCAAAACAUAAAUUAAUGUGCUUGCAUUUACCCUUCUAUUUCCUCCUCUUUUUAAUUAACUUGCAAUUCAUGUGGAACAAGGUUGAUCAAAUCCAAGGGAGACGUGUCCUUUUAACUUUGAGGAAUGUACGUAGUAGCUUGAUCAAUCCCCUUGUACAAGCACCACGACGUCUCAGUCGGAGUAGUGUGAAAUUGAAUGACCCGAUCCAUUCAACUUGGCUCAAAUUAGGACUAUUGAUUAGAACUCGAUUAAAAAAUUUAGACCCUUUUUGCAAUGGGAAGUUCCUAUUGUUUCUCAUUAUACUUACCACGCAAAUACCAUUUUCCAACAUUAGUGGACUAUAAAAUGCCCACGUCCUUGUAUAGUUUCGAUCAAACCAUACACUGAAUAAAAAAAAGAGAGGUAUACAUAAAAAGCUUAGAAGGAAAAAAAAAAAAAAAAAAAAAGGGGAAAAAAAAAUGGAAAAAGGGUAUAAAGCGAUGGUAGUUAUGCUGAUCCUCAUAUUGUUGAUAUGUAGCUCACAUUCUCCCUCGGCGGCGAGGCCGUUAGAUGGGGAAAAUGGUCAGUUAGGAGUCGGAGGUGAUCUGGUUGUGUUCGGGUCCCUUCUGCAGGGACAGAUUCUGCCAACGGGACGCUCGCGUGAGUCCCUUCCUCUUUCGACUCAUGCAAGGCCGUUGGAAGGACAAGAUUAUAGGGUAGGUGUCGAAGGUCUGAAUCUGCUCGAGUCUCUUCCACAAGGACAAGUGCCGCCAAUGGGCCCUUCUCCGUGCACUAGCGGCUCCGCCAAGGGAGGGAAGUGCCCGGGUCCCCCAGGAGCAUAAGCUUUGCGCGGUUAACGGCAUUUGCAGUGAUGAUUGACUCAUAGUGAAAACGUUACUUACGACAAAAUGAAUAAUGUUGCAGUGUUUACAUAAAAGAGUGGAAAUGUAUGCAUGUUAAUUCGGAUAUUAAUACCAUUUGCUUUGUUCUUUAAUUUCUACUUAUAUCUAGCUAGUAUGUGUCAAACGAUUUGGUCAAUAACAAGUUGUUACAAUUAUUAAUGAAUUUAUUUACGAAAUGGUGAAUAUUGUGACUGUGGUUGCAUUUUCUUUCUCUCUCUCUCUCUCUCUUUUUUCUUUUUUGUUUAAUUUUUCUCAGGCAACCUAUAUAAGUUGUCUUUAAAAGAGUUCUACAAAAGAACCAACUGUUACUAACGCAGGUGCCAAAUAAUUUAAUGAUUGGUAUUUAAGGUUUCAAAUUCAAACUUUAAUAAUUUUACAUUUUCAAUUUCAUUAAAAAAAAAAAGAAAUGGGUACGUAGUAUGCAACCCUUCUCUCUUAAAAAAAUAGAGUUCUACUGUAUAUAUAAAAUAGGAGCUCAAUUCUAUAUAUGAAUGACAAAAAUAUAAAAGGUAUAUUUAUCCUUCCAUUUUAAAUAGAAACUCAUACUAAAGUGCCCAUCGGUAUGUAGUUAGGAAGAGCUUUUUUGGAAAUAGAAAUCUCGUGAGGGAUUUUCAGCAAUUAGAGGACAAAUUCUUUUUUUCUCUAUCAAAUUAAAUAAUUAUAAUUAAAUAAAAUAUAUUUAUUUUAUGUAUACAAUCAAAUUAUAUAAAAUACAUAAGAAAAUUUAAUUUUUAAGAAUUUUGUGAAAAAAAAGCUUUGAACGCACACUUUAACUAAUCUAUACUAUAUCUAUACUAAAUAUAAAAGAGCGAACAGAAAUUUUGGAUUUGUCAAGUUUUGUUUCAAAAAUGUCCUUUCCAUUCUCAAAAUGCAUCUUUACUUUAAAUAACUGUUAUAAAAUAAUUUUUUAAAUUAUCAAUUUAUACAAUUUAAGUUUCUAAACUAAUUUAAAUUUUAGUAAAUUGAAACUAAUGAAUCUACUAUAAUUUUUCUUAUUUUUCUAUCAAAAUUAGAUGAUAAUGAUUAAUUAAAUUUUUUAACCUAUAAAUUUAACUUUCCUAAUAUAUUUCCAUUAUAAUUUUUAACUUAAACUAUUUAAAUUUUUAAAUCUACUUAUAUUUAAUAGAUAAGCCUAACGUUACUAACUUAUCCAUCUAUAUAUAUAUGACAAAUUAGAUGAUUAUAAUUAAACAAAUUUACUUCUUUAAAUUAUAAUCAAAUUCUACGAAAUAUAUAAGUAAAAAAAAAAAUUUGCUGAAAAAUGUGUAUUGCACGUGUACUUUAAUUAGUAUACAUAUAAAAAAAAAAAUCGGUGAUAUAUUUAAAUAUUUUAUUUCACGUACAAAAUUAAAUUCAACAAAAUACAUAAGUAAAACUAUUUUCUUAAGUUUUCGUGUGCGUGCGUGCGUAAUGCGCGUGUUGCGCAUGCACACAUUCAGAUCGAGCAACGGUAAGCUCGAGUCAAACCUAGAAAGUUUUAAGCAGGGUCACAUGGGGGUUGACCCGACCCAACGAAAUGAACCAGAAAAUAUGACCCGACCCAUGUUUGUAUCCAUACACAGAACCUGUGAGGAGAAAUUAAAAAAAAAAAACUAAAAAGCAAUAUACAUUCAGCAACAGUUGAACACAACCACUUCCUCAUACGGACGUGUACGGCACUAGAGACAUGCAAUGGUCAAUUAAUCCGAUGGCCUUCAAAAGUCAAAACAUAAAGUGUGCUUGCAUUAAUUACGCUUCUAUUUCCUCCUUUUUUUCUAAUCAACAUGCAAUUUACGUGGAACAAGUUUGAUCAAAUCGAAGGGAGACGUGUCCUUUUUAACUUUGAAUGCAGUAGCUUGAUCAAUCCCGUACUACAAACAAGCACCACGAAGUCUCAGUCGGAGUAGUGUGAAAUUGAAUGACUCGAUCGAUCGGGUCCAUUCAACUUGGCUCAAACUAGGACUUUUGACUCGAACACGAUUAAAAAAUUUGAACACUUUUUGCAAUGUGGGGAGUUAUGGAGGAAACGAAUGAGUUCCUAUUGUAUUUUCGUUGUAAUUACCAUGCAAAUACCAAUUGCCAACAUUACUCGGUUAUAAAAAUGCCGCUUCAUUGAAUUGCUCUCCAUCAAGUUUUGUAUACCGAAUCAAAAGGGGAGAGAUAUAGAAGUUAGUAAAAAAAUGGCAAAAGAGUGCAAUGUGAUGGAAAUGAUACUGAUUCUCAUAGUGUUAACAUGUAGCUCACAUUCUCUUUCGAUGGCGAGACCGUUGGAAGGCAAGAGGGGCCAGUUAAGAGGUGAUGUGGGUAUGUUCGAGUCCCUUCCACAAGGACACAUUCCUUCAACGGGACAUUCGGGCUGCACUAAUGACCCCAACAACAAGAAUGGAUUUUGUCCGAACCCGCCGCAAGUCGGAGGUGAUCGGAGCGUAGUGUUUGAGUCCCUUCCGCAAGGACAAGUUCCUUCGACAGGGUACUCAGGCUGCACCAAUGACCCCAACAAUGAGGAUGGAUCUUGCCCAAACCCGCCGCUAGUCGGAGGUGAUCUAGGUGUAGUGUUCGAGUCCCUUCCACGAGGACAGGUUCCUCCGCCAGGGCACUCGAAUUGCACCAAUAAUCCCAACAGCAAAAAUGGGUCUUGUCCGAAUCCACCGCCAAUCGGAGGUGAUCUGAGUGUAGUGUUUGAGUCCCUUCCGCAAGGACAAGUUCCUUCACCAGGGCACUCGGGCUGUACUAACGACCCAAACAACCAGAAGGGGUCUUGUCCAAACCCGCUACAAGGUUAAAAACAUCAUGUGGUGAUUUGCUUACACGGUAUUGAUGAUUCGUGAGAUCAAUACAGAGGAUUAGAAUAACAAAGCAUAACAAUAUAGAGGAUUAGAAUAACAACGCGCGUAGCGUGCAUGUGCCUGGUGUCUGUGGAUUAACAGUAUGUUUAUUUGUUUCUUCUUUAUCAUAAGAUAUGUUGCUUGUCUUAAGUGCUUUUACCUGGCGCAAAAGUUCAAACACCAUUAAUGAAAUCACUAGUGAAGAACCGGCGCGUUGUGGCGGAAUAUAUAAAUAAAAUAAAUAAUAGUAAAAAAAAGAGUCAAAAAAUUAUAUAAAAAAAUAACUAAAAAAUAAACAAUUAUUGCUGUAAUAAAAAUAUAAAAAUAAAUUAUAAGAAAGAUUAAAAAAAAUAAAGGCAAAAAUCAUACUAAUAAAAAAUUAUAUAUAAUUNUCUACUUAUAUUUAAUAGAUAAGCCUAACGUUACUAACUUAUCCAUAUAUAUGGCAUAUGACUAGAUGAUUAUAAUUAAAUAAAUUUACUUCUUUUAUAAUCAAAUUCUACGAAAUAUAUAAGUUUUUUUUUUUUGGGUGAGAAAUGUGUAUUGCACGUGUACUUUAAUUAGUAUACAUAAAAAAAAAAAAAUGGGUGAUAUAUUUAAAUAUUUUAUUUGACGUACAAAAUUAAAUUCAACAAAAUGCACAAGUAAAACUAUUUUCUUAAGUUUUCGUGUGCGUGUGUGUGUAAAGCGUGUGUUGCACAUGCAUACAUUCAGAUCGAACAACGGUUAGCUCGAGUCAAACCUAGAAUGUUUUAAGCUGGGUCACAUGGGGGUUGACCCGACCCAACGAAAUGAACCAGAAAAUAUGACACGACCCAUUUAUGUCCGUACACAGAACCUGUGAGGAGAAAUUAAAAAAAAAAAACUAAAAAGCAAUAUAUAUUCAGCAACAGUUGAACGCAACCACUUCCUCGUACGGACGCGUACGGCACAAGAGAAUGCACUGGUCAAUUCCUACGGCCUUCAAAAGUCAAAACAUAGAGUGUGCUUGCAUUUACCCUUCUAUUUCCUCCUCCUUUUUUUUUUUUUAAAUCAACAUGCAAUUUACGUGGAACAAGUUUGAUCAAAUCCAAGGGAGACGUGUGACUUUUAACUUUGAAUGCUGUAGCUUGAUCAAUCCCGUACUACAAGCACCACGAAGUCUCAGUCGGAGUAGUGUGAAAUUGAAUGACUCGAUCGAUCGGGUCCAUUCAACUUGGCUCAAACUAGGACUUUUGACUCGAACACGAUUAAAAAAUUUGAACACUUUUUGCAAUGUGGGGAGUUAUGGAGGAAACGAAUGAGUUCCUAUUGUAUUUUCGUUGUAAUUACCAUGCAAAUACCAAUUUCCAACAUUACUCGGUUAUAAAAAUGCCGCUUCAUUGAAUUGCUCUCCAUCAAGUUUUGUAUGCUGAAUCAAAAGGGGAGAGAUAUACAAGUAAGUAAAAAAAUGGCAAAAGGGUGCAGUGUGAUGAAAAUGAUACUGAUUCUCAUAGUGUUAAUAUAUAGCUCACAUUCUCUUUCGAUGGCGAGACCGUUGGAAGGCCAAAGGGGCCGGUUAAGGAUCGGAGGUGAUCUGGGUGUGUUUGAGUCCCUUCCGCAAGGACAGGUUCCUUCAAUGGGGCACUCAGGCUGCACUAAUGACCCCAACAACAAGAAUGGAUUUUGCCCGAAUCCGCCGCAAGUCGGAGGUGAUCUGGGUGUAGUGUUCGAGUCCCUUCCGCAAGGACAGGUUCCUCCGCCAGGGCACUCGAAUUGCACCAAUAAUCCCAACAACAAAAAUGGGUCUUGUCCGAAUCCACCGCCAAUCGGAGGUGAUCUGAGUGUAGUAUUUGAGUCCCUUCCGCAAGGACAAGUUCCUUCAACAGGGCACUUAGGCUGCACCAACGACCCAAACAAUAAGAAAGGGUCUUGCCCAAACCCGCCGCAAGUCGGAGGUGAUCUGGGUGUACUGUUCGAGUCCCUUUCGCAAGGACAGGUUCCUCCACCAGGGCACUCGAAUUGCACUAAUAAUCCCAACAACAAAAAUGGGUCUUGUCCGAAUCCACCGCCAAUCGGAGGUGAUCUGAGUGUAGUGUUUGAGUCCCUUCCGCAAGGACAAGUUCCUUCACCAGGGCCCUCGGGCUGCACUAGCGACCCAAACAACAAGAAAGGGUCUUGUCCAAACCCGCCACAAGGUUAAAAACAUCAUGUCAUGAUUUGCUUACACAGUAUUGAUGAUUCGUGAGAUCAAUACAGAGGAUUAGAAUAACAAAGCAUAACAAUAUAGAGGAUUUGAAUAACAACGCGCGUAGCGUGUAUGUGCCCGGUGUCUGUGGAUGUAUGUGGGUACUCAUACUCGUUAACAAUAUGUUUAUUUGUUUCUUGUUUUAUCAUAAGAUAUGUUGGUUGUCUCAAGUGCUUUUACCUGGAGCAAAAGUUCAAACACCAUUGAAAUCAUUCUUGCAUUUAUUUUUAUGUUAAUUUUUCAGAAGUUGUGUCUUAGGCCGAACAUUGUCAGUGUUUUCAAGUAGUUUCUGUGAUGCGGUCCGGUCACUUCACAAAGAAUGUGAUGUAAUUAUGAGCAAUUAAUUAGAAGCAUCAAAAUUCCAACAAUUCAAUUAUGUGAACCAGAAAUUGUUCCCACACAGUAAGUAUACCAGCAUACUAUGAUAAAACCUCUAUUUUAUCUCUUCAUCACACUAGGUUUAUAAUAUAAUAGCACUUCAACUCGAUCGUUAAUUAAUUAUGGCUACACGCUUGCUCACAAAAUUCUUGGUUUAUAUCCAGUAUCGAGUAAGAAUAGCCGUAAAACUAACUUUCAUGUGAUGAUUAAGAAAAUAAGAAACUGAUUAAAGCAAAUAGAGCAGCACACCUAUGUUUAUUCUUAGUUACAAGUACUAUUUUGAAUCCUAGCUAGAUAGAUGCUUCCGAGCCAUUGUGACGUGGAUGUCAUUUAAUAAAGCAAAUCAAGAAAAUGAUCACGGAUAAAAUUUCCAGUAAUAGGGCUUCCCACUACUAAGGCAAGGACUUGUAUGAUGUGAUACUCACAAUAUGGGACGCACAAACUAAAAUAUUCGAAACUUCAGUAUUUAGACAGCAACCUGAAUAACAAGAGAUUUGAUAUUCUGCUGGGGGAUGGGGAAGUUGAACAUCCAUAUUUCAGUGUUCGGGGUGAUGCAGCAGGCAAACAUGCGGAUCACCUGCGAUUUAGCACAGCAGCAGCUACACUUUUCUGAGGACAGGUGUCAUCGAGCGUGACGAUUAAGAUCGAGUUCAAGCGAAGGAGAGCAAAAGAAUAAAUGAUAAAAUGAGAUCGAAGUAUAUGUCGAGGUCAUUGUUGUUACAAGAAUCUCUUAUAAAAGAACAAGAACAUGCAGGAUGAACUCUAAGAUGUACCACUCAGCUACAAUAUAACAUUUCGAUCUAUCUUUGAAAUAAAACAACCAUUAAUAGCAAAAGAACACUUUGAAACUUCUCCCUGUAAAGAUCAACAUCAUGAAACUGAAAAAAAAAAAAAAAAAAUCUGCUAAAUCAAACAAAACAAUAAAGAAGACCAGGCAUGAGAAUUAAUCGACAAGCCUAUAUAGAUAACUCUCCCAUAUUGCCAAUAUUGUUUUCUCUUUUUUUCUUUCGAUCUCUUCUAUCUUGCAUGUGCUGAGGUGAAGGAUUCGGCGAAACCGGUGGGCCUCGCAGGAAUGCUGCUCUGAGAGUUCUCCAAGUUUCCGAUAGUUGAAACUGACUGGCUACUGUUCUCUAACUCCUUCCACCUCUGGAGUGCUUCAGGUAAUGUCAAGUCCAAGUCGAUCGUAUAUUCGUCGUCCAAUUUGGGUUCCAACGGCUUCCAUACUUCCGCCAACGAAGACAAGACAUUAACGACCUGGCCCAUGUCGGGCCUCUGCUGCGGCUCUCUUGAACAGCAGUGACAAGCCAACUCGGCAACCGUGAGAACGCUCUUUAGGGUUUCGUCGUCAAGGUCGAUUGUUGGGUCGAUGACUUCUUCGAAAGUAGCCUUGUUGAUAUGCAUUCGUCUGAACCACGUCACCAGGUGCACGUUCUCCUCCGAUUGGCUGUUGUCGAGAGCCUUUCGGCCGGUGAUUAGCUCCAUGAGGAUUACUCCGAAGCUGAACACGUCGGCCUUGGUGGUCACACGGCCCGUCACUGCACGGUGGUAAAUGCAGCAUAAAAUCACCAACAUACAAUAUAUAGCAGGAAAUGUUUAGUGUUCUGGAAAAGAUCUGAUAGGCCCUGUUUCAGUUUUGAACACCAAAUAUAAAGCUUUUCAUCCAAGUGCAUUGUUUGUUAUAGAUACAUUGCUUAAAUCGCAUGCAUUUUCUUCUCUAAUCAUCAUGAAAAUUUUGUUGGUUCUUUUCUUUCUGAAUGUUAUAUAUUGAUCCUGUGCAAAUAUUUGAACAGUAUAAAUAAGUAACAUAGAAAAGCAAAUACAUAAAUAUAGAUAUACCUGCAUACUCCGGUGCGAGAUAUCCGAAGGUGCCGGCAAGCCUCGUCUCAACUGAAUAUUUCCCAUCUGGUGCAUGCUUAACAAGCCCAAAAUCCGCAACCUUAGCUUUCAUAUCAUCCCCGAGAAGAAUAUUGGAAGGCUUCAGAUCCCUGUGUAUGAAGCUUUGAUUAGCCAGGCUAUGCAAAUACUCGACGCCGCGAGCAACAUCGAGUCCGAUACUCAAUCUCCUCUUCCAGUCCAACGGAUUCAGCCCCUCGCUCUUCCAGUUGAAAAGAUGUUGACUGAGCGUUCCUCUCGGCAUGUACUCGUACACCAGGAUCCUCUCACUCCCAUCCAAGCAAUAACCGAGGAGCGAGACCAAAUGGCGGUGGCGAAGUCGCGUCAGGACCGAAAUUUCCGACGUGAACUCGCUCAAACCCUUCGGGCCCGUCGCGCUGCUGCCCUCCAUCCGCUUCACCGCGAUCUUAGUGCCGUCGUCGAGCCCCCCUUUGUAGACCGUCCCGAACCCUCCCCGGCCCAAUAUAUUGUCCUCGCUGAAGUUAUUCGUCACGUUUCGAAGAACUUGAAUCGAGAUGACCAUACUGCUCGGCUCGCCGACGUGAAAGUCACGAGGCCCACUACUCGUGCUGCUUACAGCUCCAUUGAAGACCCCAUUCAAGCCAUUACCAGCCAGAGAUAUCUUGAGCAUCUCCGCCUCCGAACCGGAGUGACCCGGGUGUAUAACUAUGCCGCUCGGAAGCCGAGACUUGCCGAAACAGAACUUGUUUCUCUUAGAAUAGCAGAACACAAGCAAUCCGACGAGGAAAGCCGCACCGAUAACAGAACUGACGACAACGCCGAUUAAAUAGGACUUGUUGCUACCACCGCCACUAUCCGAUCCAGGAGAGCUCGACCCGUCUUUGCCGGGAUUUAUGUCCUUCCCGAUAUCGGGAUUUCCUUCGGUUCUCACCACAACAUUUCGGCGAAAAGCGGGGAUUUUCCCCCAGAGAGAGUUAUUUGACACGUCCAAUUCUUUAAGUGAAGGUAAAUUGGUAAGAGCUUCCGGAAUUGUGCCGGUGAGGUUGUUUCCCGACAGUAAGAGCUUCUGCAGCGAAGGCAAAAGCCGAAAAUCCGGCGAGAUGGCGCCGUUGAGGCCCAGUUUCUGGAAAUUAACAACAAUCACGUCCCCUUUGGCAUCGCAGGUGAUUCCCAGCCAAGUGUUGCCGCACGGAUCGUUACCGGGCCAAUUCCUGGCGAAUAUCUCGGGGUACCCGAGAGAGCUGGCGAUGGAGAGCAUGGCGUUCACCCGCGGAUCGCAAUCGCCGGCGUCCGUUCGGCAGAAGCGCUCGGACGAAGGGAGGAGAUCGAUCUUCAUGCGCGCGGCGUUCUUGAACGCGGGAACGGGCCCCUGGAGGAGGUUGUUGGUGAGCACGACGGUCCAGAGCGAGUCGAGCCCGGUGAGCGAGUCCGGGACCGGACCGGUGAGCUCGUUGUCUCGCAAGUCCAAGUCGGCGAGGUCGGUUAGGCGCGAGAGGUCGGGGAUGGGGCCGGAGAAGGAGUUGGAGUGGAGCCAGAGUUGGCGGAGGCCGGUCAUGUCGGCGACGGCGUCGAUGGGCCCGGAGAGCUUGGCGGGGCCCCGCUGGUUGUUGAGGAGGAGGGACUUGACGGGAGAGGUCGAGAAGCUUCGGGGGAUGGGGAGGGAGGUGAAGUUGUUGUCGUUGAGGAAGAGGGUGCGGAGGGAGGAGAGCGAGGGGAGGGAGGGGACGGGCCCGGAGAGCGAGUUGCCCAUCACCUCCAGCCGGACGAGCGCGGUCAGGUUCGCCACCGCGCCCGGGAGGCUCCCGGAGAGCCCGCGCCGCCCGAUCUGGAUCGCCGUCACGCGGGCGCCGCCGCCGCCGUCGGGGUCGCACCGGACGAGGGGCCACGAGCAGGGGUCGGCGUCGCUCGACCAGUUCAGGGCCGAGGCGGGGCGGAGCGCCGCCGCGAGGGCGACCAUCGCCGCCGCGUCCCCGGCGUCCGCGGCGAGCGCCGGGGAGAGGACGAUGAGAAUGACGACGACGAAGAGAAGAUGAGGUGCUGAGAGCAUGGCGCUCUAGAGAGAGAAAGUGAUGAAGAGAGAGAGAGAGAGAAAGAGAGAGAGGGUGGGGCUUAAGGUGCGGGGGCGGAGCGGGGGGAGGUGUGGAAAGCGUGGGAGGGGCGGGGACGAAGACGUAGUACUACGCCACUAUUCGAAUUCGGGGCGUUUCCGUUUUAGGAAAGUUUAGUACCUUUUAUUCGGGGAAGUUAUUGCGUCUGCCUAGUACUAGUAGUAUUUGGACUAUAAAAAUUAAAAAGAGUAGGACCUUUGGGUACCCCAGGAUAAAAUUGGUGAAUCUUUUGGAACCCACAGACGCAAUGGUGGUGAGUUUGGUGGGUCCUACUAAUUCGUGGUUGGGAUAUUUGGGUGUGUACUUGGGUGCAAUGACCGGGUACGCACGACGGGGAAUCGGAGUAGAUGGGUUCUUCUUCGUUUGGUAAUAAGUGGCUUAAUUGCGCAGUUUUGGAAAGCAACAACGCGUAAUAGCUGGUUUUAUUUUCUUGUACGAAAAUGCCCUCGUUCUGUUUCCUGCCUUUAACUGUUAUAAGGGCGGAACCGUCAAUUCGGCGGUUUGAUUUGGGAACGUAACGCUCUUAUUAUAGUGGAAGGAUCGCCGAGGGUGAAUUGUUAUUUUUGGAAAGAUCGAGGAAAUAAAUUGUGUGGAUUGGUGAAAAUAAUGUAAAAUAAUUUAAUCAUAUUGCUGAAUUCAAGUUCAUUAGAGAAAAUUUGGAACUAAUAAAUUUAAUGGAUUCCGUUCAUUUUGUAUUGGUCAAUAUUUUAUUAUCAUAAACUAUCUGAAGAUUGUUAAGUAAAUAAAAAAAAAAAAUAGCGAAGGACUUGGAUGAGUGAAUAAGCACUUUUGUUUGGACGCAUUUCCCUAAUUUAUUUGUCCAAACUGCCACGUGGAGGGGCCCAAACUCUUUACGUUUUCAUAAAACUUAAAAUAAUUAAACUUAAUAUUGUGCUAAAUAAUAAUAAUUAUUAUUUUUAUGAAGAGAGAAUGGUUUACCGACCGUCCCUAAAACAAGCAAGUGACAAAAGACUUGGUGGUUGAUACCCAAGAUCUCAAGUUUGAAUCCUAAUUGAUACACAUUUUUAGAUAAGUUUAUUUCUAAAUAAAAUAAACAAAAAGGUAGCGUGGUAGUGCUACGGUGCUACAUAUCUCUCAAAAAAAAGAAGAGAGAAUGGUUUGGGUCCCUUGGGAUGCUCUCCCAAGGAAAAUUGAUGAGAUGGCAAUCCCAUGUAUAUAUUUUGGGACCCACCCUUGGGCUUCAAACUCUAUUAAGAGACUGUUCCAUAACGUAUCGUUUGGUUCGGGGAUAAGCAAAAAGUGACUAUUCCACGAAUAGGUAUAAAUUGAGGUAUAAGCGGGAAUUAAAUUAAUUUUGCAUUUGGAUGAAAAUUGCGUUAUUUCUAGAAAUAAAAAAAAUAGCGUUUGGUCAGGUAAGAUGGAAUAAGAAUUAAAGUAAGUAGUGAUAAAUAAAAAAAAAAUGAUAUUAUCCUUCUUAUUAUAUUUGAAUUUGAAUUUUGAAAUUAUAUAUAAAUUUUAAAAUUUUAAAAUUUUAACUUUUAAAUUUUAAAAUUUUAAAUUAAAUUUUAAAAAUUAAAAUCUCAAAAUUUAAAUUUUAAAUUUUAAAUUUUAAAUUUAAGAUCAAAUUUAAAUUUGAAAAAUAUAAAAUAUCAAAUUUUAAAUUUCAAAAAUUUAAAAUAUCAAAUUUUAAAAUUUUAAUUUAAAAUUUUGAAAAUAAGAAUAGUGGUGGUAAAAAUUAAUAAAAAUAAUUUAUUAUAAUAAAUUUAUAAAUUUGAUAAUAAUAAAUUUUUUAAUAAAUUAAUAAUUUUUUAUUAUUAAUAAAUUAAUAAUUUUUUAAAAUUCUACUUAAACUUAAAUUUAAUAAAAAUAAUAAUAUUUAAUCAUAUUUAAAUAUAAUUUAUUAUAAAAUUUAUUAUAAUAUUUAAUGUUUAAAUAUAAAUAAUAUGUAUUAAUAUAGUACAAUUAAUAAUUUUAUAAUAAAAAUAAUAUAUUAUAAUAUAUAACAUAUUAUAUUUAUAUAAUUUAGUUUUAAUUUAAUUUAUAAUUUUAAUAAAGUUUGAAAUUAAACAUUGGAAUAACACUAUUACAUCAAAAUGGUGGAAUAGUAAAUCUCUUACUAUUCCGGAAUAGCCGAGAAUAGUAAGGUUUAACCGGAAUAAAAUAUUCCGGCCAAAAAUUAUUUCGUUUGGCGGAAUAGUGGGAAUAACUUUUGUUAUCCCCGCUUAUAUCGCCAACCAAACGGGGCCGCUGACACACCAGUAAUCUUAUACUUGCAGUACUAGACAUGCUUCCAGAUAAAUUAUUUUUUGGAUGGUUAGGUUUGACGCGAAUGGCAGAUUGGUGUCAUCUUGUUUCCAUUGGAGGCAAUCUUGUGUUUAAAGUUUCUUCGAUCGCCCGAUUCUCAAACUUCAUGUGUGCUUCAUGAUCGAUCUUCGUUGCAGGUAAUCGGGUCAAAUUUAAUUUAGGCCAUAUUAUUAGCAAAUUAAACAAGUUAAUUGGAUGUAAAUCGACUCACUUAGGGUGAUCAAUCAAGCAACUAACGGGCAACCCGAACCCGACCAAUACGCGGCCUAAGGCUUGAUUGUCUCCCAUAUUGACCUCUGUAUACGAGAUUGAAUAACGACCGUGAAUAAUCGGUUCGAAGUUAAGGUGUGCAAGGAAUAAGAACCAAAAUGGAAAUAUGAAAACCAAGAAACGGUGGGAGGUCUAGUUAGUCAGAUAAUCUUGAUCUCUGUUCGAUUCGAAAACUCAACAGGACAAGUUAAGCAACUCAAGUUAGAUCAGCUCGAUUUGAUUAGGGCUAUAAUCAAUACAAAUGCAUCUUUCCCUUGUGCAUGAUUUCUAGUAGUAUAAUGCUGAAAAAGCAGGUAGUAUUACCUGAGUGAUCUUAUUUGUUUCUGCUACGGUACUCUUGGGAAUUACGGAGAGACUGAGUUCUCUAUUUGUUUCCGUACGUAAUAUCAUAUUUAGCAUAUAAUAAUAAGUAGGUUAUGAUAUCAUUUCUACGCUAUAUAUUUUCCAACGGCCCGUAGGCUUUGAUAUCUCAGAAGUCCAGCUGCGUAGGGCCACUUUUGCCACUGCAGGAACUGGGCCUAAUUGCCCCCGUAAUCGAUGGGCCCAAGCCCAUGUUUAUAACUGGACUAAUGCGUCAUUACCAUAUCGCAGUGAGGGCAAUAUCGUAAUUUCGCAAGCCACCUCCAAAAGUCGCCACAAACCAUUCUCCGCCUCAGUGCGACGGUUAGCUAUAUCAUCACCAGUUGAACGUUGACACGUGGGAUCCGCUCAAAAUAGGUGGGGCCCACGCCACGGCUUUAUAACCAUAGUACGCCCCGUGAAAGGAGAUGGUCUUCGAUCCUGCAUUGGCACCGCCACCUUAUAAUAUCUCAAGCAAUCAAAAUUUUCUCUUUAACAAAAAAAAAAAAAUAACAAAUUCCUUUUCCAAAAUUAUGAUUAGAUUGAAACAUUUUGGAUGCACAAUUUUAUUGGUUAGGAACAUAACUGAUAUAAUGCCGCCACGAUAUUUUAAACUUCCACCCAUAAAAGAGUACUAUAAUGCGCCACAAGUAAAACUAACGCAAGAAGAACUUGCUAGCUUAUAUGCGACGAUAGAUCAAAAGCUCCCGCCGAGACAGAGUUGGGAUGUUUCCCUUGAAUUUUUUUUUUGAAAAAAAAAUAGCAAAUUAUUUGUUUUAUUCAUUAAGCAAAAUAAGUUUUCCUUGAAAUUUUGUCUCCUAAAGAGUAGCAUUGUUUGUUAAUUAGCAAAUUUUGGAAAGGCCACAAAAUGACAAGCACAUCACAUGAGACACAGUAUUAUCGUUCCUAAUUAUGACUUUUCGUAGGAAUUUAUAAGCAGAUGUUGACCUUUUUGUGCUCUAUAUUCCCGUGGUCAAUGUACUACUUCGAGUGGAGAAAUAGCUUGCGUGUACGAUAUUAAUGCUGUUACACAGAAAGUUAUAGUCCAUAUCAAUCAAAAUGAUAAUUUUAUUUCCAACACACAAAUUGUAAACUUGUUAUUGAUCUUGUUAUAUAUAUAUAUAUAUAUAUAUAUAUAUAUAUAUAUAUAUAUUUGAGCUAGAAUAUUUUUAGAAAUAUCACCCACUUGGUGCUAUUAAAUUUUUAGCUUUUGGAUCUACUCCUUGAUUACUAAUAGACUUUAUAUCAAACACUAUUCCACCUACCAUCAUCUACCACCACCAAUCAUUAUCAUCCCAAUCUUAUAUUUCUCCAUCCAAGAAUUAAAAAAUUAAAAGCACCAACCUCUCAGUACUUUUAAGAGUAUUCUAGCUCCACUCUCUCUCUCUCUCUCUCUCUCUCUCUCUCUAUAUAUAUAUAUAUAUAGAGUUGAGCUGGAAUGCUAUCAGUAGCAAACGGGCUCCGUUGCUAUCCAUUUGUUUUGGAUGAUGGAGCGUUCAAAUCGACGAUCGGCACCAUUGAACAUGAUCUAUAUCACUUGAAGUAUUUAGAAAUUAAAUUUCAAAUCUUUUCGACAUCAUUUACCUAAUGAUCAAAGAGUUUCAAAAUUAGUAAUUUUAAUGGUUGAUAUGAGGAGUUUUCUCGUUUAACGGUGUAAAGCUAUCCAAAUCAAUUGAAUUUUGGUUAGAAAAUUCUUUAAACUAUUUAGAACAAGAUCUAUACUCUCGAUCAUGAUUACAAUAUUUCUAUCAUCACUUUUUAGAGAAUAUUCAUUUUCAGCCAUUCAUUUUUACGCCCACUUGAUGGACAAAACAUAAUAUCGAAAAAGUAUGAAAUUUGAUUUCUAAAUAUUUCAAGUGGUAUAGAUCAUUUUCAACGGUACCGAUCGUCGAUUUGGAGGCUCCAUCAUCGAAAACAAAUGGGUGGCAACGGAGACCGUUUACUACCGAUAGUAUUCCAGCUCAACUCUCUCUCUCUCGCUCUCUCUCUCUCUAUAUAUAUAUAUAUAAGAGUAAAGGCACCACUUAGCUACGCUCAAAUCAAAAUAAGAUCAUCUCGAACUCACAAAUGCUCCAACAAAAUCAUUUUCUUAGAUAUGUAUGCAUACUGUGAUGUAUUCAGAUUCAUAAUUUUUAUUCUAUUACACAUGACAUAUACGAAGCCCUGCCAUGUACUUGCUAAUAGACCAUUAUGCUAUUUAAUCGACUAAAUUAUUCGCUAUGAUAUAAAUUGUUACUAACACUUGAAUGUUAAAAUGGAAGGGCGCCCGUAACAAUAAUUAAUAGUAUAUAAAUAGUAUCUACUAUAUAUUUUUUUGCUAUUGGAUUACACCACCUCUCACUAAAUUCUAGCCAGAUAUCCAACAAUCAAAAGUGGAUAAUAAAUACUGUAAAUAUUUUAUUAAUAAUAGUAUUUCAGCAUAACCCGGUAUAUAUAUACACACACAUCAUUACAAGAAAAUUAUAAUAUAAUGAUAUUUUUUAAACAACGCAGGAAGCAUCUACAAGCUUUCCUAAAAUAUAUAUGGUAAAUUUUGACACUUUAAAAAGUGUUGUCAUAUGAACAUUCUAUUAUAUUAAAUAAAAUUAUUAAAUAAUAAAUUUUAAUAUUAUUUUUAAUUUUUUAAUAUUUUAAAAUAUCUGAAUUUUAAAAUAUUAUGAAUAAUUCUGACGCUUUGAAACGUCAGAAUAUAUUUUACCAACGUUAGACAUAAAUAUCGAUAUAGAUAGCAAUUUUUUAUUUAUUUAUAUUUUAACUGGCGUUUUCAAAUGUGACGCUAAACUAUAUUAAGUUAUUUUUUAGCAUAAUUAAAUAUAAGAACAAAUGUAAUUUUUUUUUAUUGUGCAUACACAAGUACGUAACUACUAUUAUUAUAUUAUUACUAUUAUUAUUAUUUUCGUUGGUCAAACAAUAUGGAUCGUGAGAGGACUAGUACGUACAGGGCCAGAGACGUACAAGGCACAUACUGUCCAACUAUACGCCAUCGCUCUACUCGUGGAGGUGCGACGCGUGGUACAAUAAAAUGAUGCCACGUCAUCGUUCUUAGCGUACGGGGUGCGUACGCACGUGUAUGUAUACGAGGGAGUUGGAUGGAACUUGUACAUCCCGUGUUUUAAUAGGAGGAUGUAUUAAUGGGUACCCUUAAUUGUGUACUUGUGAACAAAUCCUUUUAGAUUCUCUCCCAAACUCGUCGAUUUUCCCAGAUCCGGGUAAUUAAGAGGGUCCGCGUAAAUAUGACUUAGUGUCAUUUUGGGCGGGUGGGUGGUUGGGAGGGGAGAGUUUCGUACAAUACGGUUUGUAUUGUUGGAGCUUUGAAAUAUACCGUACGUGGCACUGCACCAUUGGUCAAGUCCGAGUACAGACGUUGACUAUACUUAGCUGUCGUAUACGUGCAUUGCCAACGAAUCCAAUGUAUUUUUCCUUUAUAGGGAUAGCAUAUUAAUGUAUUUGUUGGUGUUGGUAUAAUAUUCAUAGGUGUUACGUAAAUUUUCAUAGGUUUUUUUAAAAAUUAUAUACUUAUCCAACAUAAGAAUAAGAUUUCGGUAGAAAAUUUUUCAACAAUAUUUUAUCUGAUCUGUUGUUGCAUGUCAAUUUAUUUCAUCCAAAAAUUUAUCCGAUAUUUUUUUAAAAAAAUUAUCAAUAUUAAAAUAAUUAUAAUUUUUAGAAAGAAAAAAAAUUAAUAUGCGGCAGCAGAUAAAAAAUUUCUCAUUAAUUUUUUUUUUUGAAAGAAACUACUGCAGUACAACUAAAAUUUGAAACAUCUACAUAAAUUUAGAAUUAUUUCUGUGAAAAAUAAAAAAACUAAGAUUGUGUUUGGUUGGGGGUUCAAGGGGGAUACGGGGGUUAUACCCCUUUAACUCCAAACAUGAAUUUUGGAGGGUGGGGUUAGCUAACCCAUUCCAAAUAGGUUAAAUACUCAUUAUUCUUUUUAUUCUAUUUUAUUUAUUCAAUCGUUUUUUUUUUAUUUUUGAAAAUAACUGAAUUCUUAUCCAAAUAUAAAAUUAAUAUAUUCCAGACUUAAUUCUGAAUUUAAUUCAAUCUCUAUAAUAAUUAAUUUUUACUUAACUUCCAACCAAAUGCAGCCUAAAUGUCUGCAUGCAAUUAGAAAUUAUUAGUGAUUUUAUUUGUGUAUGCUCUAAUAAAUAAAUAUAAAUAUUGUCCCUCGGGGCUAAAUAGCGGCGGCGUUAGAAACAGAAGUGAUAAUUAAGGGGGGCAAAAUCGUAAAUAAACUGCUCCCAAACCACGCACGUGACCGGGGGCUUUUUCGCUUUGUUGGGACUUUGGACGCACGUGACCGUGCUACAUCUCCGGACCAAUCCGUAUGGGGUGGUCGAUCCAACGGUCAAACUCCCACUCGAGUGGCAUCAAGAUUCUCGGCGGCCAUGAUGAACGGCCCAGAUGUCGUGCUGGCCCCGCGGCGUAUGAUAGGUUCGCUCGGUCCACUUUCUCCUUCCCCCUCCCCACCACUAUCCGCUGGUCGCUGUCCCAAAGAUCUCCCACUACGAUUCUUUUUAGAUGUACCUUUCCGUGGACCCGGUCUAUAGACCGUUACCUAAACGAAACAGUUAGUUUCCCUCGGUUCUGUCCAUGGACCGGGUGUAUCCAACUAUUCUCUCUUGUUUCUGGGUUCUUCUCUUUCCCUUUCCCUGCACCCAUUAUCCCGCGGAUAAAAGAGAACGAAGUCCCCAAAACCCACCUACCAUAAACCCGCAAAACCCUAACCCUGGCCCUACCCCGCCAUUAAAGGCCAUACGAAGGUACCGAUCCAAACAGCUCCGAACUCCCCCACACUCACUCCCCUUGUUAUAACGAGCCCUCGACGUUGAUCUCGCAACCCUAAUCGAAGUGAGGGAAAGGAGAAGAAAGAGGAGAAGAAGAGCUGAAGAACGUCGCCAAUGGCGAUUAGAGCGAAGAAAACGAGGCCUUAAUCACAGAUACCUGCGGCGAAGAAGAAGAAGAAGAAGAAGAAGAAUCUCCAAGAAUCGAGCUCGGAUUCGGGAUCGCCUACGAAAGUCGGCGGCGACUCCUCGCGAUCUCUCUUGCAACCGCUUCGUCUCCCCCGACUUCGUGCGUCCCGAGAAGAAGGGCGACAAAACGAAUACCAUAUCAUAAUUCGAGGUUGGGUUGGGGCCACUCCAAUGGGGUGGAGAGAGUAGAAACAGAUUUUUAUUUUUAUUUUUAUUCAUUUAUAUAUAUAAUAAUAAAAGUGUUGGUGGGGAUUAUUUAAUGCGAGAGUAUCUUUGAGAAAUCGUGGAAAAAUCGUAAUUUUUAUUCACCUUUGAUCGUUCUACGAAUAGAGAGAGGAGGGGUGGUUUUGUUCUUGCACAUCUCGUUUUGAGUGUUCUUUUUUAGCUCAAUUCACCCCUUUCAUUAAAAAAAAUUUCUUGGGUUACUUUUUGGGAGAUGUGAAGGGUUUUGCUUCUUUUGAGGAGUUUCCCGAGCCACGCCUUCAUCCAACCGACAUUACUGAGACUCGUAGUCUCUGUCACUCCUAAUUGUUUUAUCACCUCCUUUCGCGGAGACCGAUGGUGGGAAUGAUGCGGUGAUUAGGGUUUUGAGGGAGUUGGGG
rnacentral:lncRNA from 1 species